rnacentral:lncRNA from 1 species
CUCUUUUCUCUUUAAACGUAAUAGACCUCCGAUUACACUUGCAGCCAAUGGUAGACCAUCACAUCUUUUGAUUACUCUCUCUUUAAUUGCUUUUAGUUCGUAAGGUACUUCUCCCCCUCCAACUACUUUUUCUUUUAGGAUAGACCAGCAAAGAUCAUCAGGUAGCCUUCCUAAGGCAUAGGCUUCAUCAUCCAUCAUCAAAGCUCCAGACACAAUACCUGCCACCUGACCACUACGAGUAGUGACAAGACACCAGCUUCCAUCAGUUGGAUUGAGUCCUUUCAAGGUGGUGAAAAGGUCAUCCCACAAUGCAUGAUUAUCAUCCCACACAUCAUCAAGAACUAGGAGAUAUCUUUUUCCCCCAAGUUGAUUCUGAAUUUUUUCAACGAUGACUUCCCUAACAUCUACUUCAACCUUUUCUUUUGUCAAAUGCACUAAUAUGAGUUUGAAAAGCUCCUCUAUUGGAACUUUUUUUGAUGCACAAACCCAAACCUUUUUGUCGAAGUGCCCAUCAAUUUGCUGAUUGUUGUAUAUCGAUUUAGCCAAAGUUGUUUUGCCUAGACCUCCCAUACCAAUUAUGGGAAGAACAGAAACAACCUUCUCAGACGGGCUCAACAGCAUCUUCACUAUCUUUGAUUCAUCAUCGGCUCUUCCAACCAUUGGAGCAACAACUGAGUCGGUCUGCCGAUUUCUUGUGUCUCCAGCAGCAGGAGCAGCAGGGAGGGUAGCUGUCAAGACUGGCCUACUGACCAGUCCCAAUCCAUGGGCAUCUUGAUAGAUGCCAUUCAACUUAACUUUGAUGUCCCUGACCUUAGAAGCCAUCCUCCAACGAAAAGCAAGAUUAAUGUUAGAGAAGGAGAAGAAGCAGCAUACCUUUUGCUUGUGUCGGUUUCGGGACUCCACCUGGUGACGAAGAGAUUCAUAGUGAAGCUCAUCCAACACGUUGUCAGCAUCAUAAGCAACCUCCUCGAGACUCUUCAACCAUUCUUGCACUGCCGUCUCCUGGUUAUGCUGCCUUUCCUCAGCAUCAGUCAAGAAAGCUUUGAUCAAGCGUAGAGAACGGGUCAUGCUGGCCAAAUCCUCCUCGAAUCCAACUAACAUACCAAUCCUAUCAGAGGCAAGAGACAGUGCCAUUUCCAAGGUGACCUGAAUUGUUGAACUAAUAAGAGCGUCAGCCAUUUUUGCUGCCUUGGAUUCAGUGUUGAGAUCAAGAUGGUUUUUUUGAUGGAAGGUUUUAUGCAGCCAGGAACUGGUAAUCUUAUCUAGGCUAGUAUAAUUGGUUAUGAAGAAAGGAGCAUUAACAAUUAUUCCGCGUAGACGUGGAGGUCUUCUCUGACAAAUCGUAAGCUUUUGUAUUGGCAUGUUUACAGUAACUUUCUCAAUUAUUGUUAGUUGUUCGGGCAUCAUGGUUUCUGAUUAAAUAAUUUAAAUGCUGGGGCCUUCAAAUUUUUUGGUUGUGGACCAUUGUUUUUGUCCGCGAUCAAAUCAUAAAGCAGGGGCGGAUUUAAGGUGGGGCAUUGGGGGCACGGGCUCCACUGUCCCCCUUAAAUUCCUAUAAUACAUAUACAAUUUUGAUAUAAUUUUAAGUAUGUUUUCAGAGUUUUUUUAGAAAGGAUAUCAAGAAUUACGUAAUUUUUUAAGUUAGUUUGUAAACUAAAAUUCUAAAAAAAUACGUGGGGGUAGGGCACAAAUUCCGUUUGAAAUAAGAGAAAAAAAAGCCUUUUUCAUUUCAACUAGCAACUACCAAUCAUAUCAUUCAUUUUUUUGAACUCCACUCCCCAAUUUCCCUUCCCUCCUCUGGUCCCCCAUUUUUCCCCCACAACCGAGAGCCACUACCUUCCACAACCAAGCAGCUAGCUACUGUUUCUCUUAAUCAAUUCAUCCAAUCAUAUCAUUCACUUCCUUUGUCCCCAUUUCCUAAUUUCCCUUCCCUCCACUGGUCCCCCAUUUUCCCUCCACAACUAAGAGCUAUUCUUACUUCCACAACCAAGUUAGUUAUCAAAAUAUAAAAACUCGCAAUGAGUAAUUGUAAAUUGUUUAGUUUGUUUUUGAAAUAAAAUUAUUAUUACAUUAAUAAUUUUGAAUUUGUCUUUUUAUAUUUUUCAUGGAAUAUAUGCAUCAUUUGUACUUGUUGGUGAAUUUUUUUUUUGCUUAAAAAAUUAUAAAAAAAUAGGUAAAAAAUUUUAGUAUUAUUUUUGCCCCCACUAAGAAUUUUUUCUGGCUUCGCCAUUGUCGUAAAGGGAGAGUGGGAUUCUGUUUUGGUUACAUGCAUCAUGCAUGUCAUUGUUAAUCCUUGGAAAAUGAAUUUAUGACAUAAUUUGGUCUGAAUUUUGUUUGGUUUUGGAAACCGACCACACUGGGAAGCAGUAAUGUUCUGUGUUUCCGCACUAGCAACGAUGCAUUUUGCUUCUUGGCGCAGUAAUCACGGUUCAGAUUUUAAAUUACCUUUUGUACUUUAGCAUUUCAAGUAUAUAACAUGAUCGGUAUGAAAUCCCUAGCCUUCUACUCCUCUACUUAAAAUGUGAUAUGUUUCGUUUGGAUUAGCUGUUUUUGGAAAUGUUUUUGAAAAAUUUUAUUGUAGCAGAGUUUUUAGAUUAUAUCAUAUAUAUAUAUAUAUAUAAUAAAGUCGUAUUCUCAUACUUAUCCCUUCAUGUUUUCUCUUUCCUACGUGGCUUAACGAGACGGCAAGUAGUUUCCUACGUGACUUGCUCCUUUUUGUUUAGAUAUAUAUCAAUUCUUAUUUCCUAUAAGAAUUCUUAAUAUUAUAUGAUUCUUAUUUCCUAGCCAAAAAAGGAACUGAAAAGUAAUGCAAUAUAAAUAAAAGAGACAUAAAUAUCUCUAUUAGAUAUAUCUCCAAAUUCAUGCCAAUAAUUUGUGUACUGCAUAGGGAACCGAAGUAAAUAAGAAUUGUUAUCACUACAAGAAGUAGAAAAGUAACUAAUUUCAAAAGGAACCAUUAAUAACAGAAGUCAAUAUCUGAUGUUGGAAAUAGGAUUCUUAAUAGAUUUUAUUAUUAGGUGCGUUGUCAAGACAUAGUGCAUAGUACAAAAUUUAUGGAAAAGAAAAAGUUAAUUGAAUCCAAUUAACUAUAUGUAUUUGACCCGUACGGUCAAAUAUAAAUUCCUAUUUGAGCACGGGUUUGUAAAUUCUUAUAAACCCGUUCGUUGUUAAUCAAAACAUGCAGGUUAUACUCAUUGCUAGAUUAUAGGAUUCACAAUACAUCUCUGCUCAGAUAGUGGGGGGUAUUUAGUGUGUGGACCCACACCAUAGGAGUCCAUGCACUUAAAGAACUCGAUAUAGUUGAGGUGGUCUUUUACGGUAGGUAAAAUCUGUCUUGAGAACGCACUUUUAUUUCCUAUAAGAAUUCUUAAUAUUAUAGGAUUCAUAUAUAUAUAUAUAUAUAUAUAUAUAUACAUAAAGUCGUAUUCUCAUCCUUAUCCUUUUAGUUUAUCUCUUUCCUACGUAGCUUAUUGAAAUAGCAAGUAGGUGCAACGCGCUCUAUGAGUUAACCCUCUAAUAACCUACGCUAUUCUAUCCCUCUUUUUUCUCUUGACUUUACAAUUCUAGAUAAUCCUUCCAUAAUUAUCUCUUCCAUUCUCUCACCCUUUUUUUCCUUAACCCUAAUCAUCAAGCCUAAAUUUCUUGGGAAUUAGUAUAAAUAAUUUUGAAUUAUGUUUUUAACUCUCUCUCAUCUUCAACUCAAAAGUUCGAAAUAUCAAUUCAAAUAUUAGAUUAUCUUUAUCAGAUUAUCGCUAUUGAAGAUGCUCUACAUUUUUACUCAUAUAUAUGGUUAUCGAUCUAUUACUCAUCACUUUAUCAAGCAGUGCACAUGUUUACACUUUUCCACAAUGUUUUUGGAAAGUUCUUUUUUUUUUACUUCAAUGCAAGGACCGGAUUUGGAACUUUGUUUUUAUUCCCUUCGCUGUAUGUGGUCUAUAAUUUCCUACACAUUCUUCAUAGCUAGGUCAUUGAAUUUGAAUUUUCUAAAUCUUCAAAAGUUACAGUUUGGUUUUUAUUUCUAACAAAGUUUUUGUAAUUAAUUUGUUAUUUCAAUUUAUAGAUUCACUCUUCAAUUCAAGUAUAACACAUAUUGCUUUUUUGGUUAGUGAUUUAAAAGUGGCCUUUUGAACUAUGUGUUUUCACAUGAUUUUUUAAUUGCCUUUGACAAUUUAUUAAUUGUCUUCAACAAUGUAUUAAUUUUUUUUUGUUUUCUAGGUUUCUGGGGUUAAAAAAAUUUUGUGCAGUUUUCAAUGUUUUUUUUUCAGACUUUGGUAGAAAUCUUCUAAAGAAUAAGAAGGUGUCACUGAUUACAUAAAUAGCAAGGCAUCAAGUUCAUUGUCAUACAGCAGUUCACGUCAUGCAAUAUACAUUAGACUAUUUAGAUUUUUUAUGUUUUUGACUUUAUAGCAAACUACAUCUUAUGUUUUCGUUUGGGUUUCUAUUAGCCAUGAAUAGAUUUAGAAGGUUGUUGUAUUCCUAUGACUUGAUUGAUUCUGAAUUCUUAUAUUUUAUUAAUAUUUCAUUCGGCUUCUUUUCUUUUCACAUUAACCUUUAAGCCAUUUAUAUUAAGUACCAAAAUUGAUGUUUUGGUAACGGGUUGGCCAUUAUUUUGUUUACAGAAGAUCAGCCAAGAUUUGAUCUUCCCUAUUUUCAAGUUUUUGAAUGUCAUCAUAUUGUCGAUUUUUUUCUGCAUUUUUUGAAUUAUUAAUCACUGAAUUAGAUGUUUAAAUUUACAUUAUACGACUAUUUUUGAAUAAUAAUGUAUUUAAGAAAGGUUAUAAUAGAUUAUACAAUAAGUUUGUAUUUUAUGCAAAUAUUUUUAUGAACUACACUAAAUAAUUUAUUAUUUUUAGACAAUUCCCAUUCAACGAAUGUGUACAAAACUAGUUUUGGGAUAUUUUCAGAAAAUAUUUUGGGAUAUUUAAGAGUAGAAGAGUUUCUAGAAUAUAUUUUGAAAUAUUUUUUAAAAUUUUUAAAAAAAUUUAAACUAAUUUUUAGAUUACCUUUUAGAGUACUUUUUAAAAAUUUUUAUUGUAUUUGAAAACUAGUUUUUGAAAAACACUCCCAUAGUCUUUAUAAAUUUAAUUUUUUAUUAUAUUAUUUCUUAUUACUUUCUUUUUCUAGUUGAUUUUGGAUCUUUUUUAUUACUUUUCUAACUAUUUUCUUUGACCUUUUCCUUUAGCUUUUGCGGACGCAUGUACUGGUUUCUCCUCAAACUGGAUGUCUCUCAAUCUCUCUUCUGGGAGUUCAACAUACUUUAAGAUGAAUUUCAUUUUGCCAUUAUCAAGUUUGCACUUAAAGAAUUAAAGUUCAUAUGGGGAUGAGUCAUACUAAUUUCAUAUUUUUGACAUUUAUUUAUCACAAACCUUAAUCCUUCUUUCCUCCAGUGUUUUUUUUCUAUAUCAACUCUCCUUAAUUCCAUUAUUGUUUCACAACAUAAUCUAGAAAGUGUCAGUAUAUAAGAAUUCUUUUGAAGUAAUUAUUACUAAUAUAGUUUCCAUUUCUUGUGGAAUGUUCUGAAUCUUUCCUAAAGCAACAUUUUCCAAUUUGAGUUCAAGAAUUGUUGCCAACUUUUUUGGUUUGCGCAUCACUUUGCAUGUAAGAAUUCAAAAUUUCACCACCAAUUAAAUAGUUUUCCUCGCAACUUGUCCCGUUUAAAUUGCUGUUUUAGGAAUUUUUGUAGAAAAAUAUACUGUAGAAAUUUGAUGUAUAUGAGUUAAAAAGGUGAUUGAGAAAUUUAUUUACAGAAAAAAUUUUAGUUUCCUUUUCUCUUCUAUUUCGAAUUUCUCCCAACUUAUGUUUCCUUGUUGCAAAUCUUGCCAAAUUUUAUAAGAUGUGUCUUAUCAAUUUCUUUGAUACCUGAAACACAAGAAAUUUCUCAUUCCUUAUAUGUAUUCUUGUUUAAUUAUUUAAUUUGGUUCCUGAAACACGAGAAAUUAGUAAAGAAUUUAGAUCCAAUUUGGUGCAACGCUUCUUUGACAAACUGAAUUGGAUGCUUCUGCAACGGAAGUUUUUUUUUUUUUUUUUAUAGGAACAAUAACUUUCCUACAACAUAAUCUAUCCUAUUCUACAGGAAAGGGGAGCCUAAUCUAUCUUAUUCUAUAGGGAGGAGAGGUUAAGAAGGCUGUAUAAGGGAGCCGGUAUACAGACCUGACUAGAUUAAAAGGGUAUUUUGACACCUUCUUUAAAUUUUUUCAUUACAUAUAGAGUUUGAAUUCCAGAUUUACAGUCCAAAAAAAAAUUUAGUUUCUUUUUUAUGGCUACACAGCCAAAGCUUAGUUGGCUCCGUGGUUGCAACGGCAGUUGCUUGGCAUUUUCAAUUCACCUUUCUUUGUAGUAUAGUAGUUGCCGGGAUUCUUCAUCUGCCUUUGAUCCACAUUACACAUGCUUUUGUGUGGGGGGGGGGGGUGGGAUGUGGAAAAUUCCACCCAAGAAGGACAAGAAACCGUGUUGAAUGAUGAAGAAAAGAAAAUGGCAAUCAUCAUUGAGACUCUAAUAAAUCUCACUCCUCAGUUCUUGGGACGUGAACGUACAAUUAAUAAUUCCAUCUAAAUUGCUGAUCCUUGGUGGAUCAGAUUUGAAGCAUAUUUGGUGGACUCCUUAUUUUGUUUGCUUUCUGCAGGGGAUUAUGCUAACACAUCGUUGCUUAAAAAAAAUCCUCCAAUUUCUUUAAAAUCCACAGACCCCCAAAGUUUUCCAUUUCCAUGCUAGCUAUCUAUUUUCCUCUUUGGCUAGUUCAGAAUAGCUAGAAAUUUACAGUGGAUGCUUAUGUUUGCUCUUUAACCACCGGUAAAAGUACUGCAGUAGUACAUCUUUGACAAACUUGGAUGCCAUUAAUUGCCAUGGAGAAGUUUGCUUGGCAAUUUCACUUGGCCUUUAUUGAUCAAUGCUUAGCUGGGUAUUUCAUCUUUUUCUGAUUGAAAGCUGGCUGGGACCUUUGGUUGUGCAAAAUAUCUCAAUGGUUUGUCGGAGUUGUGGUUUGACCCAAGACUGACCCCAGCAAAAAAAAAAAAAAAAAAAAAAAACUAUGUUCAAUGAUCAAAAUGUAAAGGAGAAAGAGGAAAUGACAACCAUAGCUGGUGACUUUGCAACAUUAAUUACCUCAGUCAUUAAUCCUUGGGAAAUAGACUAAAACGUUAUUUUGUGGGGGAAAAUCUUAAAAAAUAGUCCGUGGUUCACUUAUCAAAAACAUGAAAUGGAGUUAACAAUCAGGUUUGGCGUGUAACGACAUAAUUGGCCAAUGGUUGGGUUCUUUCUUCGCUUUUACACUUGUGAAAUCGCCAAAAUAUUCGCUCGUAAUUCCACAAGCUUUCUAGCACUUCAAAAUUUCAAACAUUUUGUUUCAAAAUGCCUUUUUUAUGUACAGCAUACAAAAUUUAAGUGGUGAAAGUUUAAGGAGUUUCUUUAUUACUAUUUUUUUUUUAGAGUACAAUAUACAAUCAACUGGAGUUGGAAGUGAAAAAGACCUUUAGCUCACACUACGAUUAUAAACUUUGACUGAAUUGGGAUGUUUUGGGAAGGGGGAAUGAGCAUGUUCUUGUGGGUUUCAAUUUUUACCAUUGAAUUAUUUACCUAUGAUAUGUUCACAAGUUUAACUUAAAUCGAGUUAUGAUAACAGAAGAUUGUCUAAACCCGAAAGAAAACUUCAAAAGAUCGAAAUUGAAAAUGAGUGAAAAUUAAUGGGGAAUUAACCAGUUAUUUGGAUACUUGAAUUUUACCUAUUUUUGUAUCCAACUCUUUCAUAAUUAGUUUUUCUUAUAGUUUUUCUCGCUCCUAACAAAUUUAUCUUUUCAGAUAAAUUUGAAUUAUUUGUUCUUAUGGUUCCUCUCUCUUCUAACAAUAUGAUAAAUUUGUAUAAAAUUUUUUUAUCCAUAUGGAUUAACUUAGUGUUAAAAAACUUUAACUGUUAGCUGAUAGAUUUAUCAAUAUUGCUGGAAAUUAAAUAUUUGUUGAUGUAGAAAACAAAUCGCAAAAUCUAUUGUACUUAGUUAGGUAGGAAAAUGUAACUAGGUUUAUGGUUAUUAUAAAAAUUGUAAUUAUCUAAAAAAUUCCAUACACUAAAAGGAAGAAUAUCUAUUGAUUUUUUUAUAUGUGUUAUAAUAUUUGAUGAAUAUUAUUAUAUUAUAGUAAAAGUAUGUAAAGAAGUUUUUAAAAAUUAGUAUGACAGUUAAGUAUAAUUAUUCCAUUAAUUUUCUAAAAUUAAUAUGAAUGAACUUGUAAGAUCAUCAUUAAUUUUUUAUUUAAAUUAUUCAUGCUUGCACGAAUUCAUAAUAAAAUAAAAAAAUAAACCAUGCCAAGGCACAUGCAAGAUGCUAGUUCAAAUUAAUGUUGUACACGUAUAGGAGUCACAAAACGGUUUGGUGCACUAGCAGGCGAAAGGGGACAUCUAAAGUAUUAGGACAAGUUUUACAUUAAAGUGGGAGAUUUGUAAAGCAAUUGAGCGAAAACAAAUGAGGUUGAGGAAAAUUUUAUAUCAGUUGCAAUACAAUCAUAAAAGCUAUGACACAUUCGUUAAAAUAAGAAAUAUUUAUUAAUUUGGUGCAGUGUAAUAGCAAACCAAGGAAAAAAAAUGUGAAUGAUCCGUAAGAGGGAAAGAUGUCAUUUGACUUAAAAUAAAAGUGUGAUUGGAUAGAGGUUUAGUUGAACAAAAAAAAUUAGAUUAAUAUCAUAAUACUUUUUGUGGCUUGAUAUAAUGUAUAUGAGAUAGGAUGAUGGCUAGUAAAAUAAAAAAAAAUGAUUCAGGUAAAACAGUGCAUGCAAAGAUGAAGGUUGAUAAUAAUAAUGAUGAUAAUAAUAGGGUGAAAACAGUGCAUGCAAAGACGAAGGUUGAUAAUAAUAAUGAUAACUCUGAUGAGAUGGAUAGCAAUUGCAAGUUGCAAACCAUGCAAUUAGUGUUUUAGAUUAGGUAAAUUUGCACACCAUUAUUGCAAAUAAUUCAGUCAAUAAGAGAGAGGAAAGCAUAAUGCACGAAAUCCAACUUUUAGAAUUGUGUUAUAGUUUAGUGAUGACUGUGUGGUGUUUUUGUAGGCAAAUAAACAGAAAAACAAAUAAAUAUACAAAUUUGAUAAAAUUUGGAUUGUAAAUUAUUUGAGAUAUUUUUACUGUAACAUUUUUUGUGAUGUGAUGUAUGUGAGAUAAAAAGAUAAUUGGGAAGAUAAAAAGGUGUGUUAGAAAUUGUAAUGAUGAUGUAAGCAAAUAAAUUUUGGCAAAUAAUCCUCUAUCCAAACAAACCUGCACUUCUACAGGACCGAAACUAAUUGCUCUUAGGUCCCAUUUUGUACAGGACCAAAACUAUUUUUUAACGUGAUCAUCUUCUCCAAUGGAGGGAGAUCUUCGCUAGCUCGGCUAAAGCAGGUGCUAGAUGAGUACAGCAGGGCUUCAGGGCAGCGGAUCAACUCCCAGAAAAGCUGUUUUUUGACCCACUCGGAGUUUCCGCCACGGCAGGCGGCAGCGGCAGGUCGGAUCCUGGGUUUCCAGAGACAAGCGUUCCCGGUACGGUAUCUUGGCUGUCCGUUAUAUGUGGGCAGGAGGAAAAAGGUCUAUUUUACGGAUAUGUAUAAUGCGGUGGUAGCUCGUAUUCUAUCUUGGAAGAACCAGCUAUUAUCUGUAGGAGGCCGUAUUGUGUUGAUCCAAAGUGUUUUAGCAUCAAUGCCGAUACAUUUACUUGUGGCUGCGUCCCCUCCUCAAGGGGUGAUGGGAGCCUUGGAGAGGUUGUUCGCUGAUUUCUUGUGGGGGCCAUCUGACUUUGGUUCACAAUUCCAUUGCAUUAGGUGGAAGGACAUUUGUUGCCCUCGGGAGGAGGGAGGGAUUGGGUUGCGGAGCCUGAAGGGGGUGCAUGAUUGAUAGGGUGUUAAUUAUUAGUAAUUUUAUUGUUAAUUUUCCCUUUUAUCCUUGCCAAAUAUUGCUUUAAUUAUUAAUAUUUACUUAUAUUUGGUAUUGGACCCAAUUUCAGGAAGUGGAGCAGAAAAGUACAAAAAGGAGGGACUCUCCGGAAUAAAAUGGAAGACUUCUAAACACUUCACAAGCCUAGCCCACGUUGCUGAGAAGAAACGGAUUCCCAUUUCCCUUUUGGCUGACUAGGAGUCCUGCCACCAAGAGAAAAAGGAAAUACAAGGAAUCUGGCAAAGUUUCCUCUUUGUACCUGGACUCCCAAUUCAUGGGGGACCACGGGAGCAUUAGACUUUCUUUUGGCUUUAAAAGUAGGAAAAAAGCGGACAGAGGCUGGACAGUUAGCUUUUUAGCAUAGUUUAGUUGUUCUUUUUUUCUUCUUUGCCGUCUCUUCUAGGAGGACGACGGAAACAUAUCUUUGUUUUAGAAUAAUUACUUCUGCAAUUUCGCAUGGGAUUUCCUCCAUGUAGAUGAACUAAGCCUCUGAUCUAGUCAAGGGACAACGGAUGUUUUGGGUCGCCUAAAAUUGUGAGAUCGAUUUAAUUUUAUCUUUUUCUUUUAUUUAUUGGUAUUCGCAUAUUCCCUGGUUACAGUGCUUAUGAUUGUUUAAUUAAUUGAUUGUCUUGGAUCCGGAUAAUUAGUUAAUUUGAUAAUCUAUUGUCAAUUGGGACGUUAAAUCCGUAAUUGUUUAAUUGUCUCAAAAUAGUGAUGACCGGCAUGAUUGGGUUUGUGUCAAAGGAAUAAGCGGGCUAACAUAAAAUAACCCUGGUAGUGUGUUAUUUGGUUAGAAUAUGGCUCUUCUAAUACGUAAGGCAAUUGGGGAAUUAAAUCUUACGGGCGUACCUAAGAUUAUUUCCUAAUUAGAGCAGUGAUUAAUGGGCGUACCUUAAUCACCGACACAGUAAGGAGGGGUUGACUGCCAUCGCUUGUUUGGUAAUUAUAAUCUAUUUAUUGAUAAAUAAUUGGAAUUGCCUUUGCUUCGAUGAUCAAUUAGGUGUACCAUUGCUGAAGUUAUUUCUUGGCUAGAUCCUUAAUUAUCACUCAUUUGAUUUUAGUAAAUUGUUAUUUAAUUUCUAGUUGGCUAUUUCAUUUUUAUUAUUUUACUUUUAGUUGAAUUGCUUAAAUUGUCGCCCCUGAUAUAAAACACCCCCCCUUUGUUACUGUGGAUUUGAAAAGAAACAGUUACACCCAGUCCCUGUGGAUUCGACCCUGCUUACCACUAUCUACAGAAAUUAACUUUAGUUGAGCAGGUUUUUAUUAUUGCACAGGCUGACAACCUGUCAAUGAUUCGCUCUUGGUUAAACUAUGGUGGAAGUUCAGACAGCAGCAAUUGCUUUGGGCGGAGUUCAUGACUAGGAAGUAUUGUGCGGGUCUGCACCCGUGUCUAGCGGAUGAUGGCCCGAUGUGUUCUUCUACGUGGAAACGGAUGGUAGCAGUUCCGCAGGUUGCGGAGGACAACAUCGGUUGGGUAGUACGCCAGGGUUCGAUGGACUUUUGGCAUGACAAUUGGUUGGGGACUGGAGCGCUUUGUGGUAAGGUUGAGGUUUUCUUCGAUCAUUUGGUUGCGGAUUUUGUGGAAGGGGGGGCAUGGAAUGUCGAUAUGCUUCGUCAGUACUUAGAUGCCGGGCUAGUUGGUCGGGUUCUGCAGGUGGCCCCCCUUCCUUUCGAGGCCCAGAUCGUAUGAUUUGGAGACCUACGACGGCUGGUGUUUUUUCCACAUCCUCAGGCUAUUCCCUCGUCCGCCAUGUUGAUAAUCGUUCUUGGAUCUAUGCCUCGGUCUGGCGGCAAGGUCUUCCGGUUAAAAUUUCUUUCUUCAUGUUGAGGCUGAUGCUGGGCAGGGUUCCUACCAUGGAUAAAUUGGCGAGGUUCGGCCUCUAUGGCCCGUCCCGAUGCUGGUGUUGUCAAGAACCACAGGAGGAGAGUCUGGAACAUGUGUUUUGUUCUGGAGAAGGGGCGCGGACACUUUGGCGGUACUUUGAGAUUCACAUAGGGCUACAAACGAGUCGAGCCGAGUCGAGCUUUGAGCUAAUCGAGCCGAGUCUCGACUAAAUUUUACCAAGCUCGAGCUCGAGCUCGAGCUCGACGAGCCGGCAAUUUUCAAGCUCGAGCUCGACUCGAAUCAAGUCGAGCCGAGCUCGAGUCGAGCUCGAGUCGGCUCGAGUCGAGCUCGAAAAAAAUAAAAAAUAAUUAUUUUAUUUUAAAAAAAAUAAAUAAAAUAAUUUUUUUUUCUUAAUAAAUAAUAAAAUAUUAAGGAUAUAUACGUAAUUUUACUAUGAAAAUAAAAAAUAAAAACAUAUAUAUAAUAUACGUAAUUUUAUUAUUAAAUAAAAAUAAAAAUAAAAAAUAUAUAUAUAUACUCAAACUCGCGAGCCGGCUCGCGAGCUAACGAGCUUAAUAUUCUGAGCUCGAGUUCGAGCUCGAGUUUGACUCGAGCAGGCUCGAGCCGCUCGCGAGCGGUUCGAUUCAUUUGCAGCCCUAGAUUCACCCGGGGGAAAUGGCGGGGGUGCAUACACUCCGACACAUGGUUGGAUUAUGGUGGUUAAGGAGAGGGAGCAAUGAGUUUUUGCAGUUCGUGUUUCAUAUACUACCGUUGGUGAUUUACUGGGAAUUAUGGAAGGUGAGGAAUCUGGGAAUGUUUGAAGGACAGCGGAUGAGGGGUCGGGAUAUGGUGAAUCGAGUCGUCCAGGUGCUAGUAGAGGUCUGUCAGGCACGCUUCCCGACGCUGAGGUGUGCGGAUGCUUCGUGGGAAGGGUUAGUGAGGGAGGUGACUUGUCGGCGAGAGAGGUGGAUUUUCCGGAUGGUCCAUUGGGUAAUGCAGCAGGGUGGGUGGAAGUUGAAUGCGGAUGGAUGUUCUCGGGGGAAUCCGGGUUUGAGUGGAGGGGGUGGACUGGUGAGGGAUUGCCUUGGGGACUUUGUUUUCGGUUACUCAGAGUGUUUUGGUCAUCUAACCAACCUACGGGCUGAAUUGCGCGCUCUACUAGUGGGGAUUAAGCAUUGUAUUGCCCGGGGAUUCCUGGAGAUACACUUGGAAUCAGACUCACUUACACUGAUUCGGAUGGUUAGAGGGGAGAGUACUUGCCCUUGGGAGAUGCAGGGGGAAUUGGAUGACUUGCUUCAGUUCAAGCAGCACUUUCAGACAGCAGCUCACUGCUACAAAGAGGCGAACGUUCCCGCGGAUCAGUUGGCUAAUUUAGGGGCAGAUCUAAAUGGCAAACAACUGUUUCAGUCAAUGUUGGAUUUACCUCAAUGGGUUCGGGGGGCGAUUAGGUUGGAUCAGUUGGGAAUUCCCUCGAUCCGUAGACAGAUGGUAGGAUAUGUAUGAUAGGGCACUUAGUGUACUCAAGAUUCCGUAUUAAUAAAAAACAAAAAUAAUUUUUAAAAAAAAGUUUUUUAUAGAGACUUUUUCGUUUGGAUUGCUAUUUUUUGAAGUUUUUAUAGAAAAAUGUGUUGUAGGAAUUUAAUAUCUAUGAGAUAAAAAAGUAAUUGAAAAAUGUGUUUAUGAAAAACGUUAAAAAUUUUCCGUAGUAAACUGCAAUCCUUGCAUGGCUUGCGAUUUGAUCAAUAUGAAAUAAAAAAGUAAUUAAAAAAUGUGUUUACAAAAAAUGUAAAAAUUUUGCCUUAGAAAACUACAAUCCAAACAAGUAGUCUUCUCCCCAUUCAAGAAACACAAUGAAAAUAUUUGUUGAAUAAUUAAACUUAUCCCUUCAUAAACCACUUAUACCGGGGGAAGUAUGGAGGGAGGCAAUGAAUAAAACGUCUCGGGUUCGAUUCCUCCCACUUACACAAAGAAAAAAGUACAAAAAAAAAAACCACUUAUACUAGCUAAGAGUAUUUUCUGGUUACGUCUCGUGUUAUAUAUUAUUAAUCCUAUCCUAUUAUCCAAAAGCAUUUGUUGGAAAUUGCAUGCUUAAUUUAGAUUAAAAAAACAAUAAUGAAAUAUUUGUUGGAAACGAAGGAAAAAUGACGCAACCUUUCCAAUUUGUAAAUUCAAUUAGGCUAACAUGUAAAACUAUUAAAGUGUAUCAGCAUGAGAGAAUUUAGUGCUUCAUCUGACGCUUGUAAAAUAGACAAAUGAAGUUUUGAAAUUCUAGCAAUUUUGGGCCAAUACCUUUUUUUUAAGGCAAAACCAAUACCUUAGGUAAUUACAAGAUCUCAUCUUGAUUUGCUGUUUUUCUUAUUAAAUGUUGAAUCUAGAAAAUCAUGUCUAAGAAAUAACUACAUAUACCUGGAAAAAAAAUUUAGUGCAAGGAUAAAUAUACGGUUAAGUUAUGGAAAUUCUCUUUUCCAUUUUAGCAAUUUGAUUCUUUGGAUGCAUGAUUUUAUCUGUUAUAUUUGGCUUCAAAAUAAGUUACUUUAGAAUGGUGUUUGGAUGUGGAUACAUAAUCUGUAAUUAUUCUCACCUACUAUUUAUUUUCUAAAGGCCUGUCCACUUUAUUCGGAUUUCUUACCUAUUUCACUCACAAAUGCAGAGGUAGCCAUUGGCGUUUUACGAGGAAGAGAAGCCAAAAAAACUACCAACCCCUUUAUUGCUCUCUUUCAUCUUAUUUCUCCAUCUUUCAUCCUUCUUUUUCAUUGUGACCUACAAUUAGGACUGCAAACCACUCAAGCGCUAGCGAGCCAACUCAAUCAAAAGUUAGCUCAAGUUCAGUUAACAUUGAAUUCGAGUUGAGCUCAAUCCAACCAAGUCGAGCUAUCGAAUUCGAGUCAAACAUAAAGAAAUUCAACUCGUUAACUCACGAGUCAGCUCGAAUAUAUAUUUAUAUAUAUUAUUUUAAUAAUAAAAUUACACAUAUAUAUGCCUAAUAUUUUUAUUAUUUAUUAAGCAAGAAAUGACUAUUUAUUCAUUUUUUAAAAGAAACAAAAUAAGUAUAUUUUACUUUUUAAGGUCGAGCAAGCUCAAACUCGAGUACUCGACUUUGAUUAGGCUCAAAUUUGAAGUCGAGAACGAACUCGAAUUUUACAUUGAAAACUCGUCGAAUUCGAAUUUGAUAAAAUUGAUUUGAGCUUGACUCUAUUAAGCCAAAAGUGGACUCAACUGGAUUCAUUUGUAACCCUACUGACAAUGCUUUGAUCUCCAUUUUAGAAAGGUUAGUUGUUGGCCUUGGUGAACUGUUAACGGGGAAGCAAUUUGAUCUACUUGUUGACAUGCAAUUGGCUAAUCAUUCAAGUGUUGCUACUGCUUUAUGCAGUUUUAACAAGGUGGUUGAAAUUGAUAAAAGGAAAAACUAUUAAAGCAUUAGCGAUUUAUUGGUUGUAAACACUUGCCACAAGAAAAUGUAUUUACUUAUCCGGACACUAUCGAUGAACCGUUCAAUAGGUGCUUGUCUUCAAUAAUUUCUGAAAGAUUAUAUAAUGUGUGAAUGUUUCGAAAAGACAAUACAAUAUGCAAAAACUAUUCACUGAUAGUUUCCAAAAGGAGUUUAAUUAAGCUUUACUUGUCGGUUUAUUGUUUGAGACUCUGACUUAGCAUCUAUAAAUGAAUGCAAUAACUGGUAGGGAAAAAGUCAUUCGAUUGUGAUGUAUUUGCUGAUUUUCUUGAAAUAAAAAAUACAUAGGAAAAAAAAUAUUAGAGAGUUAUCCUUUGCAUGGAGUUCAUAUCGUUACUACUUUUGCUACGUGGAAUACCUUGUCUGAUGGAUGUCUGCUUGAAAUAUGCAUUGACCUUUAUGGCUUCCACAUAUUGUAUGUUUAUCCUAAUAAAUCAUCUUAUAUUGUGCUAAAAUUUCAAACAAGUUUUGGAAUUUUGCUGCAAGUUUAUCUUCUCAAAAGAUAAGUCAAUCGAUUUGAUUUGCGUCAAAAAAUGUGGGUAGAGUUUUGUUUCUAAAUAAAUACUCGGAUAAAACCAAUCCAAACAAACAUUAUGCUUUGCUGAGGCCAACAGCUGACAGAUCUUAAAUGCUGGGGCCUUCAGUUGUGGUAAAAACCUCUCUGACCCAAGAUGCACAAGAGACUGCUGUCUUUAAGGAUAAAAAUGUACCAAAAUAAUAAUAAUAAAUAAAAGGAAAAUGACAAUCUACUUUGGCUACAUUGUUCAGCCAAUUUCCAGUUCUUGAGAAAUAAAAUAGACGUUCAACGCCCAUUUUCUAAUUCGAUUCAGUUCUGUGACCCCUUUUUUUAAUUUUCUAUAAUUUGAGGUAUAUAUAUAAAUAUAUAUGUAUGUAUAUGCCAAUCAUAUCCCAAUGCCAUUUGGUAGCUUUGCUUGGUCACUAUUCAACGCUUCCCUAUAAUUGUUCUAUUGUUCCCGUCAUUCAGAAACAAGGGAACAAAUCCUUAUACUACUGUAUAAGAAUAAAUUGUGAUCAAAUGGAAUUUGAAUUUCAGUCGUAUGAAUAGGGAUUUUUUUAAAAUAUGAAAUAUUGUGUAGUUUUUUAAAAUCUUUUGGUACAAUUGAUGGCAGCAUGUGUUUAGAUAGAUUUACUGAAAUACAGUCAUUUUGGUACAUUUAAAACUUUGAUUUAUGGGGACAUUCAGGUAUUUCUGAAAUAUAAAAUUAUUUUGCAACCAUUUUUGCAUCGAGUACAACUCAUAUAAACUUAUGUGUUGAUAUAAUUACUGAAAUGAUAUUAUUGACAUAUUUAAUUAAAGUGUGAUUUUUGUUGUACAAUUAACACAAAGAUAUAUUAACACGUUGUGCAAUUAAAAUAUUGCUAUAAUUAGCCGUUAGAGGAUAUUUCUUUGUUUGAAACAAUUUAUAUCUGCUCUUGGGCGAUUUUCAACUAACAUCUGUAGGGGCUUUUUAAGAAUGGUAAAAUUGUAAAAGCAUUAAUAAAGUAAAAUGUACAAGUGUGUGCUGCAAUUAAAAUGUACUAUUAUUAGUUUUAUUAUAUUUGAUGACUAUUUCUUUUCAGAAUAUACAAUUAUUUAUCCAAUAAAAAAUUCUCUCAAAUCACAUGCACCAAACAUCAGUACGAUGCACGGGCACUCCUAAUAAUCACAACAAAGAAAGGAAGGCAACCAAAUUGAUCAAGAAAGUGGAGCGAUUGAUUACAAAUGAAUAAUGUCAUAUUGUCGCAUAUUACUACUGCCUUAUUACCAUUAGAUAGGCAAAAUAUUUGUACUUUUCAAUUUUCUAUUUGGAGGUAAGGUCUAAUAUCCCCUUCCUUUCUUUGUAACUUUUUCGAUGAUUUUAUUAAUAAAAUGGGUAUAUAACCCCACCUGUCAGAUAUAAUUGGCGGUUUUUUUUUUGGUUAAAAAACUGUCAUACUGCAAUUAUUUGUUCCAAUCAUUGGGUGCAACACUCUGAGUAGGGAUGUACGCGAACUGAGCUACUUGUGAGCUACAAUGACUUGGCUUGAACUUGGUCAAAUCGAGUUCGAACCGAAUCUCGAAUUACUCGAAUAUACAUGUAAAUCGAGUUCAAGUCAGGACUUUGCAACUCGUGGCUCGAUGAGCUACUCGUCGAGUAGUAUAAUUUAAAUAAUAUAUAUGUAUGAUAAUUAUAAAAUGACCGUUAUGGGUAUAAUUUAUAUUGAAUUUACAAGUAGGGUGCCGAGUCAAAAAGUUCGAUUACUCGACUCGAUAAGAUUUGACUCAAUUGUCGAGCCUUAUCAAGUUGAGUCUCGAGCUUUUAAGGAUCUCCUCGAGUCAAAUUCAAGUUGAGAUUCUUUGACUCGAUCGAGUUUGAGCCGAACUCAAGCAUAAUUAUUAUAGGCCGAGUCGAGCUCGAGCAGUACAUCCCUAGCUCCAUAUGAAGAAAUGGGUGCGUUACUAGAACUAAAAGAAAGAAAAGAGACCUAAUGAAGUAGAGUUCACAAGGAGGUGCGACGUGUUAAAUUUUUUCACAGACAAAGGACCACAUGUGUCCCCAUUUUUAAAAUUCCUUUUUCAAUAAAUCAGCCUCAUGUAUUACGUUACGGGCAAAUGCAAACCCCAUAUUUGCAAAAGAGCAGAGGGGCUCUUUUUUUUUUUUUCUUUUUUUGGUGCGUCACAGAGGUGCUCUUUUGCAAAGUAGGGAGCUGCAUUUAGUUUUCAAUUUUUUUAAAAAAAUUAACAUUUCCAAAACAAAUUUAAAAUUACCAAAAAAGGGUUUGGAUGCGCAUGUAUGCAUGUUGCCAAUUGUGCCAAAAUCGACAUCCCUAAAUAAAGAAAAGGAUUAAUCACAUUUAAACCUCUUAAGGUAUACCUUAUUUCUCAGUUUACCCUCUAACCUUUAAUUUUGCUCACUUAACCCCCUAUAGGACAAAAUUGCCCUUGCAUUAUUUUGACUUUUCAUUUACCUUGUUUUCCUUUCUUUUAUUUCUUUUUCUCUUUCUUCUUUAUUUAAUUCUUCCUCUUUCCCACAAAAAUUUUCACCUUAAUGAUUGAAAUUAAAAAAGAGGAAUUGCAGAGAUCUAUUUUCUCCUUAAAUGAUUAAAAAAAAUAUUCAAAUCACUUUCCCAAAAUACAAUUUUUUUAGCCUUUCAAUUCUUUUAAUUUUGGGUUUUCCUCUUUCCUUUCUAGUUUCUCAUUUUAUUCCCAAGAAAAUAUCUUAAAAUGAAAUUGUGACUUGAUUAAUAAUCAUCAAUUGAAAUUUGUGACACGUGGCAUCAUACAAAAAAUAAAAAUUAGUUUUUGAUGCAUUUUAAACCUUCACCCAAAAAUAUGCAAUUACAAAUUCAAAACAAAAAUUUUCGUUGAAAUGAAAUUUUCUAUUGGGAAGGAUGAAAGAGAGAAGAAAGAGAAAAAAAAUAAAAGAAAGAAAAACAAUUUCAUCUCAUAACCCGGAACAUGCCAGGGGAAAUUGCAUAUUUUUGGGUGAUAUCCCGUAGGAUCAUAGUUCGAACCUUGUUGUGCGAAAUUCCUGUACAUCCAUGGGCGGGGCUUUGUACAGGCCAGGGGAUUAAUCCAGAAACCCCUGAAUUGACAAAAAAAAUAUAUAUAUAUGGUGGGAGAUUUUGUGUAUAGAGUCACAAAAUCGGUUUGGUGCACUAGCAAACAGAAGGGGACAUCUAAAGUACUAGGACAAGUUUGACAUUAAAGUGGGAGAUUUGUGGCAGUCUAAUAGCAAACCAAGGGGAAAAAAAUAUGAACGAUCCGUAAGGAGUCAUUUUACUUUAAAUAAAAGUAUGAUUGGAAAGGGGUUUAGUUGAACAAAAACAUUAGAAUAAUAUCGUAAUUUGGUGCAGUCUAAUAGCAAACCAAGGAAAAAAAAAAUACUGAGUACCUGGGUUUGGUGAAGCCAAGAAAUAAUGAGAAAGUAAUGGCUAGUCCACGCACAUUCCAUUGGUAUUAUCAUAUUUUUACUUUGUUGAUGUUAUAAAAUAAAAGUCAUCAUUUUAAAUUUAACAUAUGUUUUUUAAUUUUAUAAUUUAAAAGUAACUUUUUAAAAUCUCAAUAUACAUUAAUCAAGAGAAUAUUUUAAAUUCAAAAAUACAUUUGGACGGAGGAGGAAAUUUAUAAAUAUAAUAAUUGUCAUGUCUUUGUAAAAAGUUAAAUUCCCAAAAACGAUUCUAAUAUUUGGACGGAAGGGUAAUUCAUAAUUGCCAUGGAAGUUGCUUGGGAUUUUGACUUGACCUGUCGUAAUCAAUGCUUUGCUGAGGCCUACACCUUUUUCUGAUUGUUGGGCCCUUCAGUUGUGGAAAAAAUCCCAGAGGGUUGUGGGAAUAGUGAUCUGACCCAAGAGGCACAAGAAACUGUUGUCCUUAAGGAUAAAAAUGUACCCAAAAUAAUAAUAAUAAUAAAUAACAUUAUUUAAGUACUCCUUAUUUUGUUUGCUUUCUGCAAGCAUUAUGCUAGUGAGUUUGUUUGGAUAGAGUAUUAUUUGAAAUAAUUACUGUAGUAUUUUUUAUGAUAUAAUAUAUGUGAGAUAAAAAAAUAAUUAAAAAUAUAAAAAAUUAGAUUAGAAAACAUCUUUACGAUUCAAGAUUGGAUUCCAAUUUUUACAAUUGAAUUAUUUGCCUAUGAUAUGAUCACAAGUUUAACUUAAAUGGAGUUGCGAUAAUAGAAGAUUCUUGAAAGAAGACUUCAAAAGGUGGAAAUUGAAAAUGAGUGGAAAUUGAUGGGGAAUUAACCGGUUAUUUGGAUACUUAAGUUUUACCUAUUUUUGUAUCCGGCUCUUUUAUAAUUAGUUUUUCUAGUCCUAAAAAAUUUAUCUUUUUAGGUAAAAUUGAAUUAUUUUUUCUUAUGGUUCUUCUCUAUUCUAACAAUAAGAUAAAUUUGUAUAUUUUUUUUUAUCCACAUGGAUUCACUUAGUGUCAAAAAACUUUAACUAUUAACUGAUAGAUUUAUUAAUAUUGCUGGAAAUUGAACAUUUGUUGAUGCAUAAAUAAAUUGCUAAAUUUUUUGUACUUAAUUAAGUAGGAAUAUGUAACUAUGUUUAUGGUUAUUAUAAAAAUUGCAAUAAUGUAAAAACUAUACAUACACAAAUGGGUAGAAUAUCUAUUGAUUGUUUGAUAUGCGUUAUAAUAUUUGAUGAAUAUUAUUGUAUUAUAAUAAAAGUAUCUAAAGAAUUUUUUAAAAAUUAGUAUGACAGUUAUGUAUAAUUAUUACAUUAAUUUUAUAAAAUUAAUAUGAAUGAACUUGUACGAUCAUCAUUAAUUUUUUAGUAAAAUUAUUCAUGCUUGAACGAAUUCAUAAUAAAUUUUAAAAAAAUAAACAUGCCAAGGCACAAGCAAAAUAAUGCUACUUCAGAUUAAUGUUGUACAUGUAUAGAGUCACAAAAUGGGUUUGGUGCACUAGCAAACAGAAGGGGGCAUCCAAAGUAUUAGGACAAGUUUGACAUUAAAGUGGGAGAUUUGUAGAGCAAUUGAGCGUAAACAAAUGAGGUUGAGGAAAAAUUUAUAUCAAUUGCAAUACAAUCAUAAAGCCUGUGACACAUUCGUUAAAAUAAGAAAUAUUUAUUAAUAUGGGGCAGUCUAAUAGCAAACCAAGGGGGAAAAAAUUGAAUGAUCCAUAAGGAGGAAAAAUGUGAUUUUACUUUAAAUAAAAGUGUGAUUGGAUAGCGGUUUAGUUGAAUAAAAAUAUUAGACUAAUAUCAUAAUUUGGUGCAGUCUAAUAGCAAACCAAGGAAAAAAAAUACUGAGUUUUUAGCAUGCACACCAUAUAAUCAGACAUCUUGUGAUUUGAACGAAACUAAAAGAACGAUGGAAAUCAUCAAAACCAAUAUUUGUUUCCCUUUACUUGGUAUGAAUUAUGAAGCCAAUUGCUUAAUUAUUCACAAAGCUAAAUCAAUAGUUUUCUCUUGGAGAUUAAGAAAGAAAUUUUGCUACAUAAACAAAAAUUUUCUUACUUGGUAUGAAUUAUGAAGCCACUUGCUUCUUCCUCGAAGCUGGCUUGGUUUUAGUUAAUUAUGUUUACAGCAACUACUUAGUUUACUCUAAUGCUGGGGCCUUGGGAUGCUCAAAAAGUCCAAUCCUUGAUAUAUAAAAAAAUACUGAACAAAAAGGUAUUUCCACCUAAAAUAUUAGCAAUAACAAUAGUAGACAAAUUAUAGAAGUGGACGGCUCGGGUUUGGGUCCCAAACUCUCAAUUGCUAUAUUAGGGCGGCUUAGCUAUCUCAAUUAUUGCACCUAAAACACCAACAAGUGCGUGCAGAAAACAUCAAAAGAAAUUAUUGCCUCCGCAGCAAGAAGAGGUUUUCUCAGCUUAGUCGUAGAAGAAGAGAGUGCUUCUUUUGAUAAACUUGAAUGCAAUUUGUAGCAAAACUGAUUGGCGUUUUACUUGAAUGUUUCUAAAUCAAUGCUGGAAUUUUUUUUUUUGUUCUUUAUUACUUUUUUUUUUUUGGAAAAAUCAUUUAAAAUGUUCCUUACAUUUCGUCAGAUGAAUUUUUUCUUCCCUCACUUUUAAAAUAUUAAUUUUAUGUCUCUUAUAAAAUCAAAGCAACCAAAUUUAGUCCCAACUUGGGAUUUUGAUCACUAAAUAUGCAACGUGACCCACAUGUAAUCAUCUUUUCAAGUGCAAAAACUACAUUUUUUUCCAAAAAUUAAAAGCAACAUCAAAAAACUAGAAAAAAAAAAUAUGAGUGAGGAGUGAAAUGUAAGAAGCAUUUAAGAAGCAGGAGUUUUGAACGGAGGACCUCUAAUUCUUUUAGUUUCAAACUUAACUAAUUGACCAAGGUCUUUUCCCAAUAUAAAGGCUCAUCUCAUGAAGAAGAAUGCAAAUUAUUCGACAGGAUUCAAAUGUUACAAGAUGCUAAAUCCCCUAUUCCUUCAUGAUUAAAUGCCAAUACAAAUUUACUGAAAGAAAAGGAGCCAUGCACGAAAUUAUUGCAUCUGCUGCAAGAAGAGAUUUUCUCAGCGUAGAAGAAGAGAGUGCUUCUUUUGAUAAACUGGAAUGCAUUUUCCACCAAUACAGAUUGGCGUUUUACUUGAAUGUUUCUAAAUCAAUGCUGGGUUUUUCUUUUUUGUUCUUUAUUACUUUUUUUGAGAAAAUAAUUUAAAAUGUCCCUCAUAUUUCGUUAGAUGAAUUUAUUUGCCCCUCACUUUAAAAUAUUGAUUUUAUGUUCUUUAUAAAAUCAAGGCGGCCAAAUUUAGCUGCAAUUUGGGUUUUUGACCACCAAAUACAUGAAGAGAUUCACACGUGAUCAUUGUUUUGGGUGCAAAAACUGCAUUUUUUUCAAAAAUUAAAAGAAACUUCAAAAAAUCGGAAAAGAAUAUCAGUAAGGAGGAGUGAGAUGUAAAAAACAGGAAUUUUAAACCUAAGACCUCUAAUGCUAGUAUUCUCAACCUUAAUUAAUUGACCAAGGCCUCUUCCUUAUAUAAAAGGCUCAUCUCAUGAAGAAGAAUGCAAAUUAUUUGACAGGUUUCAAAUGUUACAAGAUGCUAAAUCCCCUAUUCUUUCAUGACUAAAUGCCAAUACAAAUUUACUGAAAGAAAGAGGAGGCGCGCAAGAUCGCUGGUGUAGUUGUCAAUUUUUGAACACUUUUUUAGGUUUUUUUGCCGUGAACUAUCACCCAAGUCCCUUAUUGAAUUUGCAUUUUCUUUUCAAUCAUGCGCGCCGAGCGUGCCAAUAGGCAGUCAAUAUUCCCGCCUGCCUGAAGGGAAAUGUCACCCAUAUAGCCAUCAUUUCUGGGCAUUAAUGUGAUUUCAUUAAAUUUUUGGACCGAAUCUUUGUGUUGUUAAACAUUUUAUUCAUCCAUCUUGGGGAAAAAAGUGUAUAGUAUAUCUUAAGUUCAGAGUGAUAAAGUGUUACUCAGGUCUCAUUCCCAAGUUCGUGAUGUAAUCAAAGUGUAAUCAACCCUUAAAUUCAUUCAUCACAUCACUCUCUAUAUUCACAACAACAAAUCACAAGUUUUGGCCGGCUGAGACGAAGAGAAUAAAAAGACUGUGCCGUGAUGCGGUUCAGCUAAGAAUCAAAUGAAUUCCAAAAGUAAAGGCAUUAUUUAGGGGCCAACAGGGUUUCCCAUCGAGCAUUUUAAUUAGCCAAAAUCACUGCAAAACAGACAAUCCAACUGACGACACCAUAUAUAUAGAAAACCCAUAAAGCUAACUGGAAACUGCAUGACACUUUUUUGUUCAGUCAAUUUUUCAGAAAUCUAAAUCAAUAUCUCUGAUGAACUAAUGUUUUUUUAUAUGUGUUGAAUGUUGUUUGGUUUAGUAAAUUAUCAUUCCAGCGAGUAGUUGCUUUACGCUAAUGCUGGGGGCCCUUGGGGUGUUUAAAAAGUCUACUCCUUGAUAUUUAAAAAAUACUGGGAAAAUGAUGGGCACAGCUAACAUUUCCAGCUAAAAUAUUAACAAUGUAUAAUACUAGCAGGAGAAAAUAAAAUAUAUAUAGAAAUGGAUGGGUGACGGUGGAGUCUCAAUUGUUAAUGUGUUAUUGUGUCAGGGCGGCGGCUUUGGCACCAACAAAUUAUCCAAAACAAAUCCUAAACAAAUCAUGAGUUUAGGAAAUGUAAGAAGCAUUUAAGAAGCAUGAGUUUUGAACGGAGGACCUCUAAUUUUUGUAGUUUCAAUCUUACCUAAUUGACCAAGGUCUUUUCCCCAUAUAAAGGCACAUCUCAUGAAGAGGAAUGCAAAUUAUUGGACAGGAUUCAAAUGUUACAAGAUGCUAAAUCCACUAUUCCUUCAUGAUUAAAUGCCAAUACAAAUUUACUGAAAGAAAAAGGUGCCACGCAAGAAAUUAUUGCAUCUGCUGCAAGAAGAGAUUUUCUCAGCAUAGAAGAAGAGAGUGCUUCUUUUGAUAAACUGGAAUGCAUUUUCCACCAAUACUGAUUGGCGUUUUACUUGAAUGUUUCUAAAUCAAUGCUGAGUUUUUCUUUUUUGUUCUUUAUUACUUUUUUUUUUAGAAAAUCAUUUAAAAUGUCUCUCAUAUUUCGUUAGAUGAAUUUUUUUGUCUCUCACUUUUAAAAUACUGAUUUUAUGUUCUUUAUAAAAUCAAGGCGGCCAAAUUUAGCUGCAAUUUGGGUUUUUGACAACUAAAUAUGCAACGUGGCCAUUGUUUUAGGUGCAAAAACUGCAUUUUUUUUUUCAAAAAUUAAAAGAAACUUCAAAAAAUUAGAAAAGAAUAUCAGUAAGGAGGAGUGAGACGUAAAAAGCGGGAACUUUAACCCUAAGACCUCUAAUGCUUGUAUUCUCAACCUUAGUCGACCAAGGCCUCUUCCUUAUAUAAAAGGCUCAUCAUCAUGAAGAAGAAUGCAAAUUAUUUGACAGGUUUCAAAUGUUGCAAGAUGCUAAAUCAAUAUCUCUGAUGAACCAAUGUUUUAACUGGAAACUGCAUGAGACUUUUUUGUUCAGUCAAUUGUUCAGAAAUCUAAAUCAAUUUCUCUGAUGAACCAAUGUUUUUUUAAUGUGUUGAAUGUUGUUUGGUUUAGGAAAUUAUCAUUCCAGCGAGUAGUUACUUUACGCUAAUGCUGGAGCCCCUUGGGUUGUUUAAAAAGUCUACUCCUUGAUAUUUAAAAAAUACUGGAAAAAUGGUAAAAUAUUAACAAUGUAUAAUACUAGCAGGAGAAAAAAAAUAUAUAUAUAUAUAUAUAUAUAGAAAUGGAUGGGUGACGGUGGAGUCUCAAUUGUUAAUUUGUUAUUAUAUUAGGGCGGCUUUGGCCAUCUCAAUUAUUACCGCUGCACCAGGGAAUGUAUGCAGAAAAAUCCUAAACAAAUCAGCCAAUGAGGGUUUCUCAGCUUAGAAAGAAGAGCGCUGCUUCUUUUGACAAACUUGCAAAUGCAUUCUCCACAGUACCAACUAACAUUUCCGUCUAAAAUAUUACCAACAACAAAACUACUUUUCCGUAUAUAGGACUCUCAAUUGUUAUUAUAUCAUAUUAGGGCGCUUGGCCAUCUCAACUAUUGCACCUCCAGACAAAAAAAAUCUAAAGAAAUUAUCCAAUGAUGAGAGUGAAACGAUGAGAGUGAGUGCUCGGAUCAGGAUGAGUUUUGCAGCAUGGAAGGUAUUAGUAGCAUCGCGGGGUUGAAAUGAUGAGUUAUGCGAAAAAUCCGAAGGAUAUUUCGUCAUGCCUUCUGCAAACAAAUAGCACCAGCAAGCGCUAGCAGUUUUGUGCUAGCGUAGUGAGAGCCUGCAGGGUCACGCUAAGCUCCAUUUUAAAUAUUUUUAAUAAUUUUUAUUUCGUGCAUUUCUCUAAUAUUUUUUUUUUACAUUUAUUAAAGCGAAAUGUUCAAUUUAUACAUUUUAAAUAGGGAUAGUUUCACAAACUUCCCUUGAAGUUUUUGACAAUUUUAUUGUGCUGCUUGAAGGUUUUAAAACUUACCUCCCUUAUCGACAUAAAACGACAACACUAAUGUUAACAUUUUAAUAAAACUCCCAUAUUGGGUGUGCAUAUAUAAAGAAUGGGAUUUAUAAUUAUUUUUUCUUUUUCUUUUCCAUUUCUCUUCUUAUUCUUUCUUUUUAUAUUUUUGCUAGUGAAAUGAUAGAAAACCGUAAUCACCAACUCUAAAUGUUGAAUUACCGACUUUUUUUUAACAACUUUGAAUGCCAUCCAAUUUUUAUUUGUCAAUAUUUUUUUUUCAAUCAAAAGGAACACUAACUCAAAAAGAAAUGCUCAAAACGACUACCAAAAUAUGGUAAUUCCAUCAAUCUAAAAUGCAGUAUGAUGAUGAUAAUUUCUUCUUCAAUUUAGAAAGAAAAUGUAUCCCUUGUAAAGCACCAUUCUAUCAUAAUGUGAAGCUAUUGGUCGUAAAUGCUUAUCAAACAAUAGAUUUGGUAAUGAAAACUUCACACUCUUUCCUUAUAUGUGUGCUAAGAAUUGCUUUGGAAAGUAAUUAAUCUUUAUAAUCUAAGGGUAUUUGUUGACAAAAUUUAAACCAAGCCAUUUAGAAGUUUGUAUCGUAGUUUUAGAAUUAGAUUUAUUAUAUAGUAACUAGAUUAAAAUUGAUAUCAAAGUUGGUUUAGAAAAUAGAGUUGAGUUAUAUUUUAGUGUUAGAAUUAGAAUAGAUUUAGUAAUAUAUGUAUCUAUAUAUGGAGUCCUCCAAGUCGUACAUUUAUAAUUGAGGAAAAUUAGCAUCAAGAGAAUAAAAUUCUAAAUCCUCGCCUGCCCAUUUGUUCGUUAUUCAUACUUUUUUUUUUUUUUUUUGUAGUUGCUAACAUUAUUGACAGUUUGAAGGCCCCAUAUUCACAGCAACAAAUCACAAGCUUAGGCUAGCGGAGACAGAGAGAGUCAAAGGAGAUUGCCAUGAUGAUGUAUUAUUUCAACAAGGAAUCCAAGGAUUUUCAAAUGUGAAAAAAAAAAUACUGGAAAAAAUGGAAGGUACAAGUACAACUGGCAUUUCCACAUAGAAUAUUAGCAAUUACACCGGUUGAAAAAUUACAGAAGUGCAUGGCUAUAUCGAUUAUUGCACCUAAAACACAACAAGUGUGUACAGAAAAAAUGUAAAGAAAUUAUUGCUUCUCAGCGAAGAAGAAGAUUGCUUCUCUUCACAAACUCGAAUACAUUUUCCACCGAAGUUGGUUGGAGUUUUACUUGAACGUUUCUAAAUAAAUGCAGGGUAUUUCUUGUUCUUUAUUUUUUUUUUUGGCCAAAUUUUUGUUUGUUUUGUGCUUAAAUGCUGGGCCUUUUGUUCCUCGAAUCUUGCUUGGUUUUAGUUAAUUAUGGUUACAGAGACUACUUAGUUUACGCUAAUUCUGGGGCCUUGGGAUGCUCAAAAAGUCUAGUUCUUGGUAUUUGAUAGGUUGCAAUUUUAUCAUUUAUUUUAUUAUUAAUUUUUCCUAUUACCUGACCUAAUGUGGAUUAAUUGCUAGAUUUUACUCACUUUUGAUAUUUUGCAUUUGUUUCAGGGAGUAGAACGAAAAAAUAAUAACAGGUGCUAAUUUGGCAAGAAAAGAGUUCAGAUGAUAGAGUUUGUCCUAGGGGCAUUUUUGGAACAACAAAACGUGAGCCCUUGUUGGGCAAAUUGGGCCGAAGUCUUCAUUUUUCCGCACAGGAGCCGCCGCAAGGAGCACUACUUUAUAUAGGAAAAUUGCGAAGGAAAAAAGGAGUCUUCUUCUUCCUCUCCGGAAGGAGGCCGCCGCACAAGGCAGAAGCAAUAGAGAGGACGGACGACUGGAUUGUUUCUUUAGCUUUGACUUUUCUUUUGGUUCUGGAGUAGCUUUUCCUUCUUCAUAAUUAGGACCUUUAGUCUAUAGCUUUGACUUCUCUUUUGGUUCUUAGUAGCUUAGCUCACGUAUGUGAGAGGCAAAUGAGAGCAAUUGAAAGAUUCCUUGUAGUUUUUUUCUUUUGACUUUUCGUUGUGGUCUGUGGUGGAUUCCUCCUGCCGCAUGAUGGCCGCGACUGAUGCUCCGAUUUUGCAUGGGUUUUCCUCAUCAAUAAUGAGCUAAACCCUUUUUCUAGUCAAGGAGCAACGAAUGCUUUGGGUCAUCUAAAAUUGUGAGAUCGAUUUAAUUUUAUCUUUUUCUUUAUUUAUUAGUAUUCGCAUAUUCCUUGGUUGCAGUGCUUAUGAUUGCUUAAUUAAUUGAUUGUUUUGGAUCCGGAUAAUUAGUUAAUUUGAUAAUCUAUUGUCAAUUGGGACAUUAAAUCCGUAAUUGUUUAAUUGUCUCAAAAUAGUGAUAACUGGCAUGAUUGGAUUCGUGUCAGGGGGAUACGCGGGCUAAUCUGAAAUAACCCUGGUAGUGCGUUAUUUGGUUAGAAUAGGGCUCCUCUAAUACGUAAGGCAAUUGGGGAAUUAAAUUCUAUGGGCGUACCUAGGAUUAUUUCUCAAUUAGAGCAGUGAUUAACGGACGUAACUUAAUCAUCGACACAGUAAGGAGGGGUUGACAGUCAUCGCUUGUUUGGCAGUUAUAACCUAUUUAUUGAUAAAUAAUUGGAAUUGCCUUUAUUUCAAUGAUCAAUUAGGUGAACCAUUGCUGAAGUUAUUUCUUGGUUAGAUCCUUAAUUAUCACUCAUUUGAUUUUAGUAAUUUGUUACUUAAUUUUUAGUAGUUUUUUUUAGAUUUUAUUUGAAUUUCUUCGAUUGUCACCCCUGAUAUAAAAACACCCCCCUUGUCACUGUGAAUUUGAAAAGGAACAAUUACUCCCAGUCCCUGUGGAUUCGACCCUGCUCACCGCUAUCUACAGAAAUUACUUUUAGUUUGAGCAGGUUUUAUUAUUGCACAAGUUUCGACAACCUGUCAGUAUUUAAAUAAAUAAAUAAAUAAAAAGCUGAAAACAAAGGUACGUACAGUACAAAUGUACAACUGUCAUUUCCACCUAAAAUAUUAGCAAUAACGAUAGUAGACAAAUUCUCAAUUGUAUAUUAGGGCGGCUUUGCUAUUUCAAUUAUUGCACCUAAAACAACAAGAAGUGGUCUUCUCAGCGUAGAAGAAGAGAGUGCUUCUUUUACUCUUAUGUUUCCAAAUCAAUGCUGGGUUUUUUUUUGUUCUUUAUUACUUUUUUUUUGGAAAAAUCAUUUAAAAUGUUCCACACAUUUCAUUAGAUGAAUUUUUUUCGUCUAUCAUUUUUAAAAGGGAAAAUUUCACUUUAUCUCCUGUGAUUUAGUGUUUUUUUUACAUAACCCCCCUAUGAUUUUAAAAACUAUACAUAACCCUCUCAUAAUUUGGAUGAAAGUGUCAAAGUAAUGGAAAUGGUCUUUCGUAAUAGAAUCAUUUAAAAUGUCAAAAUAGCCUUAUGUAAAGUUGAAAAUUUUUUAUUGAUCAAGGGGGGUUAUGUGUAUAUUCCUAAACCAUAAGGGGGUUAUAUGGUAAAAUAUUAAACCAUAAAGGAAUUAUAUAGUAAAAUAUAAAAAUCACACGGAAUUAGUGUGUCAUGUAUUUAUAAGGGUAAUUUCGAUAUUAUCAAAAGUUUCAUUAUGAAUGACUAUCUCCGUCAUUUUGACACUUUAAUUCAAACCAUAAGGAGGUUAUGUACAACUUUUGAAAGCACCAUUAAAAGCAUUCUAUCAUAAUGUGAAGCUAUUGGUCGUAAAUGCUUAUCAAACAAUAGAUUUGGUAAUGAAAACUUGACACUCUUUCCUUAUAUUUGUGCUAAGAAUUGCUUUAGAAAGUAAUUAAUCUUUAUAAUCUAAGGGUAUUUGUUGAUAAAAUUUAAACCAAGCUAUUUAGAAGUUUGUAUAGCAGUUUUAGAAUUAGAUUUAUUAUACAGUAACUAGAUUACAAGUGAUAUCAAAGUUGGUUUAGAAAAUAGAGUUGAGUUAUAUUUUAGUGUUAGAAUUAAAAUAGAUUUAGUACAACUGGCAUUUCCACAUAGAAUAUUAGCAAUUACACCAGUUGAAAAAUUACAGAAGUGCAUGGCUAUAUCGAUUAUUGCACCUAAAAUACAACAAGUGUGCACAGAAAAAAUGUAAAGAAAUUAUUGCUUCUCAGCAAAUCAUGAGGGGAUUAUGUAUAACUUUUGAAACUAUAAGGGGGUUAUGUAGAAAAACACUAAACCACAAGGGGAUAAAGUGUAAUUUGCCCUUUUUAAAAUAUUGAUUUCAUGUCGUUUACAAAAUCAAGGCAGCCAAAUUUAGUUGCAACUUGGGCUUUUGACCACUGAAUAAAUGAAGUGAUCCACUACGUGAUCAUUGUUUUAGGUGCGAAAACUGUAUUUUUUCUAGAAAUUAAAAGAAACUUCAAAAAAUUGAAAAAAAAAAUACUAGCAAGGAGGUGUGAGAUGUAAGAAACAUUUAAGUAGCAGGAGUUUUAAACCCAGGACCUUUAAUUCUUGUAGUUUCACCUUUAACUAAUUGACCAAGUCUCUUUCCCACAUAAAGGCUACCAUUUCUGGGCAUUAAUGUGAUUUCAUUAAAUUUUUGGACCGAAUCUGUGUUGUUAAACAUUUUAUACAUCCAUCUUGGGGACCAAAUCGUAUAUAUCUUUUUUUUUUUUAAAAAUAAAUUGUAUAUAUCUUAUGUUCAAAAGGAUAAAGUGUUGCUCAUGUGUAUAUCUUAAGUUCAAAGGGAUAAAGUGCUACUUAUGCCUCACUCCCAAGUUCGAUAUGUAAUCAAAGUGUAAGCAGCCCUAAAAUUCAUUCAUCAUUCUCUGUACUCACAACAGCAAGUCACAAGCUUUGGCCAGCUGAGAGCCUGAGACAGAGAGAAUAAAAAGACAGUGCUGUGAUGCGGUUCAGCUAAGAAUCAAAUGAAUUCCAAAAGUAAAGGCAUUAGUUAGGGGCCAACAAGGUUUCCCAUUGAGCUUUUUAAUCAGCCAAAAUCACUGCAAAACAGACAAUCCAACUUACGACACCAAAUAUAUAGAAAACCUAUAAAGCUAACUGGAAACUGCAUGACGCUUUGUUCAGUCAAUUGUUCAGAAAUCUAAAUCAAUAUCUGCGAUGAACCAAUGCUUUUUAUAUGUGUUGAAUGCUGCUCGGUUUAGUAAAUUAUCAUUCCAGCGAGUAGUUGCUUUACGCUAAUGCUCGGGUUGUUUAAAAAAGUUUACUCCUUGACAUUUAAAAAAUACUGGGAAAAUAUAGUGAGAACCGAUUGGUGAUUGCCAGGAUGCUUUGUUGAUCUCAGAUUGGUGAUUUCCUUGUAUGUAUGUCGCUUGCUAGGAUGCUUUUUGCUAUCACGUUAUAAAGAUGGAGAUGGACAGAAGGGUUGAGGCUUUCGUCAAAGUUUUGGUGAGAACCGAUUUAUUUAUUUAUUUUUCAAAUUUAGAAUGGGACUGUGGGUUGCCGGUGGUAUGAAAUGAAGUAUGGUGGAGCCACUAAGAGAGCUAUGUAAUUUACCCAAUUUAUAAAGGGUUAUAUGUAAUUUACCCAAUUCGGAAUGGGCUUCUUCCCCGGUUUUAGGUAAUUAUAUUGUUUAAACUAUAUUUGAAACAUGACAUUGAGUAAGUAGGAAUAGCAUGACAUUGAGUAUGGUCGCGCAAUCUGUUUUGUCACAAUGGAAGAGACCUCCUGCGGGCUAUGUUAAAGCUAACUUUGACGGGGCUAUCUUUGUUGAGGGUGACAUUUCAGGUAUUGGAGUUGUCAUUAGAGAUGCCGAGGGUAAUUUCAUGGCAGGAUUGGCAAAGCAAAUUCCAGGAAUUUUUGCACCAGAGGUUAUUGAAUCUUAUGCUGCAAAGGCCGCGGUUGAGUUGUUAUUGGAUCUACAUUUGCCCAUGAUUAUUCUUGAGGGUGAUUGUCUAAAAGUCGUUAAAAUGCUUCAAACUACAGAGACAGAUGCAUCAGCUUGUGGAAUGCUGGUAGAUGAUAUUCUCAGAGAUAUACAAAGCUUUGCAACAUGGGAAGCAUCAUGGGUGCCUAGACAGCUGAACAAUGUCAUGCGUCGUGUUGCUAAAUAUGCUUGUUCUAUUUCUAAUGGCUGUAUAUGGAGGGACUUCCCUCCAGAUUUUAUUGUUACCGCGCUUGCUGCGGACAUCAUCUCAGAUUAAUAAUAUUUUUGUCACUUUCUAUCCAAAAAAAAAAAAAACUAUAUAAGAUAUUUGUUAUCGAUUUCUUUGUUUCCUAAAACACAAGAAGUUUUUCAUUCCUAAUAUGUAUCUUGUUUAAUUAAUUGUUUCAGUGAUUUUUAAAAGAUAUUAGCAAAGAAUUUUAGAUCCAAUUUGGUGCAGUUCUCCUUUGACAAACUGAAUCGGAUGCUUUUGCUACGGAAGUCGAUUCGCAUUUUCAAUUCACCUUUCUUAAUGUUAUGGUCGUUGCUGGGAUUCUUCAUCUGCUUUUGAUCCGCACGCUUAAAGAAAAUGCCAAUCAUCAUUGAGACUCUUAAUAAAUCUCACGAUGAAUAAUUUCAUCUAAAUGGCUGGUCCCUGGUGGAUCAGAUUUCAAACAUAAUUUAAGUACGCCUUACUUUUUGUUUUCUUUCUGCAGAGGAUUAUACUGUGGCAGUGUGGCUUAAAAUCCUCCAAUUUCUUUAAAAUUCAGAGACACCCAGAGUUCUCCAUUUCCUUUUGUGCUUUUGCAACAUUAAUUACCUCAUUCUCUAAUCGUUGGGAAAUAGGCUAAAAACUGAAAAAAAAAAUAAUAAUAAUCGCUAGUUUAGUUAUCAAAAACAUGAAGUGGAGUUAGUAAUCGGGCUUGACACGCAGCUACAUAAUUGGUCAGUAAUUGCGUGCUUUCUUAGCUUUUACAAUUGCGAAAUUUUCAAAAUAGUCUCUUGUAUUUCCAAAAGUUCUCUAGUGAUAGGGUGCAAAAUUACUAUUCAAUUUAUGAUUAUUUCCCCUUGAUUGUAACCAAAUAUUGUUUUAAUUAAUGGAUUCUAUUUAUAUUUGGUUAAUUGUGCUAAUUGUAGGAAAAUGAGCAAAACGUGAUUAAAAGGGAUAAUUUUCAAGUAAAUUUGGUGAUAGCACGAUCAGGACCUGCUUUCAAAUCUAGAAGACUCAAGAAUUUUCUACGUGGAGGUUUCCUAAUUUGAGUCAACUAUGAACAGCUUUUGAAAGAUUUGGGAAGACGUUAAUUAUAUCCUUUCCUUAUACUAUAUAAGAAUGAGUUUAGGGUUUGAAUUUCAACCGCAAGGGUGGGGCUUUUUUGGAAAUGUGAGAGUGUUUGAAGUGCAAUUAGAGUAUUGAAUAUGAGUCAUUAUAACUAAUUUAGUUUUGUUGUAAUUACUUAGGUGUCCUUUUAAACAUUUAAAGUUAGGGAUAAGUUUGAUAUGUGACAUUGUUUGAUAUCCGAUUGAACAUUGGGUACAACUGAAUUCAGCUUGUGUUUUAGUGAAAUUACAUAAAAGCCCUUCUAAUCAUUUAAUUUUAUUAACAUCUAAGUCUUUUAAUUUCUUAAAGCCUUUCUCAUCAGUUAUUUGCAAAGAUAUGAUAUAUAGAUGUUAAGACACAAUUAAUGUCAAUUAGUAGAGAAGUCUGGUUUUUUGGCCGUUAUCAUAGUAACCUCCAUCUAUUCAAAUUCAUUUCAUUUGCUUAUAGGAUUUGUUCCACCACAGUCAUGCAGCAUAUUGAAUUCGGAUAUUGUUACAUUAGCUACUCUUCUUCCCUAUUUUGCAACACUUUUUUCAAUAGGUAUGUUUUCUUUAACCAAUCUACUUUUUGGUUGUAAAAAAUCUGUAAUAUUGCAAGUUGUAUGUGCAAUAAUUUUUCAGUAUUUUAAUUCAAUUGCUCAUGUUAGACAAGCUUGAUAAGGGAGAGACCACAUUUGUUAAUUGUUAUUUAUGGUUUUAAAUAAGUUUAUCAUCAUAAAUUUUCCCAUUUAUAGAUUGCAUCUACUUCUUUUGUUGUUUUAACUAUUAGUUGGGGUAAUUUUCAAAUCGUUUGCUACUUUAUUAACUAUUCCAUUUAGACAAUUUUUCACUUCAUCUGAUUUGCUAAUAUGUUUAACUAUCUACUUAAAACUAUUUGGCUACAAAUCUAAAGUAUGUACCUCAUUACUUUUAAUUGUUUUUCUUAAAUUGAGUGGAUUAAGAUGCUUUAGUACUUUUUUGAGGUAAUUAUUCCUCUAAAUUAGUAUGUUAGUUGUUGUAUAUCUUUGCAACUAACACAAAACUGAUAUUUCAUGAUUGUAACCCCUAUCGAGAAGGAGAUGUUUUGUUAUAUGUCCUAAAUCAUACAAUAAAUUAUAAUUAAUUACUUGCUCAAUGUGAAGGCCUCGUGAUGAUAUAUGUCCUUGGAAUCAAUAUAAAUUCAAGAAUUUUGCUUGCAAGAACCGAAAUUCUACUAGCAAUGAUAUCUUCAAGUAUGCUAAUUGUUCAAAUCUCACUUAUAUGAUAAGAUAAUGUGGUAGAUUGCCCUCAUAGUAAGAUCGAAUUCAAACUAAAUAACAAAUUUUAAUAUCCCUAAAGUGCAUGAGCCGAUAUAAAUAGGUCUUUUAUUAUACUAGGUUAGAUGCAAAGUAGUUGAUCAUAUCUUAUAAUUAUGUUUUAUUGCAAAUUAUAUUUUUUAACUCAAUAUGUAACUUAUGAUUUUUUUUAUUUAAUAUCACAGAAUAAAAUUGUCAUAUUUCAAUUCUUAUACUAGAAAAUGCCAAAUAAUAAUUAUUAACCAUCUUUAAUUAUAGGCACUAAACUCCCACGCAUUGUGUGGGCUUUUCCCCCUAGUUUAUUAGUAGUAGUAUUACAUUAGGAAACAUGAAAUAUUAUCUUUUGUAUUUUCUUUUUCUAAUUAGCCAAUGUGCUUUUAUUAUUAAUAGUAGAUAUCAAGUAGAAAAUUGAGGGAGAGAAAAAGCCGGCAUUUCGCGUGAUUAAUACUUCGGGAAGCUGUCACGAUCUCAAGGAUAAUUCUGGAAUUGUGGAAAUCAGGGUCAAUUGAUUGGGAAAGAUCAGGGAAUUGGGGAAGAACAGAAGAGAGGAAAUAAGAGAAAUGGAGAGAGAGAGAAAGAAGAAAGGAGUGAAGGAAAUCAGAAGAAUCAAAUGCAAUUUCGUAAUCCUUUCUUACACGCGGGCCCCAGUUAUAACCAACUCUAACAACCUGACAUUAGCUAAUAGCUGAUUUAACCGCCUAACUGUCUGACUAAGUGGAACGGUACCGUUUGGAAUGCUUAAUAAGCUCUGGAACGGCAUCGUUUAACUAAUCAACUGACUAAACUAACUAAUGCUCAAUUGAGCCCCUUAUUACGCCUGAGAACAUGAAUUUUGCAGCCUGACAAUCCCUUUCCCUUAAAAACAGACUUGUCCUCAAGUUUGGAAAGCAGUGAACUGGUUUUCAAUGAAGGAUUUAUCCUCCUAAGAAGCUUCUUCAGGUUCUAGCUGCUCCCAUUUAAUCAAGAACUGAAUGAUAGUCUGCCCAUUGCGCAAAAUGACUCUUCUGCUCAGUAUUGCUUCUGGCUACAGGGGGCAUUGAUCGUGUGUGUCCAAUUCUGGAAGCUUGGUAGAACUACCUUGCAUUGGCCUUAUUUUUCUCUUCAGCAGUGAAAUGUGAAACACAGGGUGUACUCUAGUACCUGCUGGCAGCUUCAAUCUGUAGACCACUGUGCCAACUUUCUCCUCCACCUGGAAGGGCCCAAAGUAUUUAGCAGACAGCUUGAGACAUUUUCUUACUGCCACAGUUUGUUGUCUAUAGGGUUGAAGCUUCAGAAAUACCCAAUCUCCCACGACAAAUUCUCUCUCAAUUCUGUGUUGGUCAGCAAAGUGUUUCAUCCUUUGUUGAGCCUUGGCCAAGUUGUCCUUUAUGCAGUUAGAGAUCCUGUUUCUUUCCUGGACCAUAUUGGAAGCUGCCGGGACUACCGAAUCUAAAUAAGGUCCUAAUGGUAGUGGCAAGGGUUUAUAUCCAAACAGAGCUUCGAAUGGUGUCAUAUUGAGGCUAGAGUGAUAGGUAGAAUUGUACCACCACUCAGCCAUGGACAGCCAUUUGCUCCAUUGUGAUGGCAUUUCUCCUGUCAUGCAUCUCAAGUAGUUCUCCACACAUUGAUUCAGCCUCUCGCUUUGACCAUCAGACUGAGGAUGGUAAGAAGAUGUAUAGCGUAGUUCUGUUCCUAGCACCUUGAAUAACUCCUUCCAAAAUCCACUGGUGAAAAUCAUAUCCCUGUCUGUGAUGAUGGAUUCAAGUAAACCAUGCAUUAUGUAUAUGUUGUCCAGAAACACUUGUGCGACCCCUUUGGCAGUGAAUGGGUGAGUGAGUCUAACAAAAUGUCCAAACUUAGUGAACCUAUCAAUCACCACCAGUAUAGUGUCAAAACCUUGUGACUUGGGUAGCUUCUCAAUAAAAUCCAUGGAAAUGUGAGUCCAGGCCUGGGUGGGAACUGGAAUUGGUUGCAACAGACCAGGAUAUGGUACAUUCUCAGACUUACUCCUUUGACAGGUAUCACAGCUACGAACAAAAGUUAUCACCUCCUGUUUCAUCCCUGGCCAAUAAAACAGUGACUUAAUCCUCUGCCAGCAGCCUUUUUGUCCUGAAUGCCCUCCCAGUGCUGAGGCAUGCAGCACCUGAAGGAUCUGGUUCCUGAUGUUAUUGGCACCUCCCACAUAAAUUUUUCCUUGGUAUCGUAGCACUCCAUCCACCAGAGUGAAGCCAUUAUGAGAAUUGGGAUCCAGUAGUAGCUGAGCCAUGAUGUUUUGACAGUGUUCAUCUAGUUCAUAGCUUUUCUGCAGUUCCUCAAUCCACCCUGGUCUCACUGCAGAGAUAGCUAAGCAUGUCUUGGGAAAAAGAUCUGAAACAGCUUCCUGCCUCCUAGAUAAAGCAUCUGCAACCUUAUUUUCAGCUCCCUUUUUAUACUGUAUCUCAUAAUCCAAUCCCAUGAGUUUUGUCAUCCACUUAUGUUGGAGAGCAGUGUUCAAUUUCUGAUCCAACAGAUACUUUAAUGACUGAUGAUCAGUUCUGAUAACAAAAUGACUCCCAACCAGAUAAUGCCUCCAUUUAGUGACUGCCAUCACUAGAGCAAGUAGCUCCUUUUCGUAUACUGACAGUCCCAAAUUCCUGGGUGACAAUGCCUUGCUCAGAAAAGCAAUGGGGUGUCCUUCCUGCAUCAGAACUGCCCCAAUACCACCCCCACUGGCAUCUGUUUCAACUACAAAUGCCUUGGUAAAAUAUGGUAAUGUAAGAACUGGGGCUGAGCACAUCAACUCCUUCAAGUGCUCAAAGGCUGCCUGUGCUUUUUCACUCCACCUGAAACUAUCUUUCCUGAGCAGUUCAGUCAGAGGCUUGAACACCUGGCCAUAAUGUUUUACAAACCUUCUGUAGUAGCCCGUUAAUCCCAAGAACCCCCUUAAUUCCUUUACAGUUUGAGGUACAGGCCACUGUAAUAUGCUACUGACCUUGGAGUCAUCCAUGCUAACUCCCUUGUCAGUAAUAGUAUGUCCCAGAUAGUCUACCCUCCUCUGAGCAAAUGCACACUUGGACUUCUUCACAAACAGUUGAUUAUCCCUCAGCAGAUUCAACACAAGUCUCAAAUGCUGGAUGUGAUCCUCUAAGGUGGGGCUGUAUAUUAAGAUAUCAUCAAAGAAGACCAAGACAAAUUUCCUCAAAUAAGGUUGAAAUAUCUGAUUCAUCAACGAUUGGAAGGUUGCAGGAGCAUUGGUAAGGCCAAAAGGCAUUACCAGAAAUUCAAAGUGACCACAAUGGGUCUGGAAGGCUGUUUUGAAAGAGUCCUGUGGUUUGACCUUGAUCUGAUGGUACCCUGCUGUCAAAUCCAGUUUGGUUUUGAAUACAGAUCCUGCUAAUUCAUCCAGUAAUUCAUCCACGUUGGGUAUUGGAAAUCUAUCCUUGACAGUGAGCUCAUUCAGCUUUCUGUAAUCUACACAGAAUCUCCAAGUGCCUUCUUUCUUCUUGACCAACAACAUAGGAGAGGCAAAGGGACUGUUGCUGUGUUUGACAAUGCCCUUCUGCAGCAUUUCAGUCACUUGCCUCUCUAUUUCCUCCUUGUGACAAUGAGGGUAUCUAUAAGGUUUGAGUUUGAAGGGUUGGGCAUCUGGUUUAAGGGGUAUUUCGUGGUCUACACUUCUGCUUGGGGGUAGUGACUGUGGUGAUUGGAAUACAUCCUCAAACUCCUGUAGCAGCUGGUGCACUUCCAGAGGGGUGGUAUCCAAUCUGCUCUCUUCACGCUGUUGAGAACUCAUGGCCAGACACAUCUGCCUUUUGUAUUCAAUAAAGGUCCUCAAGUCUUUGCCUCUGAUCAAGUCCAGGUCACAGUUAUCUGCUUGUCCAUGUAGAUGAAUUUCCCCUCCUUCAUGGUGCAAUGAAAUCUUAAGUUGUUGGAAAUCAAAAGUAAUGGGACUAAAGUGUGUCAUCCAAUCUACCCCCAAUAUGAUAUCCCAUCCUCCUAGUUCCAUCGCCUUAAGAUUAAACCUGAAGUGGUGCUGAUUGAUACUCCACUGCACACCUGGACAUACAGCAUUGCUGGUGACACAAGCUCCAUUACCCAUGAUAACAGAGAAGGGUUGAUCCACCCACUGGUAUUUGAUAUCCAUUCCAAAAACCAGCUCACUGUUGAUAAAACUAUCAGAACUCCCAGUGUCCACUAGGAUGGACACCUCUUCUCCAUUCAAGACCCAUGUGAGUGUGAUGGUUUUCCUCUUUAAUGCCUCAGAUAAAGCAUUCAAGGACAGUUCCAUUAUCUGUCCAGGAUUUCCUGUUUGCUCAUCCUGUUCCCCCAGAGCAUCUUUAAAGGUAGCUUCCUCCUCUUCUUCCAGUAUCAUGCAGUUCGUGUGGCCUACCUUACACUGAUGUCCUACCCCAUAUCUGUCCCCACACUUGAAACAGAGUCCAUUAGUUCUCCUAAACUGCAUUUCUUGUGCAGAAAGUCUCCUAGUAUCCUUAGUACUUUCCUGUAAAUUUCCCAGCUUAACAGGUUUAUGGCUGUUGUAGAAGGGAACCUUAUAUGAAGUAGCUCCUUGAUUUGUUGUAGUGCUUCGUGUCAACCCCAGUCUGUUUUCUCCUAGAGGUUUGACAUUCUCCUUGGUACUCUUAUGCUGCAAUUUCAAGGAGUAUUCUUGCCACUGAGACAGUUCAAAUGCUUGAGUCAGGGUCAGAGGUUUUAACAUUUUGAUCAUGGGCUUGAUUUCCUCCUUCAACCCACUAAUGAAACUAGAAAUGAAGUAAUUCUCAUCCAGAUUUUGAUUUUUAAUCAUCAUUAAGGCCUUCAACUCCUCAAACUUCUCCUGGUAAUCUUCAACAUUUCCUAACUGUUGCAGCUUAUUAAAUUUCUCCACUACAUCUUUACAAGUUCUAUCAUUAAAUCUGCGACAAAGCAGUUCUCCAAAUUCUUCCCAACUAAGCUUAGGUUUCUCAAUUUGUACUCCUUGAAACCACCGGUCAGCUUUGCCUUCUAGAUACAUCUCAAUUACAUCUACCUUGUGCUCAUCCGGCACUUGAUAAUUCAGGAAGUAUUUGUUACAUUUGCGCAACCAUUCUCUAGGAUUCUCUCCAGUAAACAUUUGCAGAUCAAUCUUAGGAGGAUUUGGAAGCUGGAACUUACCCCAAUCCUUCUUGAAGAUCCUUUGGCCCUCGCAAUCUACUGCCAACCUUUGAUGAGCUGGUGGAGUUGGUAGAAGUGGCAUUUGAUCUACCGUCCUGUUACCUCCUUCGGUCACCUUCUCCUUUCCAGGCGUCAUCUUCAGUAACAGCUCACUGAAUUUUUGCUCAAGAAGUUGGUUGACAUUCUGCUCCAUUCCCGAUAACAAGUUCUCCAUUCGUCUGUUGUUUUCUUCCAACUCCAUCUUCAAGUCUUUCCUAACCUGCUGGUGCUCAGCUUUGGACGCCUGCAGGGACUCUACAAGCUCCUGGAGCUUAGCUUCUUGCUUCCUUACCUGCUCUUCAAUGGUGCGGAAUCUGGUGCUCUCCGCCAUUGAUCGUGGUACAGUUUCCAAGGAUCGCUGCUCUGAUACCACUUUGUCACGAUCUCAAGGAUAAUUCUGGAAUUGUGGAAAUCAGGGUCAAUUGAUUGGGAAAGAUCAGGGAAUUGGGGAAGAACAGAAGAGAGGAAAUAAGAGAAAUAGAGAGAGAGAGAAAGAAGAAAGGAGUGAAAGAAAUCAGAAGAAUCAAAUGCAAUUUCGUAAUCCUUUCUUACACGCGGGUCCCAGUUAUAACCAACUCUAACAACCUGACAUUAGCUAACAGCUGAUUUAACCGCCUAACUGUCUGACUAAGUGGAACGGUACCGUUUGGAAUGCUUAAUAAGCUCUGGAACAGCAUCGUUUAACUAAUCAACUGACUAAACUAACUAAUGCUCAAUUGAGCCCCUUAUUACGCCUGAGAACAUGAAUUUUGCAGCCUGACAGAAGCAAGAAACGAGGGGGAGCCAUCGUGGCUAGUCCCGUGUCAAGGAGGGGAGCCGCUUGGCUUUUCUCUUAUUAUUCAGUUUCUUUAGUUUUUCUUUUUAUCAAAGACUUAUGCGGCUGGCUUUGAGAAAAAUCGUGUGAAUUGUUCGAAUUAGUCAUGUGCAACUAAGUUCUUUUUUUUAGUUAAGAAAUAACGAAAGAUUUGGUUCAUCUACAUCUGUGAGAUCUAACUAUUUUCAUCUAUUUCUCUUAUUUGUUAGUAUUCGUAUGUUUUUCGAUUUAAUUUCUCAUGGUUGUUUUGUUGUUUGGAUAUUAUGGGCACCUGAUAUUUAAUUCAACUUAACAAACUAAAGCCAAUUAACAUAGUUAAAUCUGUAAUUUUUUAAUUAUUUAAAUUAGUGGCGAUUAGCGUAAUUGGUGCCAUGUUAGGAAGACAUACGAUUUGAUUUAAAUAAAUCCCGGUAGUGUGUUUAUUGAUUAGAACAAGGGUUUUCUAGUUUCUAAUGCAAUCAAGAAAUUAAAUUUUAUGGGCGUACCUAGGGUUGUUUCUUGGUUAGAGAAGCAGUUAACGGACGUAUUUUAACUAUCGAGACACUAAGAAAAAACUGAUUGUUUAUCACGUGUAUGACAACUAUAACCUAAUUAUUAGCAAAUAAUUGAGAUAAUUAUUGCAUCGAUGAUCAGUUAUUUGAACCAUUUCCGGAGUUUUGUCUUUGGCUAGAGCUUGUCUAUUCUUAAGUUGAAUUUAAUUUGCUUUAGUUUAAUUAUUUUCAGUCACAUUGAUUAUUUACUUUAGUUUUAAUUCUCCAAACCCCCUCCCUCCCCCCCCCAACCUAUUAGCUUUUACUUAGAAAGAAAUAGAUUUUUUUUCUAAUCCCUGUGAAGACGACCAUUUUUGUCAUUAUACUCAUUUAUAUCUUUUUGUGAGUAGAAAUUUAUUAUUGCACAGGCAACACUCUUGUCAUCUAGCACUUUAAAACAUCAGUCAUUUUGAAGCAAAUGUCUUGUUUAUGUACAAUAUACAAAAAUUAAGUGGUGAAAAUUUGAGGAGUUUGUUUAUUAUGAAAAUUGGAGAUCCCUUGUAUUCAUCUUUGUUCCUCCAUUUCACAAUUAGUUUGCAUGCAUUUUAAUGGUGAAUUUGUCCACAAUUUAUAAUCAUUUAAUAAAGCGUUUUGUAAUGACAUCGAAAAUACACUUUGAUGGUAAUUGAGGCAACUCUCUUUUAAAUAGAUCAUGAAAAAGAAAAUGCUACAGCUGAUUGACAGUUUGAACUUUGGAGGCACCAUAUUCACAGCAACAAAUCACAAGCAUUGGUUUAUCCAGCUGAGACACGAAUAAAAAAGAUAGCGCCGAGAUGUGAUCCAGCUAAGAAUCAAAUGAAUUUCAAACGGCAGUAAUACUAAUUAGGGGCCAACAAGGUUUAUCCAAUAAGCUUUCUCGAUCGGCUUAGAAAAAAGAGUGCUGCUUCUUCUUUUGACAAACUUGCGCGCAAUUUCCUCCAAAGCUCCUACUCGGCGUUUCACUUGAAAGUUCCCAAGUCAGUGCUGGGCUUUUCUUACUGCUUUUUUUCCUUUUUCGAAUUGUUUGCUCCUUUUGCGCUCGAAUGCCGAGCCUUUUGAUUUGUGGAAAAAUAAUUUAGUGAGUAAAUUCCUGCACUUGGUUUUCAAUGUCAAAGACCUCGAAUGUUCUGGUGAUUCUUGGAGUAGAAUCAAAGAGGAAAACUAUUACUUCGAUCCUUAAUUAAUGAAGGAGUACAAUCAUCCUGUUUUGUGAGAAAUUUUAAGUGGUACGACACAAAUGUUACAAUCCCAUGUUUCACCUCAACUUCUAAUGACUAAUAACAUGUCACGUGCUUUGCACCGUGAUCAUAUUAACCUAACAUAUAACAUCAUUGACAUACUAAAUUCUUUGUUAAAUUUUAACUUUAAGCAUCAAAAUAGAGCAAUUCUUUUGGUUUUCAGUUUCUUUAACUAGUUCUUUGAAAAAUACUAGCUAGUUUAGGUGUAGUACAUGUAUUGCACGCUGCAUUUCUCCCCAGUUCAAUUGAACUUUAAGUAAAUGAAACAAACUGAAGUACUCAAAUUCAUAUAUAUAAAUCAAAAUACACUCUUCUAGUAACCACUCCAACACUAUAUAGCCUUGACAAAUAGAACAUAGAAUUCAAACAGAACAAUAAAAUAUAAUAAGAAAUAAAUGGGCUAAGGCGGUUCUGAUUUAAUGAUUAAAGUACUUCAAGAAUAAAAGGUCCUAGAUUCAAUUCUCUCAAUUUUUACUUCUCAUGUAUGAACAUAAAAAUGAGCUAACCUAAUGUUUCAAAAAAAAAAAAAAAAGAAACCACCUAAAAAUACAAAGGAUCCUCCGUUAAGAAUUUAUCUUCAUACCUUUUGCAAGGUCAUUGAAAACACACAUUGAAGAUACUUGACGUUAACCUGUUUUUAAAUAAAAUCAUUAGACAUUAGAAAAUAUAGAGGCAAGAAUUAUUAAAGCCGAAAAUUUAAGAAGUACUUUGAAGACAUCAAAAAUUUGCUUUGAAGGUACUUGAGGCAAACCCUUUUUGUUAAAUAAAUCAUUAGCAUUAGAAAAUUAAGAGGCAAGAAUUAUUAAAAAUAGAAAUAUUAAAAAUUCUACCUAAUAUUCCUUUUAGGAUAAAUUUUAUAUACACAGAUGAUGUACAUACAAGCAGGGCUGAAUGCAUGCUACCUUUAUUGUGGAAGCAAUAAGUACAUCAGCCAUUCUUUUUGUUCCUUGGAUACUUUUUGCAAUGGAAAGUUUUAGCUCUGGGUGGAAGCAGUAAGGAACUAUUCUUUUCUUCAGCAGAAGCAACAAGACUUUGACAAACUUGCAUGCUUUUGCAACAGGGAAGAGGUUGCUACUUGGAUCCAGGGCCUCACAAUUUAUGUUUCAUACAAUUUCGUGCAAAUUGAUCUUUGAUGUAAAUUAGUCAGAUUUUGGUCUGAAUCAGGUCCAGUUUAAUGUAAAUCAGGUACAGUUUAGUGUAUAUUAAUUUGUGAUUAUUCGGUAUAAAUCAGAUACACUUGGAUAUAAAUUGAUUAUUAUCAUUUAGUGCAUGUUAAGGUCAAUUUGGUGUAAAUUAAGAGUAAAUUGUUAAUUUACAUCAACUUAUACAUAAUGAAACUUGUGAGGCUUAUUUCCUGCAUAGAACUUGUGAGGCCUGUAAUCUUGGUAUCUAAAUUUUGACACGUGAGCAGUUUUAAUCCCCAAAUUUUGGACAAAAAUAAAUCUGGUACCCAAACUUUCAAUAUUUGAGCACAUUUAGUAGCCUUAGUGAUUUUUUCCAAAUUGUUACUUGAAAGAGUCGCGUGAUAGUCAUAUGUUCGAUAAUUAUUCUAUAAAAAAAUGUCACAAAAAUGUAAAAUAUCUUUCUAACUCUAAGAGGAAGAUGAAAUACAGUAAAAGAAGAAGAAAAGAAAUAAGAUGAGUAGAGUUGUGUAAGUGAUUAAAGUUUUUAAAAUAUCUUGGUACUUAGUGUUAGAAGGAUAUUUUACAUUUCACUGGUAUUUUUUUUUAUGCAAUAGUUGUUGGACAUGCGACUAUCACGUGAUUUUUUCCGAUAGCAUUUUGUAAAAAAAUUGUCAAGGGUGCUAAAUAUUCUCAAAUAUUAAAAAUUUGAGUAUAAGAUUUGUUUUUGUCCAAAAUUUGGGGAUUAAAACUGCUCAUGUGUUAAAAUUUGGGUACCAAAACUACAUUUUUCUCUACUGGUCGUUGCUCGGGCCUUCAUAUGCUUUUGAUCCACAUGCUGGAGCCUUGGAUUGUGUAAAAUAUGACAAUCAAGGAUUUAAAAUAUGACAAAACAGGAAAAAAGAAAGGGAAAAUGACAAUCAUAAUUGCAACUCCAGCAACCAUUUUCUUUUUGGGUUAAAUACAAAAAACCUCCUUAUGAUUAAUCGAAUGUUCAAGUUAACUCCCUAUACUUUGGAAACAUACAUAAAAUCCCCUUAUGCUUUUGAUUAAAAUAAAGGCAAAUUACACUUUACCCUCCUGUGGUAUAACUAAUUUUCACAUAACCCCCUGUAUUUUUAAAAGCUAUUUAUAACCUCUUUAUAAUUUGGACUACAUUGUCAAAGUGAUGGAAAUAAUCAUUUGUAAUGGAAUCUAUGAAAUGUCAAAAUUACCAAAAUAUAGAAGGGUAAAAAAUAAAAAAAAAACCCUAUGAUAAGCUUAAUACACAGAAAAACCCCCAUGGUUUUAAAUAUACAACACAAAUCAGCAUUUCAGCAAAAUAGAGAUUUCUCAUUUCUACAUCGCUGUGUAAUAGAACUUUCCAUAAAUUUCCAUAACUCUCAUUAAGGGGAAACAAAAUUUCAAAUGAGUGAUCAAUACUCGAAAAUUAUAAACGUCCAUGCACUAGUCUAAUGUUGGCAAAGUUUGGGACUUGCGCAUAAUAUUUACUGUAGUUUCUUAACCUAAUAAGUUUGCCAGUUUCAAGGGAAAGGGCGAAUAAUAUAUAAUUCGAACCAUCAAAUGCUACCACCAUGAGAUAGGCUGGCAAAAUUCUUUUGAAUGCAGUUCAAGAACUAAGUAGAAAAUGCUAAAACCAGUUACAUUGAUUGAAAAUUUAAAAAGAACAGAAAAAAAAAGAAGGGAAAAUGGAACUGCUUAGAAUCAAAGAGAGAAGAGCGACUUCUGAGAGCAGCACUAAUCGUAGGGGACAAUUCCGGCAAGUGUACGGCGAAGACAGCACUAAUCGGCGAGGACAGCGCUAAUUCCUUCCUUCUGUGUAGAAAUUAUUAUUAUUAUUACUACUACUACUACUACUUUCUGUACUGAUACGGAUAUGAGAUGAUUUACUUAUAUUGGCCGUCAAAGUCUUAAGAGGCAUAGAAAAGUAGAAAUGCUUUAAUUGUAACAUACCCUGAGCUACAAUGAAAAUGAUUUGAGGCCAAGAUGUGUAAGAUCAAUGUCACAUUAGUGCCUCAUGAGACAAGUUCACAUAGAAGUAAUUUUACAAAUAGAUGCUACGUUAAAUGUCAGUUUGAUGAACUAAGGUUGACCUUAUAUGUUCCUAUAUAAUCCUGUUCAAUUGAUUUCCAUAAUUUCAUCUCUCCAACGUUCCCAUCCACCAAGUGGGAUCCUUUCUUGAAUAGAAAUUGGUGCCUUGGCAAGUGGGAUUCUUUGUGCUCUGAGUCCCGUCUGAGCUUUACAGAUGCAAGGAGCAAUGGAAAGGUACCAUCGGACACAACCUGUAGUCAACUGCGGAACACUUGAGAAAAAAUACGUUGCCUGUUAUAGAGCUAAGAUACAACUUUCAAGAAGGAUGCAAGUUAUCUAGCAGGGUUAAGCUAAUCCACAUCUUUCUGCUGCAAAAUACUGGCUACUUUGAACUACAAGCAGCACGGAAGAUAUGGCAAAUUGAGUUCCAAAAGAAGUAAAAGAGCACCUCAUUAACAUGUCUACAAAUUGCUGAAUCGGUUGGACAGUUUAAAAUCACCAGCUGACAAGGAAGAUCUCAGGCUUUGGCCAUCCGAGGCAGAGAGCAAAAGGGAAUUCCAUCCCGGAUGUUUUCAUCUGAUCUGACUGAAUCAGGAUCUGGUUCAACAAGGGAUCACAGGACUUCAUUACAAAUGAUAGUAAGAGCGAGCUAUCAAGGUUAAUGUUGAUCUUCGAGUGUAAAAUCACUGCAAAACACAAAAACUCAAACUUAAGAAACUCAAGACAGCAUGUAGUCAAGAAUAAAGCCAGCACAUAGUUGCAUGACAUUUUUGUUGUAUUUGAAACACUAAAAUAAGAACUUACCAUGAAGAGAUGAGCAAUAUCAACAAGUAUAGGUGGUAGAAUGAGCUUAAUAGCCAUCAUCACAGCGGAUGAAAUAAUUGCAGCCAACAAGCAUGCUUGGCAGUCUCGACUAACCACAGCGAUAUGCUUCAAAACUUGCAGCUUAGACUUGAUUGUGUUAGAAGAUGCUCUGAAAAAACAUCUUCCAUUACGAGAAGAUUUCUCAAGUUUUAGUUGUAAUAUAUUCAGAAUCAAAGUAUUUAAAAGUCAAAAUUGCAUAGUAAAAGAAGAGUAGUAUAUCUGAACUCACUGGACUCUUAGAACCAAAAACCAAUUUGAUGACCAACAGCUCUGGAAACUCCUGAAAUCUUUCGGGCUAGAAAAUCACAACCAACGAAAAGUGAGACAGAAACCCAUCAUUUACAUGACUUAUCGAACAAAUCACUAAUCAAAUGGUUCAAGAAGCUUGAUAAAUGCGCCUUCAAGGGGCCAUUAAACUUUGGAGCCACUAUUUACUCCCUCUAGAAUCAUAAGGUAGGGAGCUGAUCACUUUAGCAAUCCAAAACUCCUAGUCACUUCAAAACAGAAAACUAGAAAUUGCAUGACAUUCUUGUUUAGUCAAUUAUUCAGAAAGCUAAAUCAAUAUUUGUUUUUGUUGUUCUUUUCUAACCUAAAUCAGCAAGAAGAUAUCAAAUCUUUCUGGUCAGUCUACAAGUACCAGAAGUAUCAUGGAAACCUUAUUAGUUUUUGUUCAAAACACUGAAAAAGGAGAAGUUCUAUAACAAUAAUGACAAUGAGUGGCACCACGAGCAUGAAAGGAAGAGAGCCUCAGAAUUGCCCUGAAGGCGAUCUCUUUGAGACUGCAAGAUGCAACAGGCAGAGCUAAUUACAACUAUUUUACUCUUAAAAUCUCAUAUGACAACUUCAAUAGAGGAAUACCAAUUAUCAGAUAAUUUGGAGCAAGAUGAUAAAUAUAUUUAAAAGAGAUCAGAGCAAGCAUUUCCAUCCCGGUAGAAUCUCAAGUUUAAAGAGAAAUAGCAGUCAUGAUGGAAAUACAAAAGUAAACUGGAAGUAGCAGACAUAUGAGAUGAGCAAAAGUAAACUGCUAGUUUUUAUUUAAAAAAAAAAAAGAAUUUUGUACCGUAGAUGUAAAUACAAAAAGUUUUUCAGCUUUGGCAUCGUGUUAAACUGUCCACACUCCACAUCAAAUAACUUGCUCUUGAAAAUCUGUUGAGUUUUCAGCUUUGACAAACUAAAGUUCUAAAAUUGCCAAUUUACUUCCAUAAUUCACAGCUUAUAAGGUAGUACAAUUAAUGAUUGAGAUCUCUAAUUGCAACCUGCAAUCAACUUGCAAAAUGAUAAUUCUUCAGUCCUUACUGUUACAUUACUAGACAACAUCUUGGAAACAGACGUUUUAAAAUGUCAGAUAUUUUGCAACAAAAUCAUCUUACCAUACAAUAUUUAUCACCUGAUAUUGGAUAGAUUUAAAAGAAUUUAGUAAUGAUUUUACUGGAGUAUGUUGUCCGGAAGAAACAAAAAAUUAGAAAUUGACUCCUAAAAUCUUUGUCCAUCAUUGCCUCUCUAUAAUUUUCUGUGUUCCAUCCAUGGUUCGCUAUCGCGGGUCGCGGUCGCGUCGCGGUCUCAGUUGUUCCACAUCCAUCGCGGCAUAUCGGUUGAAUAUCGGGUGAUAUGAACAUUAUAACAUAUUAAAGUUUCCAAAAAUUUUGAAAAAAUUACUAAAAUUAGAAAAUACUGAAAAAGGCACAAUUUAAAAAAAUAUCGGAGUCGACUCCGAGUUGACUCGGAUAUAUCGACCGAUAUCAUGUAUCACGGAUUCGAAUCGGUCAAUAUCGGCCGAGUCAGAGCGAGUCGUCGCGGAUAUGGUGAUAUCUGCGAUUCGAGAAUCGGUAUCGUACCGGUCCCUUCCGUUCCAGAUACGACUCGGCCGAUACGUAUCGGUAUAUAUGGCGAACCAUGGUUCCAUCAAACUUUGAUUUUGACAAUCUAUUUCAUGAAUGUAAACGCAUUAUCAUUCUUUUCUAGCAAAUUGAUAACCAAAUGAACUUUUAGACUACUUAGUUGGCUGAGGAGCUUUUAGAUUGAAAAUCUCAGGAAGACAUGUUUGCCUGCAUUACAAUAAAGAUAGAAGAGCAAAUUUCAUGUCAUUUUUGAGCUAGGAGUCUUAGAGAGAGAAAGGGUUUCUUUUUGUUGCCUUUGAUCUAAAUCUAAUGAGCAGGAAAUAAGGCUUGAUACUAAGUACAUCUACUAAUCCAUUUAAAACAAAUUCCCUAAUGUUACAGUACUUCUUGAAAAUUUGCAAGCUUCUCAUUGUCUAUCUGUUUCUCUAAUACAAGCUCUACCACCAACCAAACCCCCAUAAUCAUCAGCAGAAAUUCACGGCAAUGAUGGCUCUUGAUCUUGAAAGACAUUACAUAAGUUGGGGAAAGAAGCAGUUUGCAGAGGCCAGCUGACAAAGAUAGAGCAUUUUAUCAGGUUUUAGGCACUAGGAAGAAAGAAAAGUGUGCCUGUAGCGUGCCAUCCUAAUCAUUUCUGUCCAAUUGAAACAGGAUUUGAUUCAACAAAGUUUUCAAAAGUUACAAGCUGUGUAAUUCAAUCAGUAAGUAAGUGCAAUUGUAGAUUUCUGUUGACAUUUAAGCCUGAGAUCAUUGCAGAGCAGAAAACUUGAGCUGAGACAAUAUGUGAACAAGAAAGCUAAUCAGAAAGUUUAGAAAAUUCGACAAUAGUUUUGUUCUAUCAUUCUUACAGAAGGCUAAAAUAUGUCUUGUUUGUUAUGAAACUAAAUGGAUAAGCAAGUACUGAGUCGUGUUUACAAUUACAGUGGUUUGGUUCCAACCAAAAAGCAAGUAAGCACAAUCAUAAGCUUGAAAAUAAUGAUAGGCAAUUUGCAUUUUACAUUGAGACAUUGAGGAACAGUAGAGCUAUGGGCUGCUGAGGAACAGUAGAGCUAUGGGGAUCCACAUUUAACUGCUACCAAAACACCAGUUAGUUCUAACUUCUAACUGUGAGCAGUAUGCCACAGAUGACAAUUUGAAUCCUAAAACAUGUACAUCAGCCCCUCAUUAUCAUGACUAAAUAUCACUGAAUCGUUUGGACAGUUUAAAAGAACCUACCCCAAUGGAUAUCUCAGACUUUGGCCAUAGGCACAGAGCGAAUGCGAAUGCCAUCCUAGAUGUCACUAUUCAACUGAAGCAGGAUCUUGUUCAGUAAGGAAUUGCAGGACUUUCAAAAAGUAAAGACAGUAAGAGCCAUCGAUUAGGUUCCCCGUUAAGCUUUGUGCUAAAAUCACAGCAAAGCACAAAAACUCAAACUCAAGACGACUUUCAGGACAGAAUAAAGCUAAUGGAAAUUUUCAGAUAAUUGCAGGUUUUCUAUCAUUGUAACUGAAGCCCCAAAAGGAGAAACUUAGCAUAAAAAAAAGAAGCAACCAACAAUCAAAAAAGCAGAGAGAGCUUAACAGCCUUUAUCAAGGUGGAUUCAUUAAGAGCUGAAAGUACCAGAAUGCUUCAAAAAAGUUUUAUGCAAGAUUUCUUUUGUUUUAUAUGUGAUAUAUUACAUAUUAAAGUGGUUAAAAGUCAAAAUGGAGUAGUGAAAGAAGAGAAACAUAUCUAAAAUUACCAGAAUUUUUGAACCAAAACAUGAAAGUGAUGACCAACAGCUACGAAAACUCCUCAAUUGACCAUUGUCUUCGUGGCUCAAAAGUCAAAAUGAAGGAAAAGUGAGUCAGACAACCGUCAUAUAUGACUCUGAUAGAGCGAUUACUAAACAAAUAAUUCAGAUAAGUUUGCAAAUUCAUUAUCAAGAGGUCAAAGUUCAGAGAAACCAUUUCAUCCCCUUAGAAUCACAAUUUUAAAUAGAGUGAGCUGACUUUAGCAAUAAUAAAUUAAAAUCCAUAGAAACAGACACUUAAAAUAAACAAAACUAGACUGCUAGUUGUUUUAAACAUUAAUAGGAUAUUUGUAGGAAAUGCGGGCCAAAAGUUAUUGAGUUCCAGCCAUAUAGAUGUUACUGAAGAAGCUUCAAAAUUCUAACCUCUGUUUGUCUAAGCAAGAGACCACAAAAAUCAGCUUGGAAAGUUUUGAAGAAAGGAGUGUCAUCAGCAUUGCUGAUCUAAAGACAUAUAGAAAAUGUUUCACAAAUUUUCUGCAUAUGCUAUGAAUAUAAAAUGCAAAUGCAUUUUCCACGGACAAAAGUGCAGAGAACUCAUUUCAUCCUGAUGCAAAUCGUGAGUUUAAAGCGAGAGCUAAUCUUAGAAAUAAUCUUUUACAUUGUUACUUGAUUAGUUAAUUGGUUUCACUUCUCUUUUAUGCAGAACUUGCUUUGGUCACCCAAGAAAAUCUUGUGCCUUUGGUUAUUCAUGCACAAACAAGAUAUUAAGUCAAGCUUCCAUUGAAGUGUAAGUGUCCGGUGCAACCCAAUGAGUACAAACAAUUUCACAAUGAUGCACAAAGAUAUAUCAAAUUUAAGCACAAUAAAGAAAACUUAAUUAAAGAGAAAAGAUAAGAAAUGCAAACCAAAUAUCAAUCCAAUAGCCUCUUCAAUAGAUGGCGAUGCUAACCAAGAUGUACAAGUGAAGGCUCACUCCUUCCUCACCCCAAACACACUUUGGUUGAGCCAAGGAGUUUUACAACUAUUCUAGUUAACCCUCAACAACCUACACUUGAAAGAUCACUCACCCAAUUAAGAACUAUUUUAUACAAAUGAGGCAACCUUCACCAAGGUUUUACCACUUCAAGUGAUAGGUUCACCUUCACCAAGGUUUUACUCCUCCUAGAGAGUAACCUUCACUUGAGCAACCUCACAACCCAACUUUCCCAACCCCUUAUACAACCAACAAAGAAUCUUUCUACUCAAAAAUCUCACUUGUAAGCUUGUAUUUUGUGUUGGCAAAAGUCCCUUGUCUUCUUGUGCUUUGGGGUUUUAUAGAAGGUGAGAAAUGGCUCCAAAAGGCUCUCCAACGGUCAAAUAUUAAAUGCUGUCAAAACUAGCCGUUGGCCUGUCGGACGUCCGAACCACCUGUCGAACGUCCGAACCCUGCGUCCAAACCACCUGUCGGACGUCCGAACCCUGCGUCCGAACGUCGUCAGAGAGUCAUCAAAUCUUUGCGAAAUUUCUCGGACGUCCGAUGCGAUCGAUGUGCGUCCGAGGCGUGCGUCCGAUCCUUCCGGACGUCCGAUGCUUCCUCACGAGCGUCCGACAGAGUUUCCUUCUUGAUGUUCUUCAUCCUUUCGGACGUCCGAUAGCUUCCUUUCGGACGUCCCACAUGAGUGCCCUGUUUUUGCUUCUUCUUUUGUGCCACAAGAAUCUGUUCUAACAAAUUGCUCACAUAAAAACAUUAGCCCAAAUCUACAUUUUGGUUUGUUAAUCAUCAAAACCAAGGAUUGAUCGACCAAGGUCAACAAUCUCCCCCUUUUUGAUGAUGACAAACAAAAUGAAGAUUUCUUUUAUCAAAUAAGUUCAAAUAAAGCUCCCCCUUAGAAAGUGCCAACAUACAAAGAAAUUUCAAUAAAUCCUACUCCCCCUUUUGGCAUCAAUCAAAAACAAACUCCCCCUUUAUUUUUCAAAUCAAGACCAUAUUGAAUAUCAAAAUUUUCAAUUGUACUUACAACCAUAUAGCACUUCUUGGAUCAAAUCUUCAUGAUGUACCUAAAUAUGAGAAAUUUCAUUUGGUACCCUUUCUUUAUAGGGUCCUUGGGAGUUAAUACAACAUGAUCUAGCAAUCCACAUGGAUUUCAUACCUUUUCUCAUAUUUUUCUUUACAUAGCAAUCAUUUUGCAUAUGUCCAAAUUUGUAACAAAAGUGACACAUGAUAGAAGUAUUUUGCACAUAGGUGGAUUUAAUGCAACUAAUUUUCUUACUUCUUAUCAUAGCAAACUUAUUUGUGCCUUGAAAAGAUUUGCUUUCUUUUGUUUGAGAAAACUUUUGUUUUUCAUUUUGGAGAAACUCGUUCAAGUCAUUAAUUCUUUUCUUUAACAAAUUCUGUUCCUCCAACAUUUUUUCAUAAAACUUUGUUUUCUCUUCCAACUUCCUUUUCAAAACAUUUUUUUGAUUUUUUAAAUCAUCAUUUUCCAUUCUCAAACAUUUGUUUUCUUGAAAGAGUUUGGAGUUUUCUUCCAACAAAUCAUUUAUUUUUGUUUUCAAAUCUUUAUUUUUAGCAUAAGAUUUUCUCAAACUUUUAUGCAUUUUAAUCAUAAGAAUUUUCACAUCAUCAUCUUCAUUAUCUUCAUCACAAGAAGAGUGAUAAGAACUUACCUCAUCUUCUCCAACGGCCAUUAGUGCCAUUUGGGCCAACUCUUCUUUUUCUCUUUUUGAAUUGCAUUCAUCCCAUGUAAUUUUGCAAUCUCCUCUUGAACAUCUCUUGUUGAAGAUCUUCUUGAAAUUUUUGAUGUGAGGAGUUAUAUCAUUGUCCACUUCCAUGAUUUCAUUACCCAUGAAGGAUGGGUUAUCCCCCACUUGAGAUGCUUUAAAAGCUAUGCCUCUCUUAUACAUUCUUGCAUUUUCUUCCUCUUGCACUUUGAAUUUCAGCUUUAAUUCAUAAGAGGUUAGGGUAUCCACAAGAGAUUCAAUGGACAUAGAAUUUAAAUCCUUUGCCUCUUCUAUAGCAUUUAUUUUGUUUUCCCAUUCUUUUGGCAAGGCAUUCAAAAUCUUUCUAUUUUUCUCACCCAAAGAAUAUUCUUUUCCAAGCAAUUUAAGAUCUUGAAUAAUGUCACAAAAUCUACUACACAUCUUAUCAACAUUUUCAAGAGGAUGCAUUUUGAAAAAUUCAUAUUGAGAAACAAGCAAAGAUUUCUUUUGUUCUUUAAUAUCUUGGUUACCUUCAUGAAAUACACACAAUUUAUCCCAAAUAUCUUUAGCUGAUUUACAACCUUUAAUCCUACUAGAUUCAUUUACAUCUAAUGCAUUGUACAAUAUACACAUGGCCUUGGCAUUCAAAGAAAGGUAUCUCUUGUCUUUUUCAUUCAAUUCUUGUCUAGUCUUUAAUCUACUCAAAUUAGUGUAGAGUCAAUUAUUCUGGCUUCAUAAGGACCAUCUUCUACCACAUACCAUAAUUCAAUAUAAACGGAUUGUAAGAAAAUCAUCAUUCUUUGUUUCCACAUGCUAAAAUAAGAACCAUUAAACAUAGGUGGUCUAUCAAUAGAUUGCCCUUCUAAAAAAGAAACUUUUAUGGUUGCCAUGAUCUUUACUCUAAGCGGUUAAGCUUGAUCAAAAGAGACCAAGCUCUGAUACCAAUUGUAAGGCCCGGUGCAACCCAAUGAGUACAAACAAUUUCACAAUGAUGCACAAAGAUAUAUCAAAUUUAAGCACAAUAAAGAAAACUUAAUUAAAGAGAAAAGAUAAGAAAUGCAAACCAAAUAUCAAUCCAAUAGCCUCUUCAAUAGAUGGCGAUGCUAACCAAGAUGUACAAGUGAAGGCUCACUCCUUCCUCACCCCAAACACACUUUGGUUGAGCCAAGGAGUUUUACAACUAUUCUAGUUAACCCUCAACAACCUACACUUGAAAGAUCACUCACCCAAUUAAGAACUAUUUUAUACAAAUGAGGCAACCUUCACCAAGGUUUUACCACUUCAAGUGAUAGGUUCACCUUCACCAAGGUUUUACUCCUCCUAGAGAGUAACCUUCACUUCAGCAACCUCACAACCCAACUUUCCCAACCCCUUAUACAACCAACAAAGAAUCUUUCUAUUCAAAAAUCUCACUUGUAAGCUUGUAUUUUGUGUUGGCAAAAGUCCCUUGUCUUCUUGUGCUUUGGGGUAUUUAUAGAAGGUGAGAAAUGGCUUCAAAAGGCUCUCUAACGGUCAAAUAUUAAAUGCUGUCAAAACUAGCCGUUGGCCUGUCGGACGUCCGAACCACCUGUCGAACGUCCGAACCCUGCGUCCAAACCACCUGUCGGACGUCCGAACCCUGCGUCCGAACGUUGACAGAGAGUCAUCAAAUCUUUGCGAAAUUUCUCGGACGUCCGAUGCGAUCGAUGUGCGUCCGAGGCGUGCGUCCGAUGCUUCCGGACGUCCGAUGCUUCCUCACGAGCGUCCGACAGAGUUUCCUUCUUGAUGUUCUUCAUCCUUUCGGACGUCCGAUAGCUUCCUUUCGGACGUCCCACAUGAGUGCCCUGUUUUUGCUUCUUCUAACAAAUUGCUCACAUAAAAACAUUAGCCCAAAUCUACAGUUUGGUUUGUUAAUCAUCAAAACCAAGGAUUGAUCGACCAAGGUCAACAAUCUCCCCCUUUUUGAUGAUGACAAACAAAAUGAAGAUUUCUUUUAUCAAAUAAGUUCAAAUAAAGCUCCCCCUUAGAAAGUGCCAACAUACAAAGAAAUUUCAAUAAAUCCUACUCCCCCUUUUGGCAUCAAUCAAAAACAAACUCCCCCUUUAUUUUUCAAAUCAAGACCAUAUUGAAUAUCAAAAUUUUCAAUUGUACUUACAACCAUAUAGCACUUCUUGGAUCAAAUCUUCAUGAUGUACCUAAAUAUGAGAAAUUUCAUUUGGUACCCUUUCUUUAUAGGGUCCUUGGGAGUUAAUACAAUAUGAUCUAGCAAUCCACAUGGAUUUCAUACCUUUUCUCAUAUUUUUCUUUACAUAGCAAUCAUUUUGCAUAUGUCCAAAUUUGUAACAAAAGUGACACAUGAUUGAAGUAUUUUGCACAUAGGUGGAUUUAAUGCAACUAAUUUUCUUACUUCUUAUCAUAGCAAACUUAUUUGUGCCUUGAAAAGAUUUGCUUUCUUUUGUUUGAGAAAACUUUUGUUUUUCAUUUUGGAGAAACUCGUUCAAGUCAUUAAUUCUUUUCUUUAACAAAUUCUGUUCCUCCAACAUUUUUUCAUAAAACUUUGUUUUCUCUUCCAACUUCCUUUUCAAAACAUUUUUUUGAUUUUUUAAAUCAUCAUUUUCCAUUCUCAAACAUUUGUUUUCUUGAAAGAGUUUGGAGUUUUCUUCCAACAAAUCAUUUAUUUUUGUUUUCAAAUCUUUAUUUUUAGCAUAAGAUUUUCUCAAACUUUUAUGCAUUUUAAUCAUAAGAAUUUUCACAUCAUCAUCUUCAUUAUCUUCAUCACAAGAAGAGUGAUAAGAAUUUACCUCAUCUUCUCCAACGGCCAUUAGUGCCAUUUGGGCCAACUCUUCUUUUUCUCUUUUUGAAUUGCAUUCAUCCCAUGUAAUUUUACAAUCUCCUCUUGAACAUCUCUUGUUGAAGAUCUUCUUGAAAUUUUUGAUGUGAGGAGUUAUAUCAUUGUCCACUUCCAUGAUUUCAUUACCCAUGAAGGAUGGGUUAUCCCCCACUUGAGAUGCUUUAAAAGCUAUGCCUCUCUUAUACAUUCUUGCAUUUUCUUCCUCUUGCACUUUGAAUUUCAGCUUUAAUUCAUAAGAGGUUAGGGUAUCCACAAGAGAUUCAAUGGACAUAGAAUUUAAAUCCUUUGCCUCUUCUAUAGCAUUUAUUUUGUUUUCCCAUUCUUUUGGCAAGGCAUUCAAAAUCUUUCUAUUUUUCUCACCCAAAGAAUAUUCUUUUCCAAGCAAUUUAAGAUCUUGAAUAAUGUCACAAAAUCUACUACACAUCUUAUCAACAUUUUCAAGAGGAUGCAUUUUGAAAAAUUCAUAUUGAGAAACAAGCAAAGAUUUCUUUUGUUCUUUAAUAUCUUGGUUACCUUCAUGAAAUACACACAAUAUAUCCCAAAUAUCUUUAGCUGAUUUACAACCUUUAAUCCUACUAGAUUCAUUUACAUCUAAUGCAUUGUACAAUAUACACAUGGCCUUGGCAUUCAAAGAAAGGUAUCUCUUGUCUUUUUCAUUCAAUUCUUGUCUAGUCUUUAAUCUACUCAAAUUAGUGAUAGAGUCAAUUAUUCUGGCUUCAUAAGGACCAUCUUCUACCACAUACCAUAAUUCAAUAUAAACGGAUUGUAAGAAAAUCAUCAUUCUUUGUUUCCACAUGCUAAAAUAAGAACCAUUAAACAUAGGUGGUCUAUCAAUAGAUUGCCCUUCUAAAAAAGAAACUUUUAUGGUUGCCAUGAUCUUUACUCUAAGCGGUUAAGCUUGAUCAAAAGAGACCAAGCUCUGAUACCAAUUGUAAGUCCUGGUGCAACCCAAUGAGUACAAACAAUUUCACAAUGAUGCACAAAAAUAUAUCAAAUUUAAGCACAAUAAAGAAAACUUAAUUAAAGAGAAAAGAUAAGAAAUGCAAACCAAAUAUCAAUCCAAUAGCCUCUUCAAUAGAUGGCGAUGCUAACCAAGAUGUACAAGUGAAGGCUCACUCCUUCCUCACCCCAAACACACUUUGGUUGAGCCAAGGAGUUUUACAACUAUUAUAGUUAACCCUUAACAACCUACACUUGAAAGAUCACUCACCCAAUUAAGAACUAUUUUAUACAAAUGAGGCAACCUUCACCAAGGUUUUACCACUUCAAGUGAUAGGUUCACCUUCACCAAGGUUUUACUCCACCUAGAGAGUAACCUUCAUUUGAGCAACCUCACAACCCAACUUUCCCAACCCCUUAUACAACCAACAAAGAAUCUUUCUACUCAAAAAUCUCACUUGUAAGCUUGUAUUUUGUGUUGGCAAAAGUCCCUUGUCUUCUUGUGCUUUGGGGUAUUUAUAGAAGGUGAGAAAUGGCUUCAAAAGGCUCUCUAACGGUCAAAUAUUAAAUGCUGUCAAAACUAGCUGUUGGCCUGUCGGACGUCCGAACCACCUGUCGGACGUCUGCGUCCGAACGUUGACAGAGAGUCAUCAAAUCUUUGCGAAAUUUCUCGGACGUCCGAUGCGAUCGAUGUGCGUCCGAGGCGUGCGUCCGAUGCUUCCGGACGUCCGAUGCUUCCUCACGAGCGUCCGACAAAGUUUCCUUCUUGAUGUUCUUCAUCCUUUCGGACGUCCGAUAGCUUCCUUUCGGACGUCCCACAUGAGUGCCCUGUUUUUGCUUCUUCUAACAAAUUGCUCACAUAAAAACAUUAGCCCAAAUCUACAUUUUGGUUUGUUAAUUAUCAAAACCAAGGAUUGAUCGACCAAGGUCAACAUGAAGACAUGUAACCAUCACCUAUUUAUGGUAAUGUCUAUGGAGUACCUAUAACUUUCAAUCAAAAUACAGAAACCUAAGAAAGACGCCAGACAAAAUUGAAAAGAACAACUUCAUGCAAUUCUUCAUUUUUGGUCAAGCGACUACCAACAUAAGAUUUACUCAACAUCAUAUAGACCCAGUAAUUUUGGAAUAACUAUGAAUCUUAAAGUAAGAGCAUCAUUCUAGACAUACGAUUUUUAACUGCAAAAAGAGAACAGGCAAGCUCAUAAAAUCAUGUUGUAUCUAAUGGAGCUAAGAUACAACUUCCAGAAGGGUGGUGAGUAGCUUGCAGAGGCCAACUAACAGACAAUAAGCAGUCAUAAAGACAGACUGACAAUUUUCUACAACUAAAUUGCAGCUAAUUUGCGAGGCAAGCAGUAUGAGACAGAAUAGCAAAUGAGGUCCAUAAUUGAUGAAUUACUACCUCAUGUCAUGGCCAACAGGUUGAAGGCAUCACAUUCACACCGUAGAUCUCAGGCUUUGGCCAUCUCAGUCACUUAGAAGCGAAAGAGAGUGUCAUUCUAUAUGUUUGUCUCCAAUUUGAAAAUGAUGUGGUUGAAGAAGGAAUAAUGGGAUAUUGAUACGUAUGGCAGUAAUUAAGCCAUUGAGGUCUCCCGUGAGCUCUCAGCAUAACACCACUGCAAAAUAGAAUACUCAAAACUCAAGACAGUGUAUAGAAAAUCAUAAAGCUAACUAGAAAAUUCGGGUAAUUGCAGGACAUUUCUGUUCAACAAAUCUUACAGAAAGUUAGAGAGAGAGAGAGAGAGAGAGAGAGAUUUUGUCAUUGAUAUCAAACCUAAAUUAGUAAGCAGAUACAAAAUCCUUCUGGUCAGUCUACAAGAACCAAGUAUUGUCAUGAAAAUUGUUCCAGUUUGUGCCCAAAACUCCAAAAAAUGACCGGUUGAGUAAUUUAAAAAAAUUUGUUGCAACCAAAAAACAUGACAAGCAGAGACAGCUCAAGAAUCUUCAUGAAGCGAAUUCCUAGAGAGUAGCAACCAAUUGCUACCUCAAGAAUCUUCAUGAAGGCAAAUCUUCAUCAAAAAGUCCUGGUGAUGAUAGCUGUUCAAAAACAUCCAAUAAGCUGGGGCAAGGAAUUUUUUCCGAGCAGCUCGCACAGGCCAGCUGACAGUCUUGAGCAAUCAAAAACAUAGACUGAAAACUUUCUGCAAUUAGGUAACAACUAGUUUCAAGGACAAGAAGUCAGGAAAACAAGAGAAAAUUUGUAGUAACAUAGCAGGUAAAUUCUUAUUGCUAGACCUCGUGACUGAAAUGGCAGAUUGACAGUGUGCAAGCUUCGACAAUAAGGAUAUUUGGCUAUUUGAGGCAGCAAUAUGAAAGAAAAGAGGGCCAUCAUAAACAUUUCUAUCCAAGAUACUGGGUUUGCAAUUGAAUGAGCAAUUACUGCUAGUUGUUCUAAACGUUGAUAGGUCAUUUGUAGGAAAUGCAGGCCAAUAGUUAUGGUGUAAAGAAGCUUCAAAAUUCUAACCUCUGUUCGUGAAGCUAUUCUUCCAUCAAUCCUACAAAAACAAAGCGUAGAACAGAAUACAAACAGAGAUACAGUAAAACAUGAAAGCACGAAACAGGAUAGGUGCUUGAGGUCAUUCUAAUUGAUAGUUGCAAGAGUAUUAUGUUGUAAGGAGUAAAUGAGGAGCAACAAUAUUUUGGACCUGAUAAGAAAUGCUAAUGCUGUAGCUUUGAAAGAUAAUAAAUGGAAUGAUAAAAAGGGAGAAGAGAAAAUUGUGAAAAUAACCACGUGGACUUUUUAGGUUUUCUCACGAGAAGGUUCAUCAGAAGGGGAGGUGAAGAGAAGGGGAGAUUGAUUGUAAAGCAAAUUAAGAAAGUUGGUAAGAGGCAAUCUUACAUGAUUGAAUUUGAUCUGAAGAUGAGUUGGUUAUUAAUCAACUUAUGCGUAUGUCUAGGUCUUGAAUGUGAGAAACUUUGGACCACUGGGAGUCGGGGCCGCUGCUCUCAGGAGUGCAUCUUUCUUUUAACAGAGGAGAACCACGAACCCUUAGACGUUUUAGUUUGGUGAGACUUCUCAUGGCAUCCUCAGAGGGUAGAUGUCCAAGCUCUUUGAAAUUCCAUAAAUAUAGUUCUUCAAGAGCAGCGAAGUUUCCGAACCAAUCUGGCAGAGCUUCUACAGCUCCAAAGUCAUAUAGCAAUAGUGACGUGAGAGUGGUCAAGUGUUGGAUCUGAUGUGGCAGUGACUCAAUGUAAGGCAACCCAAAUAAUUCUAAUCCACGGAGUGCGGAUGACGAAGAGGAGGAGGAGGAGGAUAUCAAUCCAGACCAAUCAAACUCAUUGUAAAUUGAAGAAUUUUCAUGAUCAUCACCAUCAUCUGAGAAGGGACCAAUUUCAAGCUCCCUUAAGCUGGUUAGGAAACCAAAUCCUUUGGGCGUCAACCUUGUUUUCAGUUUGGGACACUCGCAUAAUUCCAGCUCCGAGAGAGAAGGCGUUUGUUGCAAAUCAAGCGGAAAGGAGAUAAGAUUGUCAUAAUUAAUCACCCGAAGCUCCUGGAGAGAGGCACAAGAGUGUAGCAUGUCACCGGGCAGAUUCGUCAACCCAUCGCACUCAUCAAUCACCAGCUUUUUAAGAGAUGUAAAGUUUUGCAGGGGAAGGAGGUCUUUGCAUCUGUCGCAGGAAUAAAACUUCAAACAGACUAACUUGGGGAGUGUUGUUGCUGACUCGGGGAUUGUUGUUGUUGUUGGCAAAUCCAUUAACCAUCGAGGAAAUUGAUCGCCCAUAAAAUCGCAAAUUACCAACUCCUCCAAAUUUGGGUGGGGUCGAAGGCCAUCUAACACAUCUUCGUCAUUGUAGGUGUCGCCUUCUCGAUCACGGGCCCACUCAAGUACCAGCCUAAAUAGAUUUGCCUUCUCAGAUAGUUUUGCUUCCUCAGCUCCUUCCUUAUUCUUUACCAGUUCCAGAUUGCGUAUCUCCAAUCUGCCUCUGAGGUUCUUUAAGUUUCCAAGCUCUCCAAUUCGUCGACCCUUCUCUCGACCCACUUUAAAGAACUCUAGCGUCUGAAGGCAAGUCAGUCGCCCCAUCUCUAGCGGCAUUUGAAAUUCUUUAUAAUUAUUAUCAUAAUGGAGAUGUCUCAAGCUAAUCAAAUCGCACAUUCCCUUUGGAAGAACUUUAACUUCUGAAUAACUUAGCAUCAAUGUCUGCAGAUUGUAAAGCUUGCAAAGAGAGUCCGGCAAAAUACUGAUUGCAGCCCACGAAAGGUUAACAUACCGCAAAUGUAUCAGUUUGCCAAUUGAGACUGGUAGCUCUUGAGUUCUUCUUGCACGAGACAAAUUCAAAACAUACAAGUUCUUCAACUUCAUUAACAUAUCACCAGAUAAGUCACCAUUUACGAUGAAUAAUGUAUGAAGCGAAGUUGAUAUAUUCUCAAAAAGUUUUUCUGUGUCUUCUCUGCCACCAGCUGAGUCUACUGCAAGGUAACGAAUCUGAUUACUAUUGUCAAUUAUCUGAGCAUCCCCAUUAUUAAUAACUUUAGUAGACUUUGACAUUGACUCUGCGAGGUCGUGCACCAAAUCAUGCAACUUAUAAUAAUGUGUUUCCUCAUAACUUCUGGUUUCUUCAAACAACAAACUCUGUAAUAAAAUUCUUAGACAAUUCAUUCCAAUUUCCUCCAUCAUCAUUUGGCUGUUGAUGUCUGCUUGGAGGAAACCUUCUGCCAUCCAAAGUUCGAUUAGCUUAUCUCCUCUCAUCUCAGUAUCCUUAGGAAAUAUAGACCAAUAUGCAAAACAUUUCUUAAUGUAUGGAGAUGGCAAAUUAUCAAAACUAAACUUAAGUAUUUGCAUCACACCAUCUCCAUCUCCACUCAAACUCGAAAGCCUAUUCUCCAAAAUUGAUCGCCACUCCUCUUUUCUCUUUAAAGAUAAUAGACCUCCAAUUACACUUGCAGCCAAUGGUAGACCAUCACAUCUUUUGAUCACUCUCUCUUUAAUUGCUUUUAGUUCAUCAGGUUCUUCUUCCCCUCCAACUACUUUUUCUUUUACGAUAGACCAACAAUGAUCAUCAGGUAGUUUUCCUAAUGGAUAGCGUUCAUUUUCCAUCAUCCUCAAAACUCUAGACACACUAUGUGCCACUGGACCUAGACGAGUAGUGACCAGACACCAGCUUACAUUAGUUGGAUUGAGCCCCUUCAAGGUGGUGAAAAAGUCAUCCCACAAUGCCUGAUUAUCAUCCCACACAUCAUCAAGGACAAGGAAAUAUCUUUUUCCCUCUAGUUGAUUCUGAAUUUCUCCAACGAUGACAUUCCUAUCAUCCACUUUAACCUUUUCUUUUGUCAAUUGCACUAGUAUGAGUUUGAAAAGCUCUUCUAUUGGAACUUUUUUCGAUACACAAACCCAAAUCUUUAUGUCAAAGUGCCCAUCAAUUUGCUUGUUGUUGUAUAUCAAUUUAGCCAAAGUUGUUUUGCCUAGACCUCCCAUACCAGUUAUGGAAAGACAGGAAACAACCUUCUCGGAUGGGCUCAACAGCAUCUUCACUAUCUUUGAUUCAUUAUCGGCUCUUCCAAUCAUUGGAGCAACAACAGAGUCGGUCUGCCGAUUUCUUUUGUCUCUAGCAUCAGCAGCAGCAGGGAGGGCAACUGUCAUGACUGCCAUGCCGACCAGUCCCAAAUCACUAGCUUCUUGAUUGAUCUCAUUCAGCUUAAGUUUGAUGCCUCUGACCUUAGAAGCCAUUCUCCAACGGAAAGCAAGAUUAAUAUUAGAGAAGGAGAAGAAGCAGCAUACCUUUCGCUUGUGCUGGUUUCGGGACUCCACCUGGUGACGAAGAGAUUCAUAGUUGAGCUCAUCCAACACAUUGCCAGCAUCAUAAGCCACUUCCUCCAGACUCUUCAACCCUUCUUGCACUCCCCGGUCCUGGUUUUGUUGCCUUUCCACAGCAUCAGCCAAGAGAGCAUUGAUAAAGCGAAGAGAUCGAGUCAUGCUGGCCACAUCCUUCUUGAACCCAACUAACAUACCAAUCCUAUCAGUGGCAAGAGAUACUGCCGUCUCCAAGGUAACCUGAAUAGUGGCACUAAUGACAGCGUCAGCCAUUUUCCUUUCCUUGUAUGGAGCUUAAUUGCUAGGAUGUUUUGUGAAUAUCAGAUUGGUGAUUUCCUUGUAUGUAGCUUGCUAGGAUGCUUUUUGCUAUCAGAUUAUAAAGAUGGAGAUGGACAGAAGGGUAGAGGCCUUGGUCAAGGUUGUUGUAGAAAAGUUAUUAACAAUAGACUGGCAUUUCUAUCUAAAAUAUUGCUAACAAUAAAACUACUAGAACAGUAGUAUAUACAACUGGAUGGGUCACGUUUGUGUCUCGAGUCUCCUUUGUUAUAAUAUUAGGGCGGCUUGGCCAUCUCAAUUAUUGCACCUGCACCAACAAGUGUGUACAGAAAAAAACAAAGCUAAAGAAAUUAUCCAAUGAGGUUUUAUGAUCAGCCAAUUUCGUUCCAGCCAAAAACUUCAGAUCAGGAUGACUUUUGCAGCAUGGAAGGGAUCAGUAGCUCGGACUUACUCUUGACAAGUUGAAAUCCUCAUGGGAAAUCCUAAGGAUAAUUUCGUAUAGCUGCAAACAAAUCGCACAAAGUUUGACUCGGCAAUCGAGGUGAGUAUGCCGAAUGUAGAGAUACUCGACUCUUUAAGUUGGCUUGCUUUUACAUAUUUUUAAUGAUUUUUAUUGCACGCAUUUCUCUUAGAUUUUUCUUAUUUACUAGAGUGAAAUGUCUAAUUUACCUAUUUUAAAAUAUUAUAAAUACUACUUAUUAUCUUCAGUCAAGUUCAGUGUAUUCUUGUUUGAUUGGAACUUAAUGCAUCAUCAAAACAUCAUAUUGUGCACAGAAUGCAGAUAUCUUUGGAAAAUAAUUUAUCUAUGCAAUACAAAACCACUCACAACUCAGGACACCACAGAGCAAAUGAUAAGGCUAACUGGAAGAUGGCAUGACAUCUUUGUUUAGUCAAUUGAUUAUUCACAGAGCUAAAUAAAUAGUUGGUGUUGUUGUUGUGGUUUUCUAACCUGAAAUUAGUAAGCAGACACCAAUUCUUUCUGCUCGGAGUGUAGAGAAAAAUUGGACGAAGAUGGAGGAGAACAAAAGAAUAGAGUGAAAUGUCUAAUUUACCUAUUUUAAAAUAUUAUAAAUACUACUUAUUAUCUUCAGUCAAGUUCAGUGUAUUCUUGUUUGAUUGGAACUUAAUGCAUCAUCAAAACAUCAUAUUGUGCACAGAAUGCAGAUAUCUUUGGAAAAUAAUUUAUCUAUGCAAUACAAAACCACUCACAACUCAGGACACCACAGAGCAAAUGAUAAGGCUAACUGGAAGAUGGCAUGACAUCUUUGUUUAGUCAAUUGAUUAUUCACAGAGCUAAAUAAAUAGUUGGUGUUGUUGUUGUGGUUUUCUAACCUGAAAUUAGUAAGCAGACACCAAUUCUUUCUGCUCGGAGUGUAGAGAAAAAUUGGACGAAGAUGGAGGAGAACAAAAGAAUAGGGUCGAAGUUUUGGUCAAAGUUUCUUUUUCUUCUGUUUUUUCCCCUUACUUGGUAUGAAUUAUGAAGCCACUUGCUUAAUUACAUUAUACACAAAGCUAAAUCAAUAGUUUUCUCUUGGAGAUUAAGAAAGAAAUCUUGCUACAUAAACAAAAAUUUUUUCUUACUUGGUAUGAAUUAUGAAGGCACUUGCUUCUUCCUCGAAUCCUGCUUGGUUUUAGUUAAUUAUGAUUACAGAGACUGCUUAGUUUACGCUAAUGCUGGGGCCUUGGAUGCUCAAAAGGUCUAAUCCUUGGUAUUUAAAAAAAAUGCUGAAAACAAAGGUAGGUACAGUACAACUGGCAUUUCCACCUAAAAUAUUAGCAAUAACAAUAGAUAGACAAAUUCUCAAUUGUUAUAUUAGAGCGGCUUUGCUAUCUCAAUUAUUGCACCUAAAACAACAAGAAGUGGUCUUCUCAGCGUCGAAGAAGAGAGUGCUUCUUUUGACAAACUUGAAUGCAUUUUCCACCAAAAUCGACUGGCGUUUUACUCGAAUGUUUCUAAAUCAAUGCUGGGUUUUUUUGUUCUUUAUUACUUUUUUUGGAAAAAUCAUUUAAAAUGUUCCUCACAUUUCAUUAGAUGAAAUUUUUUCGUCCAUCAUUUUUAAAAGGGCAAAUUCCACUUUACCCCCUGUGGUUUAGUAUUUUUUAUAUAACCCCCUCUAUAAUUUUAAAAGUUAUACAUAACCCUUUCAUGAUUUGGAUUAAAGUGUCAAAGUAACGGAAAUGAUUAGUUGUAAUAGAAUCAUUUAAAAUGUCAAAAUACCCUUAUGCAAAGUUGAAAAUUUUUUAUUAACCAAGGGGGGUUAUGUGUAUAUUUUGAAACUAUAAGGGGGUUAUAUGGUAAAGUAUUAAAUCAUAAAGGGAUUAUAUGGUAAAACAUAAAAAUUAUACGGAGUUAGUGUAUCAUGUAUUUAUAAGGAUAAAUUCGAUAUUUUCAAAAGUUUCAUUAUGAAUGAUUAUUUUCAUUACUUUGACACUUUAAUUCAAACCAUAAGGGGGUUAUAUGGUAAAGUAUUAAAUCAUUAAAGGAUUAUAUGGUAAAACAUAAAAAUCAUAUGGAGUUAGUAUGUCAUGUGUUUAUAAGGGUAAUUUCGAUAUUUUCAAAAGUUUCAUUAUGAAUGACUAUUUCCAUCACUUUGACAUUUUAAUUCAAACCAUAAGGGGGUUAUGUAUAACUUUUGAAACUAGAAGGGGGUUAUGUAGAAAAAUAUUAAAUCACAAGAGGAUAAAGUGUAAUUUGCCCUUUUUAAAAUAUUGAUUUUAUGUCGCUUACAAAAUCAAGGCAGCCAAAUUGAGUUGCAACCUGGGCUUGUGACCACUGAAGACACGAAGUGAUCCACUACGUGAUCAUUGUUUUAGGUAGGGGUGGCAAUUCCUGCCACGACUCGAAAACACGACACGAAUCUAACACGAAAUUAAUGGAUUUGGGUUGAGGUUUCGGAGGUUUGAGUCAGAAACGGGUCGAACUCGAUGAACCCGAAAAGAAAACAUGUCAAUUUCGGGUCAACCCAUGGUGACCUGAUAUGACCCGAUGUGACCCGUUUACGAAUUAAAAAUAAGUUAAUAAAUAUAAAAAUUAUUUUAUCUAACUAAACUAAAUCAUUCUUUUUUUUUCAAAGACAUUAAUUACUUAAUCCUAAAUGAAUUUAUUUAACUUGUGUGAAAUUGAAAUUAUUAUAUUUGGACAAAUAAUAUAUUAUGUUAUUUUUUACUUUUAUGCUGUUUUAAUUUAUUUUAUAUUUGGUUUGGGAUAAAACACUUUUACGGUGUUUAAUUUAUUUUAGAUUUGGUUUGAAAUUAUUUAUUUAAAUUUUUAUUACUUGAUGAUGUAAUUAAUUUUGUGAGAAAUUGAUUUUAUUGGAAAUUAUAAUGAUAAAUUAAUAAAUUAAAAUUAAGUUUCGGGUCGACCCGCAAACCCGAAUUUUCGGGUUCGUAUCAGGUAUCCUGACCCGUUUCGGGUUGGCGGGUCAGGUUCGGAUCAGCGGAUUUUCUGUUAUAUUUGGACCUCAACCCGACCCACACAACAACCGAACCCGACCCGAUUGCCACCCCUAGUUUUAGGUGCAAAAACUAAUUUUUUCUAAAAAUUAAAAGAAACUUCAAAAAAAUUGAAAAAAAAAAUACUAGGAAGAAAGAGUAAGAUGUAAGAAACAUUUAAGUAGCCGGAGUUUUAAACCUAGGACCUUUAAUUCUUGUAGUUUCACCUUUAACUAAUUGACCAAGCCUCUUUCCCACAUAAAGGCUAUCACUUUUGGGCAUUAAUGUGAUUUCAUUAAAUUUUUGGACCGAAUCUUUGUGUUGUUAAACAUUUUAUACAUUCAUCUUGGGGAAACAAAUGUAUAGUAUAUCUUAAGUUCAAAGGGAUAAAGUGUUACUCAUGUCUCACUCCCAAGUUCGAAAUGUAAUCAAAGUGUAAUCAACCCUUAAAUUCAUUCAUCACAUCACUCUCUAUAUUCAAAACAACAAAUCACCAGUUUUGGCCAGCUGAGACAGAGAGAAUAAAAAGACAGUGCCGUGAUGCAGUUCAGCUAAGAAUCAAAUGAAUUCCAAAAGUAAAGGCAUUGUUUAGGGGCCAACAGGGUUUCCCUUUGAGCAUUUUAAUUAGCAAAAAUCACUGCAAAACAGACAAUCAAACUUAGGACACCAUAUAUAUAGAAAACCCAUAAAGCUAACUGGAAACUGCAUGACACUUUUUUGUUCAGUCAAUUGUUCAGAAAUCUAAAUCAAUAUCUCUGAUGAACCAAUGUUUUUUAUAUGUGUUGAAUGUUGUUUGGUUUAGUAAAUUAUCAUUCCAGCGAGUAGUUACUUUACGCUAAUGCUGGGGGCGCUUGGGUUGUUCAAGAUAUUUAAAAAAUACUGGGAAAAUGGUGGGCAGAGCUAACAUUUCCAGCUAAAAUAUUAACAAUGUAUAAUACUAGCCGGAGAAAAUAAAAUAUAUAUAGAAAUGGAUGGGUGACGGUGGAGUCUCAAUUGUUAAUUUGUUAUUAUAUUAGGGCGGCGGCUUUGGCCAUCUCAAUUAUUACCGCUGCACCCACGAGCGUAUGGAGAAAAAUCCUAAACAAAUCAUCCAAUGAGGGUUUCUGAGCUUAGAAAGAAGAGCGCUGCUUCUUUUGACAAACUUGCAAAUGCAUUUUCCACAGUACCAUCUAACAUUUCCAUCUAAAAUAUUACUAACAAUAAAACUACUAGAAAAGUAGUAUAUAGAACUCUCAAUUGUUAUUAUAUCAUAUUAGGGCGGCUUGGCCACCUCAAUUAUUGCACCUGCACCAACAAGUGCGUCCAGAAAAAAAAAAGCUAAAGAAAUUAUCGAAUGAGGUUUUAUGAUCAGCCAAUUUUGUUCCUGUGAAAUGAUAGUGUGUCUUUAGAUCAGGAUGACUUUUGCAGCGUGGAAGGGAUUAGUAGCUCGGACUUACUCUUGACAAGUAGAAGUCCUCAUGGGAAAUCCUAAGGAUAAUUUUAUUUUUUUCGACAGUCGAUAGUAGUUUAUUCUACACCUACUCCUACACCUAUUCUAACUUAUCCUUAAGGGGAGACCCGACUGGGCUAAUGGAUGGGGCCGACGGGAACCGAACCACUAUCGAACCAGACGGUUGCAAAGUAUGCCGAAUGUAGAGAUACUCGACUCUUUAAGUUGGCUUGAUUUUACAUAUUUUUAAUGAUUUUUAUUGCACGCAUUUCUCUUAGAUUUUUCUUAUUUAUUAGAGUGAAAUAUCUAAUUUACCUAUUUUAAAAUAUUAUAAAUACUACUUAUUAUCUUUAGUCAAGUUCAGUGUAUUCUUGUUUGAUUGGAACUUAAUACAUCAUCAAAACAUCAUAUUGUGCACGCACAGAAUGUAGAUAUCUUUGGAAAAUAAUUUAUCUAUGCAAUACAAAACCACUCACAACUCAGGACACCAUAGAGCAAAUGAUAAGACUAACUGGAAAAUGGCAUGACAUCUUUGUUUAGUCAAUUAAUUAUUCACAGAGCUAAAUAAAUAGUUGGUGUUGUUGUUGUGCUUUUCUAACCUGAAAUUAGUAAGCAGAUACCGAUUCUUUCUACUCAGACUGUAGAGAAAAACUGGAUGAAGAUAGAGGAGGACAAAAGAAAAGGGUUGAGGUUUUGGUCAAACUUUCUUUUUUUCCCCACCUUAUUUGGUGUGAAUUAUGAAGCCACUUGCUUAAUUAUACACAAAGCUAAAUCAAUAGUUUUCUCUUGGAGAUUAAGAAAGAAAUCUUGCUACAUAAACAAAAAUCUUUUCUUACUUGGUAUGAAUUAUGAAGCCACUUGCUUCUUGACAGGUGUCGAGUCUGUGCAAUAAUAAUUACUAAAAAGUCCUAGUUACCAUAACAAUUAAUUAUAGAACAAAUCCAAGUACUGGAGCAGGGAUCCUAGGUGUGUAAUGGGUUACUUGAUUCACCCUGUCCCGAAGAGUUUGUUUGAUCCGAUAUACCAGAAUUGUCUAUAAAAGUAUUAAAUUUGCGUACAAUGGCAAGUAGGAUCGAUUUCACAGGGAACGGGUAGGAAGUUGUUUCUUUCCAAAUCAAUAGAACAAAAUUGGGGGAUAUUUAAUGAAGUGAAAAUGAAAAUAAAAUAAACAAAAUUCAAAAGCUAAUUCACCAAGUACAAUUUACUAAAAUAGCAAUUAAUAAAAUUCUACCCAAAAAAUCAACUUUUCAGGCACGGUCCAAUUAAAUGAUCAUCGAUGCAAAAAUAUUUCAUUCAUUCGUCACUAGGUUGGUUAUAGCCACCAACAAGCUCUGACAGCCAAUUCUUCCUUACUUUUUCGAUAGCCAAGGUACGACCAUUGACUGCUUCUCUAACCAGAAAACAACCCCAGGUACGACCGUAGUGUUGAGUAUGUCUUUGUAUCCCACAUCGAAACUUUUAUAGAGAAGUAUCUCAUCUUGGUAGUUAUAAAUAUAGUGGACUUAAGUGAGUUUAAGUGUGCUAACAGCACCAGCCCAAGUGUCAUGUGCACCAGUCCAAGAGAGUUUUUAGGGGGUCCACGCCCCAGUCUAAGAGAGGUUUUGGUUUGGCAUCAAACCAAAAGAGCAAGUCAUAGGCUUUUGGGUCAUUAAGCAUUUAGCGCUAUUUAGGCUCUUUUGUGUUUUCAGUUUAGGUGCCUUUUGGACCUGGGAAUUAUUUCCUAAGGUUUUGUUCUCUCUUUCUAUUAUAGUAAAUCUGCUACCCCUUCGCCUGUGGACGUAGGUCAAUUGGACCGAACCACGUAAAUUUCAUGUUUCUCUAUUUGAUUUAUUUAUUUUGUUAUUAUCAUUAUUGAGUUGGCAAAAACUCUAUUGUUCUCGUUGGUCAAUUUUCUAGGACCAGACCUAACAAAUUAGUAUCAGAGCUUUAAGUUCCAGAUUCAGCUUCAGGUUUUGGAUCAUGGUCAGAUUUUGGGUUCUUGAUGACAAUAACAAGUUUUUGGUGCUACAGAGAGUGAAGAAAAAUUUUUUUUGUUGGAGUUCAGUUGGGUUUUUGAGAAGAGUUAUUUGGCCCGUUAGAACUCAUUGAAGGUUUUGAGAAGAAGGUGGAGCAUAACUACCAUAUUCGUGGUUUUUUAGCCUGUUGGGAUCUGUUGAACAUUUUGUAAGAUUUGGCCCGUUGGAACCUGUUGAACCUUUUGCAUCUUGGUUCAUUGGUGGUUCGUUGUGGUUCGUUGGGACUUUUAUGGUUCAUUGAGAUCCGUUGGGACUUUUAUGGAGAAGGUGGAGCUUGUUUUUAUUCAUCUGUUAUUUGCCGAUAUUUGAUACAUGCCAAGGUGGAGAUUUGUUGAGUAUGUCUUUGUAUCCCACAUCAGAACUUUUAUAGAGAAGUAUCUCAUCUUGGUAGUUAUAAAUAGUGGACUUAAGUGAGUUUAAUUGUGCUAAAGGCACCAGGCCAAGUGUCAUGUGCACCAGUCCAAGAGAGUUUUUAGGGGGCCCACGCCCCAGUCUAAGAGAGGUUUUGGUUUGGCAUCAAACCAAAAGAGCAAGUCAUGGGCCUUUGGGCCAUUAAGCAUUUAGUGCUAUUUAGGAUCUUUUCUGUUUUCAGUUUAGGUGCCUUUUGGACCUAGGAAUUAUUUCCUAAGGUUUUGUACUCUCUCUUUUGUACUCUCUUUCUGUUUUAGUAAAUCUGCUACCCCUUCGCUCGUGGACGUAUGUCAAUUGGACCGAACCACGUAAAUUUCAUGUUUCUCUGUUUGAUUUAUUUAUUUUGUUAUUGUCAUUAUUGAGUUGGCAAGAACUCUAUUGUUCUCGUUGGUCAUUUUUCUGGGACCAGACCUAACACGUAGGAAUUUAAUUAUCCAGUUGCAUUAAAACUAGAAGAACCCAACCCUAACCAAUAAACACGCUAAGAGGGUUUAUUUAAAUUAGAUCUUACGUUUCUCCAACACAAAGUCAAUUAUGAUGGUUGUCACUAGUUAUCAACUAAACGAACAAUUACGGAUUCAAUUUAGUUAACGUGACAGUAGGCUAUUAUAUUAAAUUAAAUAUCCGACCGUUGAUACUCAAUUAAUAAAAUAACCAUGAAUAAUUAAUUCAGGAAACGCACGAAUAGUAACAAAUUGGAAGAAAUAGUGAAAGUUCGAUUAGAUCUCACAGAUGUUAUGGACCGCGCCUUCGCGUUAAUCCUUAGGUAGAGGAGAAAACUAGCCGUUCCUCAUAUCUCGCGUGAUUUAAUUGAAAUCAUUCAAUUAAUUGCCAAAGAAUUGGGAAAAGUGAAAUAAUGAGGCUACAAACGAAAGGUCUUGCUUCCUUCUUGUUUCGAGUUCUUACAGGAGGAAAGUAAAGGGAAAGUCUCACACAAGUUAUCAGAAACCAAAACAGAGAAAGCAAUCAUCUAUAGGGAAGAAAACGAAAACUCAAACUACUAAACCCACGUGAUUCUGGCUUUUCUUCUAUUCCCUGCCGAAAAGAAAAACAUCCCACAGAAAAGCAAAAGCUAAUCUAUUCUCCCCCCCUGAAUCUGGCUUUCUUUUCUCUUUUGUAGCCGCCGCCAGCAGAACAAAAACGUCCCACAGAAAGCCAUUCUCUAGGAGUUUUAAUCCCCUGCACCCCCGCGGUCCACGUGAACCUGACUUCCUAAUUGCCCUCCUGCUACUAUCAAUCCCACGGGUCCGGCUUCUAGGUGUAUCUCUUUAGUUUUUGGCGUGGACACGCUAUGAAAUAAAGGGUCUUCUGGAAAUUCGCCUUAAGAGAGCACUUUUGACACCAACCACCUACAAUUUACACAAAUAUGAAAGAUGAGCAAAAUCUCAAUUCUUAGUACAGUAAGUAGCCAAAAUUACGACCAAAUAACAGCGCAAAAGGUGCCCAAUAAUUGCUCUAUCACUUCUUUCUCAAAUUUUACUUGGUUUUAGUUAAUUAUGAUUACAGAGACUGCUUAGUUUACGUUAAUGCUGGGGCCUUGGGAUGCUCAAAAGGUCUAAUCCUUGCUAUAUAAAUAAAAUGCUGAAAACAAAGGUAGGUAGAGUACAACUGGCAUUUCCACCUAAACUAUUAGAAAUAACAAUAGUAGACAAAUUCUCAAUUGUUAUAUUAGAGCGGCUUUGCUAUCUCAAUUAUUGCACCUAAAACAACAAGAAGUGGUCUUCUCAGCGUAGAAGAAGAGAGUGCUUCUUUUGACAAACUUGAAUGCAUUUUCCACCAAAACUAACUGGCGUUUUACUCGAAUGUUUCUAAAUCAAUGCUGGGUUUUUUUUUUGUUCUUUAUUACUUUUUUUGGAAAAAUCAUUUAAAAUGUUCCUUACAUUUCAUUAGAUGAAUUUUUUUCGUCCAUCAUUUUUAAAAGUGCAAAUUUCACUUUACCCCUUGUGGUUUAGUGUUUUAUUAAAUAAAUAUUUAUAGCUGAAUGUUUAAUAAGUUUAAUUUGACAAUUUUACCCUUAUAUCCUUUCAUUCAAAAAAGAAAUAGAAUCUAUGAUUUAAUUAGUUUAAAAUUGUAAGGUAUGAAAAUGACAAUAUUUAUUUUUAAAUCAAAUUAAUAUAAAAGAUGAAAUAUAUUAUAUGAGGAGUAUGGAGAGGAUGUGAAAGUCAUUAAAAAGGGAGAAAAGAGAAAUUAAAAAUCGUUAGAUUGAAAAUAUUAGGUUGUUUAAUUAGAUAAGAAUUUUGAGCAUAAUUAACAAACAAGGGUAGAUUUAGUAGAUAAGAUAAGGUAGUUGUAAAAAUUCUGUUGAAUCUUUUCAGAAUUAAGCAUUCAGUUAGGAUUCUUGUGCUGAAAAAAAUACACACAGGUUCAGCACUGCUUAACAAGUUCAGUAAAUAGAUUUUCAUUUAUCAAACACUCAAAAUAUCUGAAUAUUUGAAAAAAUUCAGAUUCAGCACUUUUUUAUGUUAUCAAACAAACCCUUAGUCUCCAGCCAUUGGAGCCUUUUGACGCGAACUCCAACAUUUUUCAGAUGAAGGAGCCUGGUUACUUAAUUCCUAUCGCUGUACGAUCACGUACUUAUAGAAAUUACUAUCUUUUGACGCGAGAAUCGACACUUUUGGUGAAGAACCCCAGUUAUUCAAUAGUAAUGACUAGCGGAGUACAGUCAAUUUUAUUUCACAGCCAGAUAACACAAUAACUCAAAAUAACAUAGCAAAAGAAAACAAAAAUAGUAGCCGUUAGCCUCAUUUCUUCAAAUAUGGAGAACUAAAGUUAAUACUGGACCAAUUUACAUGAAAUGCCAACAAUCAUUCCCUAUGCCUAGAAAAGUUAACAAAGAAAUCAAAAGAGUCAAGCAAUCAUUGAUAUUCACCAAAGAGAUGUUCUUGACUCAACCACAUUAACUAGAUACACUUCUAUUAUUAAAACUUGACAAUAGUAGAAUUAGAGUCAAUAAUCCAACAUCAAACCUUGGUAUUCACAUGAGAGCUAAGCACCAAAAAGAAAGAAAGAAAAUGAACGAAAGAUAGAUAAAUAACAAACUAGAAAUAAAGGAAAAACACCUAAAAACUAAAAACUACUAAAACUAGAACCACAACUGAUCCCCCCACACCUAAACGAUACAUUGUCCUCAAUGUAGCAAAUAAACAUCAAAAGUAGGAGAAAUGGCAACAAAACUUUCCUGAAGUUGGGUCAAAGUGGUGGGUGAUAACCAAAUUGAGGCGUAAGACCCGCAUGAUGCAUGAAUGCUACAUAAACAAAAAAAUUUUCUUACUUGGUAUGAAUUAUGAAGCCACUUGCUUCUUUCUCUAAUCUUGCUUGGUUUUAGUUAAUUAUGGUUACAGAGACUGCUUAGUUUACGCUAAUGCUGGGGCCUUGGGAUGCUCAAAAGGUCUAAUCCUUGGUAUUUAAAUAAAAAGCUGAAAACAAAGGUUAGGUACAGUACAACUGGCAUUUCCACCUAAAAUAUUAGCAAUAACAAUAGUAGACAAAUUCUCAAUUGUUAUAUUAGAGCAGCUUUGCUAUCUCAAUUAUUGCACCUAAAACAACAAGAAGUGGUCUUCUCAGCGUCAAAGAAGAGAGUGCUUCUAAACCACAAGGGGAUAAAGUGUAAUUUGCCUUUUUUAAAAUAUUGAUUUUAUGUCGCUUAUAAAAUCAAGGCAGCCAAAUUUAGCUGCAACCUGAGCUUUUGACCAUUGAAUACACAAAGUGAUUCACUACGUGAUCAUUAUUUUAGGUGCAAAAACUGUAUUUUUUCUAAAAAUUAAAAGAAACUUCAAAAAAUUGAACAAAAAAAUACUAGCAAGAAGGAGUGAGAUGUAAGAAACAUUUAAGUAGCCGGAGUUUUAAACCUAGGACCUUUAAUUCUUGUAGUUUCACCUUUAACUAAUUGACCAAGUCUCUUUCCCACAUAAAGGCUAUCAUUUUUCUGGGCAUUAAUGUGAUUUCAUUAAAUUUUUGGACCGAAUCUUUGUGCUGUUAAACAUUUUAUACAUCCAUCUUGGGAGCAAAUCGCAUAUAUCUUUUUUUUUUUUUUUUAAAUAAAUUGUAUAUAUCUUAUGUUCAAAAGGAUAAAGUGUUACUCAUGUAUAUAUCUUAAGUUCAAAGGGAUAAAGUGUUGCUUAUGUCUCACUCCCAAGUUCGAUAUGUAAUCAAAGUGUAAGCAGCCCUAAAAUUCAUUCAUCAUUCUCUGUACUCACAACAGCUAGUCACAAGCUUUGGCCAGCUGAGAGCCUGAGACAGAGAGAAUAAAAAGACAGCUAACAUUUAAAAAAUACCGGGAAAAUGGUGGGCACAGCUAACAUUUACAGCUAAAAUAUUAACAAUAUAUAAAACUAGCAGGAGAAAAUAUAUAUAUAUAUAUAUAUAUAUACGUGUGUGUAUAUAUAUAUAGAAAUGGAUGGGUCACGUUCGUGUCUCAAUUGUUAAUUUGUUAUUAUAUCAAGGCGGCGGCUUUGGCCAUCUCAAUUAUUACCGCUGCACCAACAAAUUAUCCCAAAAAAAUCCUAAACAAAUCAUCCAAUGAGGGUUUCUCAGCUUAGAAAGAAGAGCGCUGCUCCUUUUGACAAACUUGCAAAUGCAUUUUCCACCAAAGCCACUCGGUGUUAUACUCGAAAGUUUCUUCAUCAAUGCUGGUGCUUGAAUGAUGGACCUUUGAUUGUGGAAAAGAUCUGCAGUGCGGUUGUGACAUUGAUUAGGUUCAAGAUUUAAAUGUCUUUCAUUAGAUUUACCAAUUUAUUCUCCUUAUAACACAUUUAAUUAAGAAUUAACAAUUUUAUUAAAAUUACUCCAAGAGAAACUGUCAGUAUUUAAGAAUUCUUUUGAAGUAAUUAUUACUAAUAUAUAGUUUCCAUUUCUUAAUCUCUCCUAAAGAAUUGUUGCAAACUUUUUUGGUUUGUGCGUCACUUUGCAUCUAAGAAUUCUAAAUUUCACCACCAACUGAUAUAUAGUUACUUUAGUUUCCUUUUCUCUUCUAUUUCCAAUUUCUCCUUACUUAUGUUUCCUUGUUGCAAGGCUUGCCAAACUAUAUAAGAUAUUUGUUAUCGAUUUCUUUGAUUCCUAAAACACAAGAAAUUUUUCAUUCCUAAUAUGUAUUCUUUUUUUUUUAAUUGUUUAAUUGAUUUUUAAAAGAUAUUAGUAAAGAAUUUUAGAUCCAAUUUGGUGCAGUGCUCCUUUGACAAACUGAAUCGGUUUGCAUUUUCAAUUCACCUUUCUUAAUGGUAUGGUCGUUGCUGGUAUUCUUCAUCUGCUUUUGAUCCGCACGCUUAAAGAAAAUGCCAACCAUAUCAUUGAGACUCUUAAUAAAUCUCACGAUGAAUAAUUUCUUGGGACAUGAACGUACGAUGAUGAAUAAUUUCUUGGGACAUGAACGUACGAUGAAUAAUUUCAUCUAAAUGGCUGAUCCUUGGUGGAUCAGAUUUCAAACAUAAUUUAAGUACGCCUUACUUUUUGUUUGCUUUCUGCUAACAGUACUGUGGCGGUGUGGCUUAAAAUCCUCCAAUUUCUUUAAAUUCCAGAGACACCCAGAGUUCUCCAUUUCCCUUUUGUGAUUUUGCAACAUUAAUUACCUCAUUCUCUAAUCCUAGGGACAUAGGCUAAAAACUGAAAAAAAAAAAAAAAAUCGCUAGUUUAGUUAUCAAAGGCAUGAAGUGGAGCUAGUGAUCAGGCUUGACACGUAGCUACAUAAUUGGUCAGUGAUUGCGUGCUUUCUUAGCUUUUACAAUUGCAAAAUUUUCAAAAUAGUCUCUUGUAUUUCCAAAAGUUCUUUAGUGAUAGGGUGCAAAAUUACUAUUCAAUUUAUGAUUAUUUCCCCUUGAUUGUAACCAAAUAUUGUUUUAAUUAAUGGAUUCUACUUAUAUUUGGUUAAUGGUAUUAAUUGUAAGAAAAUGAGCAAAACGUAAUUAAAAAGGAUAAUUUUCAAGUUAAUUUGGUGGUGACACGAUCAGGACUUGCUUUCAAAUCUAGAAGACUCGAAAAUUUUCUACGCAAAGGUUUCCUAAUUUGAGUCAACUAUGAAUAGCUUUUGAAAGAUUUGGGAAGACGUUAUUUAUAUUUAUUAGUAGUAGUAUUACAUUAGGAAACAUGAAAUAUUAUUAUCUUUUGUAUUUUCUUUUUCUAAUGAGGCAAUGUGCUUUUGUUAUUAGUAGUAGAUAUCAAGUAGAAAAUUGAGGGAGAGAAAAAGCCGGCAUUUCACGUGAUUAAUACUUCGGGAAGCAAGAAACGAGAGGGGAGCCAUCGUGGCUAGUCCCGUGUCAAGGAGGGGAGCGGCUUGGCUUUUCUCUUGUUUUUCAGUUUCUUUAGUUUUUUUUUUUUUUUUAUCAAAGACUUAUGCAGCUUGCUUUGAGAAAAAUCGUGUCAAUUGUUCCAAUUGUUCAUGUGCAACUAAAUUCUCUUUUUUAGUUAAGAAAUAACAAAAGAUUUGGUUCAUCUACAUCUGUGAGAUCUAACUGUUUUUAUCUAUUUCUCUUAUUUGUUAGUAUUUGUAUGUUUUCUUAUUUAAUUUCUCAUGAUUGUUUUGUUGUUUGGAUAUCAUGGGCACCCGAUAUUUAAUUCAACUUAACAAACUGAAUCUAAUUAAGAUAGUUAAAUUUGUAAUUGUUUAAUUAUCUUAAAUUAGUGGCAAUUAACGUGAUUGGUGCCAUGUUAGGAAGACAUACGAUCUGAUUUAAAUAAAUUCUGGUAGUGUGUUUAUUGAUUAGAACUAGGAUUUUCUAGUUUCUAAUGCAAUCAAGAAAUUAAAUUUUAUGAGCGUACGGCGUACCUAGGGUUGUUUCUUGGUUAGAGAAAUAGUUAACGGGCGUACUUUACCUAUCGAGACACUAAGGAAAAACUGAUUGUUUAUUACGUAUAUGACAACUAUAACCUAUUUAUUAGCAAAUAAUUGAGAUAAUUAUGUGCAUCGAUGAUCAGUUAUUUGAACCACUUCCGGAGUUAUGUCUUUGGCUAGAGCUUAUUUAUUCUUAAGUUGAAUCUAAUUUGCUUUAGUUUAAUUAUUUUCAGUCACAUUGAUUAUUUACUUUUGUUUUAAUUCUCCAAACCCCUCUUCCCCCCCCCCCCCCACACACUAAUUAGCUUUUACUUAGAAAGAAAUAGAUUUUUCCUCUAAUUCCUGUGGAGACGACCCUACUUGUCAUUAUACCCGUUUAUAUCUUUUUGUGAGUAGAAAUUUAUUAUUGCACAGGCACGACUCUUGUCUUCUAGCACUUUAAAACAUCAGACAUUUCGAAGCAAAUGUCUUGUUUAUGGACAAUAUACAAAAUUUAAGUGGUGAGAAAUUUGAGGAGUUUGUAUAUUAUGAAAUAUUGGAGAUCCCUUGUUAUUUGUAUUCGUCUUAAUUUGUUCCUCCAUUUCACAAUUAGUUUGCAUGCAUUUUAAUGGUGAAUUUGUCCACAAUUUAUAAUCAUUUAAUAAAGCGUUUUGUAAUGACAUCGAAAAUACACUUUGAGGGAAAUUGAGGCAACUCUCUUUUAAAUAGAUCAUGAAAAAGAAAAUGCUACAGCUGAUUGACAGUUUGAACUUUGGAGGCACCAUAUUCAUAGCAACAAAUCACAAGCUUUGGUUUAUCCAGCUGAGACACGAAUAAAAAAGAUAGCGCCGAGAUGUGAUCCAGCUAAGAAUCAAAUGAAUUUCAAAAGGCAGUAUUACUAAUUAGGGGCCAACAAGGUCUAUCCAAUAAGCUUUCUCGAUCGGCUUAGAAAAAAGAGUACUGCUUCUUUUGACAAACUUGCGCGCAAUUUCCUCCAAAGCUCCUACUGGGCGUUUCACUUGAAAGUUUCCAAGUCAGUGCUGGGCUUUUCUGACUGCUUCUUUUCCUUUUUCGAAUUGUUUGCUCCUUUUGUGCUCGAAUGCCGAGCCUUUGAUUUGUGGAAAAAUAAUUUAGAGAGUAAAUUCCAGCACUUGGUUUUCAAUAUCAAAGACCUCAAAUGUUCUGGUGAUUCUUGGAGUAGAAAUCAAAAGAGGAAAACUAUUACGUCGAUCCUUAAUUAAUAAAGGAGUACAAUUAUCCUGUUUUGUGAGAAAUUUUAAGUGGCAUGGCACAAAUGUUAAAAUCCCAUGUUUCACCUCAACUUCUAAUGACUAGUAACAUGUCAUGUGUUUUGCACCGUGAUCAUAUUAACCUAACAUAUAACAUCAUUGAGAUACUAAAUUCUUUGUUAAAUUUUGACUUUAAGCAUCAAACUAGAGCAAUUCUUUUGGUUUUCAGUUUCUUUAACUAGUUCUUUGAAAAAUACUAGUUUAGGUGUACAUGUAUUGCACGCUGCAGUUGCUAUGACUAAUAACUUAUUCAAAAUUCUUUAAACAAUUGAACUUUAAGUAAAUGAAACAAACCUUCAACGAAGUACUAAAAUUCAUAUAUAAAUCAAAAUGCACUCUUCUAGUAACCACUCCAACACUAUAUAGCCUUGACAAAUAGACCAUAGAAUUCAAACAGAACAGUAAAAUGUAAUAAGAAAUAAAUGGGCUAAGGAGGUUCUGAUUUAAUGAUUAAAGUACUUCAAGAAUAAAAGGUCCUAGAUUCAAUUCUCUGAAUUUUUACUUCUCAUGUAUGAAAAUAAAGUAUGAACGUAAAAAUGAGCUAACCUAGUGUUUCAAAAAUAAAAACUACAAAGGAUCUUUGUAUACUCUUAAAACUUAUGCCUAUAAUUUCUUCUUGUUAAUUUGCAACCUAAACCUUUUAACUUUUUUAGUAUCUUUCCAUUUCAAAAAUUGGAGAUCCUUGAUAUUUGUAGUUGUCUUGACCGAUUCAAUAUCUUUCCUCCAUUUCAUAAUUAGUUUGCAUGCAUUUUAAUGGUGAAAUUAUCCACGAUUUGUAUAGAAUACACCUAGGGCUGUCAUUCCGUCUUUGAGCUUGGGGUUGCUUCAUUAAUUUUAAAAAAAUCUUAGGUCAAAUGAACUUUAGCAAAGAAUAAUUUGAAAUAUGCAUUUGCAACCUAAGAUUAAUUUGAAAUCUUAGGUUAAAAAUUUAUCUUCAUACCUUUUGCAAGGUCAUUGAAAACACACAUUGAAGGUACUUGACGUUACCCUGUUUUUAAAUAAAAUCAUUGGACAUUAGAAAGUAUAGAGGCAAGAAUUAUUACAGACGGAAAUUUAAGAGGUACUUUGAAGACAUCAAAACACACUUUGAAGGUCCUUGAGGUAAACCUUUUCUUAUAUAUAUAUAUAAAUCAUUAGCAUUAGAAAAUUAGGAGGAAGAAUUAUUAAAAAUAGAAAUAUUAAAAAAUCUACCUAAUAUUCCUUUUAGGAUAAAUUUUGUAUAUAUAUACAAGCGAGGCUGAAUACAUGCUACCUUUACUGUGGAAGAAAUAAGUACAUCAGCAAUUCUUUUUGUUCCUUGGAUACUUUUUGCAGUGGAAGGUUUUUGCUCUGGGCGGAAGCAGUAAGGAACUAUUCUUUGCUUUGUAGAAGCAACAAGACUUUGACAAACUUAUAUGCUUUUGCAACAGGGGAAGAGCUUGCUACUUGAUCCGGGGCCUCACAAUUUAUGUUUUAUACAAUUUCGUACAAGUUGAUCUUUGGUGUAAAUUAGUCGGAUUUCGGUGUGAAUCAGAUCCAGUUUAAUAUAAAUCAGGUGCAGUUCAGUGUAUAUUAAUUUGUUAUUAUUUGGUAUAAAUCAGAGACACUUAGAUAUAAGUUGAUUAUUACAAUUUAGUGUAAGUUAAGGUCAAUUUGAUGUAAAUUGAGAGUAAAUUGUUAAUUUACAUCAACUUAUACAUAAUGGAACUUGUGAGGCCUAUUUCUUGCAUAGAACUUGUGAGGCCUAUAAUUUUGGUAUCCAAAUUUUGACACCUGAGCAGUUUUAAUCCCCAAACUUUGGACAAAAACAAAUCCGGUACACAAACUUUCAAUAUUUGAGCACAUUUAGUAGCCUUAGUGUUUUUUUUUUUCAAAUUGUUACUUAAAAGAGUUGUGUGAUAGUCAUAUGUUCGACAAAUAUUAUAUAAAAAAAUGUUACAAAAAUGUAAAAUAUCUUUCUGACACUAAGGUGAAGAUGAAAUACAGCAAAAGAAGGAGAAAAGAAAUAAGAUGAGUGGAGUUGGGUAAGUGAUUAAAGUUUUUAAAAUAUCUUGAUACUUAGUGUCAGAAGGAUAUUUUACAUUUCAUUGGUAUUUUUUUUAUGCAAUAGUCACGCGAUUUUUUCCAAUAGCAUUUUGGAAAAAAAUUGUCAAAGGUACUAAAUGUGCUCAAAUAUUAAAAAUUUGAGUAUCAAAUUUGUUUUUGUCCAAAAUUUGGGGAUUAAAACUGCUCACGUGUUAAAAUUUGGAUACCAAAACUACAUUUUUCUCUACUUGUUUGUCCUUGUUGCUCGGGCCUUCAUCUGCUUUGGAUCCACAUGCUGGAGCCGUGCGUUGUGUAAAAUAUGACAAUCAAGGAUUUAAAAUACGACAAAACAGGAAAAAAGAAAGGGAAAAUGGCAAUCAUAAUUGCAACUUCGGCGACCAUUUUCUUUUUGGGUUAAAUACAAAAAACCUUCUUAUGAUUAAUCCAAUGUUCAAGUUAACUUCCUAUACUUUGGAAACAUACAUAAAAUCCCCUUAUGCUUUUGAUUAAAAUAAAGGACAAAUUACACUUUACCCUCUUGUGGUAUAACUACUAUUCACAUAACCCCCUGUAUUUUUAAAAGCUAUAUGUAACCUCUUUAUAGUUUGGACUACAUUGUCAAAGUGAUAGAAAUAAUCAUUUAUAAUAGAAUCUAUGAAAAUGUCAAAAUUAGCAAAAUAUAGAAAUAUAAUAUACAUGACACUCUAAUCCCAUAUGGUUUUAUAUUUUAUCAUACAACCCCCUUAUGAUUUAAUGUUUUAUCAUAUUACCCCCUAAUGAUUUUCAAUAUAUAUAUAUAUAAUCCCCUGUGGUUAAUAAAGAAUUUUCAACUUUACGUAGAGGCAUUUUUUAUUUUAGUUGUCUCCGUUAUGGAUUGCAAAUUCCGUCAUUUUGAUAUUUUAAUCCAAAUCAUGAGGGGCUUAUGUAUAGAUUUUGACACCAUAGUGAGAUUAUAUAAGAAAAUACUAAAUCCCAAGAGAGUAAAGUAUAAUUUGUCCUAAAUUAAAAUAUUAAGUUUUUUGUUAUAGUUAACAUUCAUAAAGGGUAAGUUGGUUAUUUGAUUAUAAGGCAAUUUAUAUUAUAUAAAAUGGGAAAAUAGAAAAUCUUUUUCUCUUCUUUCCAUCCAUACGCCUUACAAUGUAUCUCUUUUUUUGUAUUUUUUGGUUAAAACACUGUAUCUCCACCACUUGACCUUCCCUUAUCUUUCGUUCUUUCUUUCUUUUUUUUUUUAACUUUGUUCCUAUUCAUCUCUGAAUCACCCAUAAAUUUGUUAUUAUUUGGUAUAAAUCAGAUACACUUGGAUAUAAGUUGAUUAUUAUCAUUUAGUGUAAAUUGAGGUCAAUUUGGUGUAAAUUGAGAGUAAAUUAUUUAUUUAUUUAUUUAUUUUACUCGAGAACUUUCACUUACACUCCCUGCCACUUCCACCCAACCCAUCUCUCCCUCCAUAAAUUGUUAAUUUACACCAGCUUAUGCAUGAUGGAACUUGUGAGGCCCUAUUUCCUGCUUAGAAUUUUUGGUUAAAACAUUGUAUCUCCUUCUCACCACUUGACCAUCCCUUUUCUUUCUUUCUUUUUUUUUUUUUAAAAAAAACUUUGUUCCUAUUCACCUUUGAAUCACCCAUAAAUUAGUACUAUUCAAACCCAAAAUGAUGGCGUCUUCAAAAUUUCAGAAAUGAUGGAGUGCUUGAUCUACUUCUUCAUUUGUGCAUACAUGAUAUUUCUGUCCAUGGCGCCAGCCUAUUUAUGUCAAUUAAUUCCGUGCGGUGGCUGCUUGCGGUGCACAGGAGCGGUUAUCUGGAGAAGAUGAUAUGAGAAAAGAUGAUCAUAUCCUGUGAUUUGAUGUUUUACUACAUAACCCUUCUAUAGUUUAAAAACUUAUAUAUAACCACUUCAUAAUUUGGAUUAAAGUGUUACCAUCAUUUUUUUCAAUUAAAACUAACAGUCAAUAGCAAAAAUCAAAAUCAAACUAAUAAAUAAACAAAUUCACUACAUUUUUUUCCUUUCUUUCUUUCUUUCUUUUCUUUUCUUUCUUUCUCUCUCUUUUUUUUUGGAAGAGAAGUGAUGAUUUAAAAUCUGUACUUUGGCUUAUAAAAUCUUAAUUUUCUCCGGAUACAAAAAAAAGGAACGGAUAUGAAAAAUAAAUAAUUAAGAAAUAGAAAAGAUGGAAGGAAACUGAAAAAAUAAAUUAAUAAGAAACCAAAAAUGGAAGGGAAAUAUAAAACAAAUAAAUAAGAAACAAAAGGUACCAAAUCUUUAUUGACUGCAAAUACCAUUAUAGGCUUUCAGACCAAAUCUUUUAUGGUAUUUUAUAUUUAUUAUUUAUCUAUUUUUACUUAAAUUUAUUCUUUUUUGUAUUUGGAGGAAAAAAAAGGAAAGUAGUGAAAGAGUAAAUUUAUCAAUGUAUUAGUUUUGAUUAUUUUACUAUUGAUACCUAGAUUAAUAGAAAAACUAACGGUGAUGCAUUAGGUCAAACCAUGAGGAGGUUAUAUAUAGGUAUAUUAAGUCAAACAGGGCAAAGGGUACUUUAUCCUAAUUAUUAGGGCAAAUUACAUUUUAGCCCCUUGUGGUUUUCGCAAAAACCACAUAACCCCCCCAUCGUUCAAAAAGCUAUACAUAAACCCCCUGUGGUUUGGGUUGAACUGGCAAAUAGACGGAAAGCACCCACCGUAACGAUUCGUGGGCAAAAUGUCCAAAUUACCCUAAUAUAAAUACAAAAAGGAAGCAGAUGAGUCAGAUUCUUCCUUGUUCUGUCUUUGUCGUGAGAAAAGGAGAGAAAAACAUGACCACCGAAUGAAGGAGAGAAAUUUAACCCACAAAGAUCUACCAUUGAAGACCAAAAAGUAGCUGUGAAAGAGCAUCACGAAAGCUGUUGUUGCAUCUGGUAAGUUUUUUGACAUCAUUUUAGCAUAUAAGAUGCACUUGCAUGGUUUUUGAACAGAAACUAUCAGGCAUUGGAAAGUUAAUAAAUCAGUGAUUAUUUUGCUUAAGCGUUGAUUAAUUUAAAAUUUUGCUGCUUUGGGACAAUCUGUAUUAUCAUAUUUAAGCAUAGAAUAUUUUAUCGACUAGAAUUGAAUUUAUGCAUUAAGAUUAGGGUAAAGAAAAUUGCAUUCGGGAGUAAAGAAAAUCCCGCCUGCAUAAUAACGUUGAAACCCGCAAGCGGGAUUCUGUGUUUUUUCUAUUUCAAGGUUAGCUCGCAUGCGGGUUAAUGUUAUAUUUGAGCGCGAGAAGAAAAAAUUGGUAAUUAGGCUCUUUGGGCAUUAUAAGUAAAUAUUUAAAUUAAUGGCAGUUUUAUUACAUCAAUAUUAUUGUAUUAUCAUUAUUAUGAUUAUUGUAUUAUUUCUUAUGCAAAUAUAACAUUUAAUUAUUUAAAUUUGAUUUUAUUUUUACAAUUUAUAAAAUUUUUAUCACUUAUAUAAUAUUUUUAAAACCCUAAUACAUCUAAAUUUGAUUUUAUUUUUCAAAUUUAUAAGAUUUUUAUUUUAAAAAAUGGGAUACGGAUAAGAUAUCCGGUUGGUUCGAUUUGCAUAGGUGCAUAUGAGAAUAUCCGAAUACUCUUUAAACCCGCAUGCGGGUUUAAGGAGAUUAUGGCAACUCUCUGACACACUAGUUACCCGUCCAACUUGUGUGUAACUAAAAUAUAUUUAAAUAAUAUAUUUCAUAUUUUUGUUAUUUAGAGUUUAACAAAACAUUAAUAUUGGGUAGAUUUGAGGGAUAUGCAUAAUUUUGCAUAUUUGUAGGAAUAUUAGAAAAUGGAAAAUUUGGGUAAAUUCCCAAAUUUUGGAGGUAAGGUGCAAUCCAAGAACUAAAACAGUCAUUUAUAAAACCUUAACAGUCAUUUAUAAAAUAGUCAUUUCUAAAACCUUAUCAUCACUGCCUCACCAGUUGAACGAAAAUUGCAGGUUUGUUCAGCUUCUAUCUUCACGGCAUUUCUUCUUAUUUUUCUUUCGUUCUCUAUCUUGGGUUCCUUCACCAACUUUCAGUGCAAAGUCAGCAACAAAGUAUUUCGGAAGAUGGAAAGAGAUGAGGAGCACCCAUCUAGGCUUUAUUGGGUACGUCAAAUUGGUCAGGGGUAAUAUGGGUAUGUUUCCUACUGCUACCAGAAGAACAGGCGCGUUUUGCCCACGAAUCGUUACGGUGGGUGCUUUCCGUCUAUUUGCCAGUUCAACCCAAACCACAGGGGGUUUAUGUAUAGCUUUUUGAACGAUGGGGGGGUUAUGUGGUUUUUUCGAAAACCACAGGGGGCUAAAAUGUAAUUUGCCCUAAUUAUUAUUUUGUUUGCUUAAAAUCUUUGCGAAUUUGGUCAAAGUCCAGAGACCACAAAGUGAUCAUUUCCAUACUGCUUAUCUGGCCGGUUGUCCACCUCAAUAAUCAGACUCGGUCAUACAACCGUCAUAUAUGACUCUGAUAGAGCAAUUACUAAACAAAUAGUUCAGAUAAGUUUGCAAGUUCAUUAUCAAGAGGUCAAAGUUCAGAGAAACCAUUUCAUCCCCUUAGAAUCACAAUUUUAAAUAGAGUGAACUGACUUUAGCAAUAAUAAAUUAAAAUCCAUAGAAACAGACAUUUAAAAUAAACAAAACUAGACUGCUAGUUGUUUUAAACAUUAAUAGGAUAUUUGUAGGAAAUGCGGGCCAAAAGUUAUUGAGUUCCAGCCGUAUAGAUGUUACUGAAGAAGCUUCAAAAUUCUAACCUCUGUUUGUCUAAGCAAGCAGGGACGGAGCCAGAAAUUUAUUUUUGGGGGGGCUGAAGUGUAUUAAAAAUUUUUUUUUGUGACGAAAUAAAUAUAUUUAAUAAGUAAAAUUUAGAAUCAAUAAUUAUAAAAAUAAUAAAAACAUAUAAUUAUACAUACCCAAAAAUUUGUUAUUGAUUAACACUUGAAGUAUUGGUAGUUGUUGCACUCGAAUAACGAAGAGGAGGCAAUUGCAUUCUGCGAGUCUUCAUCCGUUGAAAACGUUGCAAUAUUUGCUCAUUUUCAAUUGUUGCAAAAAUAUCCUUCUCGAUGUAUACAACCAGACAGUCAUUCAUCCACUCGUCUCCCAUUUUGUUGCGCAAAUCAGUCUUGACAAUAUUCAUUGCAGAAAAUACUCUUUCAACAGAAGCAGUCGCAACUGGUAGAACUAAUGCCAACUGGAUCAGACGAUAAACAAAUGGAAAAACUGUAUUUUUACCAGUUUUAACCAUUUGUUGAGCAAGACUUCCCAAAUCUCCAACUUCUGAAAAUUGAGGAUCGCGUUGCACAUUAUAAAUAUAAUUUCGAAGUUGAGACUCAAGAUAUAAAUAAUCGUUACUUGAGAAGUCUUCAGGAUAUAAAUCAGCAAGACGGAGUAGUUUCUGCACAUUGAAUUGAGAGAAAGAACUUUUUGGAUCAAGACAUGCUAUGCAACUAAGCAAUUCCGUGCUAACUUCCGAGAAACGAUUAUUCAUCUCUUGUAUAAUUAAAUCAACAACCUGACAUCACAACAAUAAUAAAAUUAAUAACUAAGAAAAUCUGCUAACAAGUAACAAAUGUAAUGAAAUAAUAAUUUCAAAAAUAAUACCUCACAAAAAAUUUCCACGCGAUAAUGAUGAAAAUUAGUGAUGGUUUGACCUCUGCGACUGCGCCUGGCAUUGCCACGGAUUGCUAUACUGUCUUCCAUAUCAAUCACGGGAAUCAUAUUCAACUCACAAAAAUUGUUGACUUCAUCUAAAAUUAUUUGCCAUCCCUCUUCCCUAAAGUCUUGCAAUUGAGAUUUCAUAGUAUCAAUCAAACUCAUGGCUUGGACAAUAUUUUGAUCCCUUUGUUGCAAAACAAGUGACAAGUCAUUUGUGAUUCCCAAUAAAUACUUCAUCAGGUGCAAUGCAAAAACAAACUCAUAAUCAUUCAUUCUAUCAAUCAAACCCCUGGCCAUACCUCUAUUGUCAGAAGUGGAGGCAUCAUCUUGUAUAUUUCCCAAUAUUCCAAUCACCGAAGCCCACAUAGAGGAUAGACGAAGUAAUGUUAGAUAGUGUGAUCCCCAACGAGUAUCCCCUGGUCUUGCUAAACUAGUUUCUUGAUUUUUGCCUUUUCCACUAAUAAUAUCUCCACUGUCUAAAAGUGCAACAAUCUUAUCAUGUUCUAUUUGUCUUAAUUGAUCUCUCCUUUUACAUGAUACUCCAGUUAAAUUGACAAUCAUAGAGACAUAGACAAAGAAUUCACUGAUAAUGAUAUUUCCCUUAGCAACAGCAACAAUAACUAACUGGAGUUGGUGAGCAAAACAGUGAAUAUACAUCGCAUAGGGAUUUUCUUGUAAUAUAAGGGCCUUCAAACCAUUGAACUCACCUCGCAUAUUUGAAGCUCCAUCAUAUCCUUGACCUCUCAAUUUGGAUAAUGAUAAUCCGUGUUGCGCGAAUAAAGAAUCAAUUGCAUCUUUCAAACAAAGAGAUGUGGUGUCAGACACAUGUACAAUUGCAAGGAAACGUUCAAUCACACGCCCUUCUUUGUUCACAUAUCUCAAAACAACUCCCAUUUGCUCUUUCACUGAACUGUCUCGAGACUCAUCAACUAUUAGGGAAAAAUAAUUGUCUCCAAUAUCAUUGAUUAUAACACUUGUGAUCUCUGAGGCACAAGCAUGUGCCAGAUCUUUUUGAAUCAUUGGAGAAGUUAGUUGAUUAUUUGCAGGAGCAUUUUGAUUUACAACCUCAAAAAUCUCAGUAUUUCGCUGGCUAUACCACUCAAACAAUUCAAGAAAAUUGCCUCUAUUUGAAGAACUAGUUGACUCAUCAUUUCCACGAAAAGCCAAUCCUUGCUUCAAAAGAAAGCGGGUCACAUCCAGAGCAGCAGUUAAACGGGUGCGAUAUGCAAUAUCUAUUUCGCGCCCACAAGAUCGUAGCACAUUUGACACACUAUGCCUUUGAUCUUGAAAACUUUCAAACUGUAUUCUAGCAUCAUUAUGGCAACUAUUCACAGCUCCAAUAUGUUCAUUAAAUCUUUCCAUUGCCUUUUUCCAAUUAUUGAAUCCCGUUUUUGUAAAGGCAUCCUCUGCAUAUCGACCUCCCUUAUUUUGUGUUUUGAAAAGAAAGCACCAAAAGCAAAACGCCGCAUCUUUCGAUAUGCUAUACUCUAACCAUACAAACUUUUGAUACCAAAUAUCUUGGAAACUUCUAUGUUGUUGACCAAAUGAUGUUUUUGGAUACAUAUGGCCAAUCGGUUGGCAAGGUCCCCUAGUCAAAUACUCUCUUCGGACAUGGUCUCGAAGAGAAAUAUCAAAUUUCUCAACUGAUUUUCGUAAUCCCGGAUCACUAACAAUAUCAUUUAAAUUCAAUUCCACACAAGAUUGAUUUUGAACUGGUUCACUAAUAUUAGGCUCAUUUGAAGAUUCACCACUACGGACUCGUUUAGGUUUAAAGAAUCUCUCCAUUUUCUGUCACAAUUAAAUAAUUGUGGUUAAAUUCAAUAAAAUUAUGCAAUUCAAUAAUCAAUUAAUUUAAAAUUCAUAUAAAUAAUUCUUUAAUUUAAUAAUAAAUUCAUAUUACUUAUAUUUCUCAAUUUAUAAAAUUCAUUAUAUAAAAUUAUCAAAAAGUUAAAAUAAGGUACAACUAAAUACCCAUAUAAUUUCUAAUUCAAUCUCAUAAAAUUUUGAAUUUAUAUUUACAUUCAAAAUUUCUAAUUCACAUAAUUAAUUCUUAAAAUUUCAAAUAUAAAACUAACAAAAUUUUAAAAACUAAAUACAACCUAAAAUCUAUACAAUUUCUAAACUAAUUUCUAAUUUAAAUUUAAUAUCAUUAAAUUUUUUAAUGUAAUCUUUCAAAUUCUUAAAUUACAUUAACAUAAACUAAAUAAAAAUUAAUCUUAAUCAAAUUAAUAUCAAGAUACUCAAAAUUCAAAAAUAAUUUAAACAUAUAAUUAACAAAAAUAUAAAGAUGAAUAUUGUAAUUUAAACCAAAAAACUAACCUAAAAGAUUUAUGUGAAUGGAAUGGUGGAGAGUUGGAGUCUUGGAGCCUUGAAUUGAAGGCUUGAAGCAGGAUGGUAGAAUCUCAAGUUCUCAACUGAAGCUUCUUGGAGUUCUUGGAGCCUGGCGUGAGUGGCGUCUUCUUCUUGGAGUUGGAGACUUGGAGUCUUGUUUCAGUUGUUUGCCCUUUGGCCUUUGGCAUUGGCGGCGACGCGGCGUGCUUUUGCAUCAGAUGAAGCCUUAGGGCUUCAUCUGAUGUAUUUUUUUUUCCCUCAUUAUACAAAACGACGUCGUUCCACUAAAAGUGAAACGACGUCGUUUUGUAUUUAGAGGGCAAAAAAAAAAUUCAACAUAAAUUGGGUCAUCUUCUUCCUCGGACCUCAGCAGUCAGCAGACUCAGCAGUGCUGGCAGCGGCUUUCCAGGCCCAGCUAUUCUUGAGGUCCUCUGCAGCAUUCAUGGAGGCAUCAGGCAUGGAGCCAUGGACAUGGACAGGCACGGAUUUAAGGGGGGGCUGGUGGGGGCUGGUGGGGGCUGGCCGCCGGAAUCCCCUAUAUAUAGGGGAUUUUCCGGCGGCUUGGGGGGGGCUUAAGCCCCCACCAGCCCCCCCUUAAAUCCGUGCCUGUAAGCAAGAGACCAAAAAAAUCAGCUUGGAAAGUUUUGAAGAAAGGAGUGUCAUCAGCAUUGCUGAUCUAAAGACAUAUAGAAAAUGUUUCACAAAUUUUCUGCAUAUGCUAUGAAUAUAAAAUGCAAAUGCAUUUUCCACGGACAAAAGUGCAGAGAACUCAUUUCAUCCGGAUGCAAAUCGUGAGUUUAAAGCGAGAGCUAAUCUUAGAAAUAAUCUUGUACAUUGUUACUUGAUUAGUUAAUUUGUUUCACUUCUCUUUUAUGCAGAACUUGCUUUGGUCACCCAAGAAAAUCUUGUGCCUUUGGUUAUUCAUACACAAACAAGAUAUUAAGUCAAGCUUCCAUUGAAGACAUGCAACCAUCACCUAUUUAUGGUAAUGUUUAUGGAGUACCUAUAACUUUCAAUCAAGAUACAGAAACCUAAGAAAGACGCCAGACAAAAUUGAAAAGAACAACUUCAUGCAAUUGUUCAUUUUUGGUCAAGCGACUACCAACAUAAGAUUUACUCAACAUCAUGUAGACCCAGUAAUUUUGGAAUAACUAUGAAUCUUAAAGUAAGAGCAUCAUUCUAGACAUACGAUUUUUUACUGCAAAUGGAGAACAGGCAAACUCAUAAAAUCAUGUUGUAUGUAAUGGAGCUAAGAUACAACUUCAAGAAGGGUGGUGAGUAGCUUACAGAGGCCAACUAACAGACAAUAAGCAGUCAUAAGACAGACUGACAAUUUUCUGCAACUAGAUUGCAGCUAAUUUGAGAGGCAAGCAGUAUGAGACAGAUUAUCAAAUGAGGUCCAUAAUUGACGAAUUGCUACCUCAUGUCAUGACCAACAGGUUGAAGGCAUCGCAUUCACAACGUAGACCUCCAGCUUUGGCCAUCUCAGUCACUUAGAAGCGAAAGAGAGUGCCAUUCUAUAAGUUUGUCUCCAGUUUGAAAAUGAUGUGGUUGAAGAAGGAAUAAUGGGAUAUUGAUACGUAUGGCAGUAAUUAAGCCAUUGAGGUCUCCCGUGAGCUCUGAGCAGAACACCACUGCAAAAUAGAAUACUCAAAACUCAAGACUGUGUAUAGAAAAUCAUAAAGCUAACUAGAAAAUUCAGGUAAUUGCAGGACAUUUCUGUUCAACAAAUCUUACAGAAAGUUAGAGAGAGAGAGAGAGAGAGAGAGAUUUUGUCAUUGAUAUCAAACCUAAAUUAGUAAGCAGAUACAAAAUCUUUCUGGUCAGUCUACAAGAACCAAGUAUUGUCAUGAAAAUUGUUCCAAUUUGUGCCCAAAACUCCAAAAAAUGACCGGUUGAGUAAUUAAAAAAAAAAUUUGUUGCAACCAAAAAACAUGACAAGCAGAGACAACUCAAGAAUCUUCAUGAAGCGAAUUCCUAGAGAGUAGCAACCAAUUACUACCUCAAGAAUCUUCAUGAAAGCAAAUCUUCAUCAAAAAGUCCUGGUGAUGAUAGCUGUUCAAAAACAUCCAAUAAGCUGCGGCAAGGAAUUUUUUCCGAGCAGCUCGCACAGGCCAGCUGACAGUCUUGAGCAAUCAAAAACAUAGACUGAAAACUUUCUGCAAUUAGGUAACAACUAGUUUCAAGGACAAGAAGUCAGGAAAAAAAGAGAGAAUUUGUAGUAACAUAGCAGGUAAAUUCUUAUUGCUAGACCUCGUGACUGAAAUGGCAGAUUGACAGUGUGCAAGCUUCGACAAUAAGGACAUUUGGCUAUUUGAGGCAGCAAUAUGAAAGAAAAGAGGGCCAUCAUAAACAUUUCUGUCCAAGAUACUGGGUUUGCAAUUGAAUGAGCAAUUACUGCUAGUUGUUCUGAACGUUGAUAGGUCAUUUCUGUCCAAAAGGUAUGGUGUGAAGAAGCUUCAAAAUUCUAACCUCUGUUCGUGAAGCUAUUCUUCUAUCAAUCCUACAAAAACAAAGCAUAGAACAGAAUAUGAACAGAGAUACAGUAAAACAUCAAAGCACGAAACAGAACAGGUGCUUGGGGUCAUUCUAAUUGAUAGUUUCAAGAGUAUUACUAUUAUGUUGUAAGGAGUAAAUGAAGAGCACCAAUAUUUUGGACCUAAUAAGAAAUGCUAAUGCCGCAGCUUUGAAAGAUAAUAAAUAGGACGAUAAAAAGGGAGAAGAGAAAAUUGUGAAAAUAACCACGGAGACUUUUUUAGGUUUUCUCACGAGAAGGUUAAUCAGAGGGGGAGGUGAAGAGAAUGGGAGAUUGAUUGUAAAGCAAAUUAAGAAAGAGGUUAUUGAAGGCAAUCUUACAUGAUUGAAUUUGAUCCAAAGAUGAAAGUUGGUUAUUAAUCAACUUAUGUCUAGGUCUUGAAUGUGAGAAACUUUGGACCACUGGGAGUCGGGGCCGCUGCUCUCAGGAGUGCAUCUUUCUUUUAACAGAGGAGAAUGAUAAAAUCGCAGAUGUUUUAGUUUGGUGAGGCUUCUCAUGGCAUCCUCAGAGGGUAGACGUCCAAGCUCUUUGAAAUCAUAUAAAUAUAGUCCUUCAAGAGCAGCGAAGUUUCCGAACCAAUCUGGCAGAGCUUUUAUACCUCCAAACUCACCUAGCGCUAGUGAUGUGAGAGUGGUCAAGUAUUGGAUCUGAUGUGGCAGUGACUCCAUGUGUGGCAACCCACGUAAGUGUAAUUCACGGAGUGCGGAUGACGAAGAGGAGGAGGAGGAUAUCAAUCCAGACCAAUCAAACUCAUUGUAAAUUGAGGAAUUUUCAUGAUCAUCACCAUCAUCUGAGAAGGGACCAAUUACAAGCUUCCUUAAGCUGGUUAGGAAACCAAAUCCUUUGGGUGUCAUGCUUGUUUUCAGUUUGGGACAGCAGUAUAAUCCCAGCUCCAAGAGAGAAGGCGUUUGUUGCAAAUCAAGCAGAAAGGAGACAAGAUUGCCGCACCAACUCACCUGAAGCUUCUGGAGAGAGGCACAAGAGUGUAGCAAGUCACCGGGCAGAUUCGUCAACCCAUCGCACUCAUCAAUCACCAGCUCUUUAAGAGACGUAAAGUUUUGCAGGGGAAGGAGUUCUCUGCAUCUGUGGCAGCGAUUAAACUCCAAACUCGUUAACUUGGGGAGUGUUGUUGCAAACUCAGGGAGUGUUGUUGUUGUUGGCAAAUCCAUUAACCAUCGAGGAAAUUGAUCACCCAGAAAAUACCAAAUUACCAACUCCUCCAAAUUUGGAUGGGGUAGAAGGCCAUCUAACACAUCUUCGUCGUUGUAGUCAUCACCUUCUCGAUCUCGAUCUCGGGCCCACUCAAGUUUCAGCCCAAAUAGAUUUGCCUUUUCAGAUAGUUUGGCUUCCUCAGCUCCUUCCUUAUCCUUUACUAGUUCCAAUUUGCGUAUAAUUAAUCUGCCUUUGAGGUUCUUCAAGCUGCCAAGCUCUCCAAUUCGUCCACCUUUCUCUCGACCCACGUUAAAGAACUCAAGCGUCUGAAGGCAAGUCAGCCGUCCCAUAUUCAGCGGCAUUUGAAAUUCUUUAUCAGAGUUGUUAAGGUGGAGAUGUCUCAAGCUAAUCAAAUCGCACAUCCCCUUCGGAAGAACCUUAAGAGCGAAUCUGUUUAGCCACAAUGUCUGCAAAUUAUAAAGUUUGCAAACAGAUUCCGGCAAAGUUUCACUUCUAGAAUCCUCAAAGUUAAUGUACCUCAAGUGUAUCAGUUUGCCAAUUGAGAUUGGCAGAUUCUGAUUUUUUGCACCGGACAAAUUCAAAACGUGCAAAUUCUUCAACUUCAUUAGCAUAUCAUCAGAUAAGCUACCCUGACUCAGAAACAAUGUAUGAAGCAAAUUUGAUCGACUCUCAAAAAGAUUUAUUGCGUCUUCUCCAAAUGAGUCUAUUACAAGACAACGAACUUGAUUACUAUUGUCUCCUGACCCAGUCUCCGAAUUAAUGAAUUUAGUAGACUUUGUCAUUAUUGAUUUUGAGACAUCGUGCACCAUAUCAUGCAUUUUAUAAUACCUUCUCCCAUAUUUUCUCAUUUCUUCCAGCAAAGAACUCUGCAAUAAAAUUUCCAAGUAAUAUUCUCCAAUUUCCUCCUUUGUUUUGUUCUCGAGAUCUGCUUGGAGGAAACCUUCUGCCAUCCAAAGUUCGAUUAGCUUAUCUCCUUUCAUCUCAGCAUCCUUAGGAAAUAUAGAACAAUAUGCAAAACAUUUCUUAAUGUAUGGAGAUGGCAAAUUAUCAAAACUCAACUUAAGUAUUUGCAUCACAGGAUCUCCACCUGCACUCAAACUCAAAAGCCUAUUCUUCAAAAUUGAUUGCCACUCCUCUUUUCUCUUUAAAGUCAAUAGACCUCCGAUUACACUUGCAGCCAAUGGUAGACCGUCACAUCUUUCAAUUACUCUCUCUUUAAUUGCUUUUAGUUCAUCAGGUUCUUCUCCCUCUCCAACUACUUUUUCUUUUACGAUAGACCAACAAUGAUCAUCAGGUAGUUUUCCUAAUGGAUAGGCUUCAUUUUCCAUCAUCCUCAAAACUCUAGACACACUAUGUGCCACUGGACCUAAACGAGUAGUGACCAGACACCAACUUCCAUUAGUUGGAUUGAGCCCCUUCAAGGUGGUGAAAAAGU